rnacentral:lncRNA from 1 species
CGUGAUAUAUUUCUUACGCUCGUUGCUGUAACAUGCGGUAGUCCAUUGCGCAAAACUCGGUCAGGCUUCGGAAUAUGCGCGGAUCAUACAUGGGAAACUAAAUUUAGGUCGUGUGACUUGGUUCUCAUCGUUUAGGUCUCUUAUAUACUUGGUGACAUCAGGUUCUUAUAUGGCCCCUUUCCUAUUCCUAUUUUUGUUUCGGAGUCUUGUUGGUUUAGUAAUUUCAGCUAUUUGUUAUUGUUUAGACUAAAGGAGCCGAUUUUCGAUACUUCUAGACAACAUUUAAGGUACUAAGUUUUUAUGAGUGUUGUAGUGCUGGAGAAAGUAAUAAGAACAAAGAACUCCUGGUUUUUCUAGUCCCUUGAUUUGUGUGUUGUUUGAGAUUUUAUGCCUGAUCUCUGUUUCCUAUGAGAAUCUUUUGGUUAUAGAGAAUCUUUUGAGACUACUGCCUGUCUGCUAUUGCUCGCAGGAAGAACCCGCCUCCCAGAGGUUGGCCAGAAAUUGGUUUGGACUCAUUUGCUAUUUGGCACUUGCCUAAGGCCCUUAGGCUGAGAGAACUUGCCAGGUUUGAUGGUUCGGGUUGAGGGGGGUGAGCUGCCGGCACCGGAGAAGGAAGGGGGGAGUCUGGGGUUCGACGGUUUGAGGUUUUGGGUGGGCUUUCUUAAAUUUGAGAAAUGCAACGUUGAGCUUUCUUCUUUCUCGAGGGAGAAGAUUGCACUGAUACCGAUUUCGGUUGCCCGCCAUCACCCUGUUCUGCUCAUCCAGCUCACUAGCACCUCGAUUUCCAAAUUCUUAUAUUCUCUACUCUCUCGAACUAAAACCACGACAAUUGUUUUGGAACGGAGGGAACCGAGCCACGGUUGAUGAGGAAGAGAGAUGCUAGACCGUGAGGAUGUCUAUUGAUUGUGGUUGUGGCAUGGUCCUGGUUCCUGAAGCAGGACACCACCGCGAUGGUGAUGUAUAACACACAGCGGACGCAUGAUUGUACAGUUAUUACUUGCAUUAUUAGCAAGUACUUCCUCCGUUUCUAAAUAUAGGUCUUUUUAGAGAUUUCAACAAGUGACUAUAUACGGAGCAAAAUGAGUGAAUCUAUCUUCUAAAAUAUGUCUAUAUACAUCCGUACGUGGUAGUCCAUUUGAAACCCCUAAAAAGACUUAUAUUUAGGAACGGAGGGAGUACGUACUGUUUUUUGUCAUCCUCUCUUUGUCGAAUUCAGUCAACACUAAUCAGAAUCAUCUUCUGAAAAGUACACAUGGUAAAUGUGUGGUUGAGCUCGUACAAAUCUUUGGUUCUCUAGCUACCCCUUCUCAUCGAUGCUCCAGUCCAGGCCUACAGAUGUACUCCGUAUACGGUUGAGCUUGCGUCCUGGUCGUUGUACGGCUGCAGAGCAGACGAGGCAUGGGCCACAUGGGGCAACAGUACAUUUUCUGCUUCAAUGAGAGGGCAGGAUGAUAUGUGAUUGAUUUCUUGAAGUCCUUUGCACAGACAGGGCAAAGUUAAAUACUCCCUUCGGUCCGUAUUAAUUGUCGCUGGUUUAGUGUACAAAGUUAGUUGAAUAGGAGGGAGUGGUAUGAUUUCCUUCUUGGUUUGCGUUCACUACCAUGUGUACAUUUUGGCCCCUUGAUAAACGUCCGUUCGACCCGUUGUUUGGGAUUCUCUUCGGCAUCAUCAGGUACUCCCUCCCUUCGUAAAGAAAUAUAAGAGUGUUCAAAUCACUAUAAAACAGGCUUCUGCGUUCAUUCAGACAUAAAAAGCCUACUGCAUGCUACCCGCGGUUGAUUCUCACAGCCUACAAGUUUGCACCAUUGCAUUCGGUCCGUCGUUGUUACUGUACUCCUUGCGGUUCAAGAACGACAGCGCCAUUCUCGCUGCGCCUGCACACGUGUCCGUGUGUAUCUUGGCACUGCUCAGUCAGUGCUUACGUACACAUGAUUGUACUGCUUGCACAUGGACCUUACUGGCACGUAGGAGUAGUACUGUAUCUCAUUGUACUAUCUGCAUCGCAGCGCAGCGUGUGGGUUGCGUGUCUGAACUGUGUGACUGGGACAACUGCACCGUGGCUCAACGAUUUGUGCGCAGGAAUCAGGUGAUCGAAUGGCAACUCUGUUGCAGCUCAAGGUGCGGUUGCGUGCAUCAACCCCACAUGCCACCGCAAACAUCAACGUGCCCGGUUUUGCCAUUUAUAUGUCUCUACACUACACACAGAUAGCAAAAUCAGUAUGANNNNNNNNNNNNNNNNNNNNNNNNNNNNNNNNNNNNNNNNNNNNNNNNNNNNNNNNNNNNNNNNNNNNNNNNNNNNNNNNNNNNNNNNNNNNNNNNNNNNNNNNNNNNNNNNNNNNNNNNNNNNNNNNNNNNNNNNNNNNNNNNNNNNNNNNNNNNNNNNNNNNNNNNNNNNNNNNNNNNNNNNNNNNNNNNNNNNNNNNNNNNNNNNNNNNNNNNNNNNNNNCAUGGCCGAUCGAGCUUGCGGCCAGCCUUGUGCCGGCAGGCAGUCCUUCCUAAGUUUGUUUGGCUUGCGCUUGCAUGAUUUUGUAUCUUAAUAAUGUACAGUACUGUAAAUGGUGAUCAUGAUGAUGCGCAUAUCUCCCGCGUGUCGUCGAAAUUAUAUAAGCACGCGGGCUUAUGUUUCCGAGUGUUGCAGUGCUGGAGAAAGUAAUAUGAACAAAGAACUCCCAGGUUUUUCUUUUUCUAGUCCCUUGAUUCUGUGGGUGGUUUCUUGUUUGAAAUUUUGUGAUUGGAAUGUGUUUCCCGAUCUUGUAUUUCAUAUGAGAAUCUUUUGGUCAUCGAGCAUGCAUGUUGAAUGCAGGCAGAGUGCUCUACACACACUGGACUACUGCCUGCCUGGUGCUUAUUUGGCCAUGGUCUGACGCAUAUGCUGAUUCGAACCAUUUCUCGCCUCCAAGAGAUGGACCAGAAAUAAUUCGAGCACAAAGGCAAUCCCUAGAAUUGCCAGAAGUAAGUUGAAACGAAUUACGAGUUUGCUAUUCGCGGCUUUGGGGUGUGGGGGAGGGCUGCCGCCUGCCGGCGCCGGGAAAAAAGGCUGUGGCCGAGAAAAAUUGACUGACGCCAAGUAUUUCCAAGCCCCAUUUUCCCUCCCUUUUUGCGAAAUGCAGCGUUGAGCUCGUUCCUAGUACAAAUCCGUGGUCAUCGACCGAUGCUCCAGUCCAGCGUACAAAUGUAUGCGGUUGAGCUCGUGUCCUGCUCGUGCUACGGCGGCAGAGGAAGAGGAGGCGUGGAGCACAUGGGGCGAUAUGAGAGGGCUAGGGAGGGAGAGCAGCAGAGUCACGGUCCGAGCUUUGAAUGAAAGAGAUAUGGCACGAUGAUUCUGAAGUCCUUUGCACAGGACAGGUUUGUAUGCAACCUCGCCCCUUUAUAAGGCCAACUCCAUCGCACGACCCCAAACGGACGUCCGGUUUGGCCAGAUUUCGUCCCUUUGGGGUGGCGAUGGGUUCGCCCAUGUCCGCGUUUGUCCGUUGGGUCGUGAGUGCGUCCAACGCGCGGCCGCAUCUUAAAUCAUGUCCGGGAUGGACGUGAUUAAAAAAAACAUAACACUUAAAUAAAAUGCCUAAAAACGUAAAUAAACGCACUUAAAAAAAACUUAAAACAUAUAUAAAGGUCACGGCCACAAAACGGCCCAGUUUCACGCCGCACUUAAACGACCCAGUUCCAUAAUUAACAUAAAAACAAAAUUAAAAAAAUGCCGCCCGCGCGCUGCUGUCGCGCCCGUCCAUGCUGUGGCCGUCGCCGUCGCCGUCUUCAGUGGCCGCCGGUGUCGUCGUCGUCGCUGCAGAGGUCGACGUAGUCCGGCGGCGUCCAGAGAUGGGCUGGCGGUCUGCGAUGCACGGGGGCGGCGGGCUGGAAGGUGGCCGGUGCCUGCACCACCUCCUCCCGAGGCGAGGCGUCCCGCUCCGGCGACCGCGGCGGAGUGGGGCACCAGUUGCCCCCCACGGCGGCCGCCAUCUGCUCCGCCGUGCAUGACCAGCUCCACCCCUGGCCCACCAGACCCGGGUGGAAGGCGGCCACCGGCGGCUCCUCCGUCACCUCCUCCUUCGGCACCAUCUCCAGCACGGGGAUGGCGUCGUCGCCGGCCGCAGAGAGGGCCAUCGUCUCCUCGAGGCCCGACCAUUGGCGCUCAUCGUGCGUGUGCAUGGAGUCCUCCAUGACACGCGCCCUGAGCCGGGCCUCCUCCUCCGCUGUCAUGCGAGGAGGUGGAGGUGGCGACGGAGAUGGGGAAGGCGACGGCGUGGGCGUCAGGCCGCGCACCCGCGUACGCCCGCGCCUCCCGACGUGGCCGCCGCGGCCCCGACACCGUGCCGGCGAAGUAGGACGCGCGCCGCACGUCGUGCUCGUCCUGGAUCCACGUGUCCCACAGAACGGAGUCGGGGGUGUACCUCUCGUCGUCGUAUAGGUCAUCGGGGAGGAGGCGACAGCGGCGCUCGAUCUCAUCGCGCCGGGCUCAGGACUCGGUCCGCGGAGAGGUGCACGUCGCUCCACGGGACCGGCGUCCUCGUCUCCCAGUACCGCCAUCACAAGUCCACGGCCAGGUAUUGCCGGUCGCGCUCGCCGGCGGCCCUAGGAGCGAUGGUGAAGGGGGCAGGCGCGGGGGCUCGAAUGGAGGAGCGCGGCGGUGAUGCGGGCUCCUCCUUCUUGACGGAGCCGUGGCGGCGUCCCGAGGAGGAGCCGGCCUCGCAGUCGUUGUCGGUGUCAAAGCCGGCGGAUCUCGGGUAGGGGGUCCCGAACUAUGCGUCUAGGAUCGAUGGUAACAGACACGAUGUUUACCCAGGUUCGGGCCCUCUCUAUGAAGGUAAUACCCUACUUUCUGCUUGAUUGAUCUUGAUGAAUAUGAGUAUUACAAGAGUUGAUCUACCACGAGAUCGUAAUGGCUAGACCCUAGAAGUCUAGCCUAUGUGUAUAUGGUAAUGAAUGUGUCCUAUCCGGACUAUGCUCUCCGGUUUAUAUAGACACCGGAGAGAUCUAGGGUUACAUGGGGUCGGUUACAUCAGAGGGAAUCUACAUAGUUGGUCACCUAGCUUGCCUUCCACGCCAAGGAAAGUCCAAUCCGGACAUGGGUAUAGUCUUCGGUCUUCAUGUCUUCACAGCCCAUCAGUCCGGCCCAAUGAAUAACAGGCCGGACGCCCGAGGACCCCUUAGUCCAGGACUCCCUCAGUAGCCCCUGAACCUGGCUUUAAUGACGAGGAGUCCGGCGCGCAGAUUGUCUUCGGCAUUGCAAGGCGGGUUCCCCUCUCUCCGAACUCAAAGAUAAUCUUCGGAUGCGAUGAUUGUAUCCGGACCUGGUAUAACCACAGAGAGAAUAUAAUAUUUGCAUGAAUCUGAUCUGUUGACAGCUUCUUUACCACACGACAUCAUGUCUGUCCAGUCAUAAUUUCGAACCAUUUUUCAUCUGCCAUCCCACGUUUCGAGACGCGGUUGCUAUUGGCACGUCUUGUCGAAGCAGAGAUCGUGUCCCCUUAUUGUGGGAUUCUCAUCAAUGCGGGCAUGGGUAACUCAACCGUGCCGUUUAUACAGCCCUUGGGAAUAGGCGAGUUUUUUUAGGACGAGUGGGGAGGCGCUUGACAUUCGCGGCCUUUAUAAGGGGAUAAGAACACUCUCCCUCUUCCCACACCCUUCUUCAUCUCCAGUCCUUCCGUCCUCGAGCUCCAGCGCCCAAGCUUUAGUUUUUCCUCGUUCGAGAAGGCACUCCAAUCAUGUCCGGAUCCGGAGCUGGAGGCAAGUGGAUGGCCUCCUCCGUCAAGAAGAAGGACAUCACGGGGCUCCGGGAGGCCGGCUAUUUAGCCAAGGAGAUUGCUCACCGACUCCCUGCGAAAGGGCAAAUCGUCCCUACCCCCGAGCCCCAUGAGAGGGUUGUGUUUCUCACACAUUUCGUCCGCGGGCUGGGAUUCCCCCUUCAUCCAUUUGUCCGUGGAUUGAUGUUUUACUAUGGGUUGGACUUCCACGAUCUGGCCCCUAACUUUAUACUCAAUACCUCAGCAUUUAUCAUUGUGUGCGACGCCUUUCUCCGCAUCCCGCCUCACUUCGGCCUAUGGCUGAAGACCUUCAACGUGAAACCGAAGGUGGUGAGCAGUCAACAAGCAGAGUGCGGAGGCGCCAUGGUGGGAAAAAUGCCCAACGUCACCUGGCCCGAAGGCUCCUUCGCGGAAACGGUGAAGGGAUGCAGUCGGGGUGGUUUUACAUCACCGAGCCGCGUGACGCCAAUUGGGUAGCAGCCCCCGAAUUCCGAUCCGGAGUUCCGAUGCGGCUCACUUCCUGGCAAGAGAAGGGCCUGACCUGGGGAUCCCUGGACGAGAUAACUGGGCUCCAGACAUGCGUCCUGAACAUGAUAACCAAGAAGAUCAAGCUUGUGAAUGUGAUCCAGGUCAUGCUCAUUCGUCGGAUCCUUCCGUCUCAACGCGGGACUUGCUAUUUGUGGGAGUACGACCCCGCCGAGCACCAGACGCUGCGAGGGCUCUUUGGCACAAUGCACGAAGGUAUCUGGAAAGCGCUCUUCAAGGCGGGCGAGACGCCCCCGCCCACGACUGAAAAUCGCGGGCUUAGCUCAAAGCGCCAGGCCAAUUUGGUAAGUCUUUUACUGCUUUCGAGGUAUACCCUUCACCAGCAUAUUUCGAGGAUGGAUACUGAGCUCCUCCAUCUACUUUACCAGGCCUGGAUCGAGGUGGCGGAGCAGAUUAGCUAUCUGGCUCCGCUUCCUGAGGAGGAAGAAUCCCACUUCUGACGAGGAUGUUGUUUCCGGGGCCGUAUGACGUGUCGGGGAAGACGGCCAAGAAGGCGGCCAAAGGGGCCAAGGGGGGCCCUCGCCAAAAAGGCGCUCCAGAUAUGUUGUCCGAGGAUGAGACUUCCUCUUCAUCCGAUGACGACGAAGAGGAAGAAGAAGAAAAUGAUUCCCCACCUGAGGUGGGGAGGAAGAAGAGGGCGGCUCCCCCAGAUCUGGAGGCGAAAGCGCCCAAGAAGGUUAAAGGAUCUCAAACGGAUAACUCCGUGUGGGAUAUUGAUAGCAGUCCAGAACGACCUUGCUGGACCAAGCCUCGGGCCGCUUCGUAAGUACCCCGAAUCCGCAAAUGUAUGGCCUUCCUGUUUUAUAGUAUUGACAUAUUGUAAGCCUUGUUACUGCAGUCCGGCACGCGAUGGCUCCCCGCAGUCCUCGACUGAGGAUUCGCUGGGCUCGAAGGAGAGGGCUAGCACAUCUCCUCCACCUGCUCAUUCCGUCUCACCCAAGGGUGAUGACGAGGUGGUGUCCAAAAAGACAUUCCCAAGCCGGGGGGAGAUUCCGGAGAUCAUCGGGGUGACGUCCCAGGAUGAUUUUUCGGCCGCCGGACAUGUGGGGAAAAAAGUCCCCAUGGGAACUGGUGACGGGGCCCGAGUUCCCUUUGGACCUUAGCCGGAUACCAUUCCGGAGAUCUACACGGCUCCAGGGUCCAGCGAACGGCAUUCCCUUCAAGGAGGGAAUGUGCCUGUUCCACCGGUGACCUCUGUCCAACCAGAGGCGCCGGAUAAUCUGCUGGAGGCGCUGCGAGGCGCCUCUAUCGUAGAUGAACAUCGUGUCCUUAUGGACACGGUGAUAGAGAAGGUUUAGUUCAUCAAAAGCGGACUGACCGAAGCCUGUACUAGCCUUCUAACGGGCUUUGAGGUAAGUGAUUGUAAAAAAUAUCACAGUAUAGACAGUAGCCCCUGGUGCUCUGUUUGGUGUUCGUGAAGAAAAGCCGAACAGAGGAUCGAGAAGAAAUAUCGCAGGAGUCUAACAUGAGUUGUCGAUGUGGAUAAGCAGGUAUCGCUUAAGGCAGCCACUGCUCAUGCUGCGGAGGUCUCCGGACUGAAGCAGAAACUGGAGCAGGCCGAGGAGGAGCUCGGCCUCGUGAAGAAGUAGCUGGAGGAUAACCAAGGUAUGCAGUAACCUAUAGGUAUAUUUCUAGAAAAUGAAUAGUCCGAAUGGACUAAAUUGUCAUAAACUUUAUUAGGGGCCGCGACCGAGGUGGCAACCCUUAAGAAGGCGAUAGCCGAGGCCGAGGACAAAGCGGCCAAGGAACGCGCCUCGCGCGAGAAGCACGAGGCCCGGGUUGGCGAGGCGCAGCAACAGCUCCAGGGCGCGAUAGAGAGAUUUGAGUCCGUGGAGCGCGAUUGUAAGGCGCAAGAGUCCGAAUUGGCGAAGGUCCGCCAGAGCGCACAGGAUGCACGAGCCGAAGCCCACAGCGCCCUCCAGGAGAUUCAGGCGGCCAAGAUGAUUACAGUGGGUAAGUCCUUCGCCAUGCAUAGCAAGUAUAUAGAAGAAACGUUCCUUGUACUUAUCCUGAAUUUGGAUUUUUCAGGGGCGUUUGCGGAUCUGCCGCACAGUGUAUCGGAUGCUGCCGAGUAUUACAGAGCCGAAGAGGGGAUGUCUACGGAGAAGCUAUUCUGGUCCCAACAUCUGGGAUCCGAACAUCCGGUACCCUUCAGCGACCAGCUAAAGCAGUUGGUCGAGCUGCAUAGGUUGGCAGAGCUAGCCAUGAAGGACCUGAUAGUCCGGCUGUGUCCUGCCGAUCCUAUACCAAGCAGCUACUUCAGACUUGUGCAGCGGCUUGUGAGUGCUUGUCCGCGGCUCGAAGCCGUGAAGCGAUCGGUCUGCAUUGAAGGUGCGCGUAUGGCCUUCGCCCGCGUUAAGACGCAUUGGGCGAAGCUGGAUGCCAAGAAGCUGAUGACCGAGGGACCGCCGAAGGGCAAGGAGCAUCGUCGACUCGAGCACUAUAUUGACGGUGUUCUGGAGGGGUCACGCCUUGUGGCGGAGCAAUGUUCGAAGGAUAUUAUAUUCCCAUGAGAACAUGUAUAAUACCUUGUUCUGUAAUAUGGAACAAUGAUGUUAUGUAGUGUAAUGAUUUAAAUUUUGCCUCCUGUGUGGCCGUUUAUUAAAUCUGAGGGUUGACCAGUCGUCGGCUUCUGCCCCCACGUAGAUAGUAUGGGGGCGUUCGGGAUAAAUCUAAACACUCUUUACUCCACAUUUUGGUCCUUAAAGGAGGUGUUUAGUGCAACGAACAAGGCAAUCAGACUAUGCGGCCUUUACCGCCCUCACUUAGCCAUAGGAGUUUGACAGUUAAUAAAGCUGGCGAAGCCCCUGGUGUUCGGAAGGCCGAAUUAGGGGCGUUAUACACGCCUAAUCGGAAGAACCGAUUCUUCGCAAGAAGCGGAAAAAAAAUCUCCAACGAUUUGGAACCUCGCGAACAGCUGACCAGGUCUUGCCGCAUCAUGACAGUCAGUUUUCGGCUUUCUCUACUGAGGUGCUCAUCCGGAAUAACCAGGACACAAUCGCAGUAGUUCUCCCUUUACUACCCUAGCCGAUAUAGCGGAACGUAAGGUAGUAAGCACAGGAGCCGGGGAACCCAACUAUUGACCAAAGACAUGAUUCGGAGCCAAUGCAUAUAAUGCUAUAAGUUCAGGGUGCCGAACUAUACUGUAAAAGUGUUCGGACUUUUAUUGCCGUGAUGUGGGGCGUAAUGAAGCCCCUGGCGUAGUAAUACAUACCAUGGUGUACAUGUGCAAUGAGUAAUUAAUACCGAGGUGAGGAAACGGGAAAAUUGAGUAAUAAGCUAACGCCACCGUGUACUCACCAUUGUGAUGCAGCUAGUACGUCGAGGCGUACUUUGUACAAGUAAUGCGAUAAGCAAGUAGGGCUAUUUGACAUGCCGUGACCAAGGGCGAGCUACAUGCGGGUAUGAAAAGCAAGUAUGGCAAUCGUUGAGUAGAGACCACCUGGGGAUUCCCUCGUGGGCCAGAGCUCCUUGCCUCCUUGGUGUGUUCUGCAGGCGGGUUGUCCAUAUAAACCUCGAAAAGAGAAGAGAAACCCGUAAAAAAGAAAAAAGUAAAAGCGUGCGGAUUCCAGGGUCGGUUGAGCCGUACAGUGGAUCACGAACAAGUUAUGCCUCCGUCAAUUCCCAGGGGGUUUUGAGUGCGUAGUUUAUGUACGCUCGGUAUUAGUGCCAUUGCCUCGUCGGGGCUGGGACGGAGGUCAAGUUGUUAAUUCGGCUCUUGAUGAGCCGAGCUGUCCUGCUGCGGUGUGGUCCGGAUCCUCUUAAUGGUGCCCAGGGGCUCGGCAACUGGAUUAUAAUGCUGCUUGAGAAGGCCGCUCCGUAUUUCCGCUGCUAGGGCGGCUAUGUGCUCCUCUCUUCGGAGGGAGAGCUCCGUAUUGCCAUUGACUGUUAUGACGUGCUACCUCUUGAGCACUGCGUUGGUUUUCCCUUGAAGAGGAAAGGGUGAUGCAGCAAAGUAGCGUAAGUAUUUCCCUCAGUUUUUGAGAACCAAGGUAUCAAUCCAGUAGGAGGCUACACGCAAGUCCCUCGCACCUACACAAACAAAUAAAUCCUCGCAACCAACACAAUAAGGGGUUGUCAAUCCCUACACGGUCACUUACGAGAGUGAGAUCUGAUAGAUAUGAUAGGAUAAUAUUUUUGGUAUUUUUGUGAUAAAGAUGCAAAGUAAAGUAAACAAAAUAAAAGGCAACGGAAAUAACUAAGUGUUGGAAGAUUAAUAUGAUGGAAAAUAGACCCGGGGGCCAUAGGUUUCACUAGUGGCUUCUCUCAAGAGCAUAAGUAUUUUACGGUGGGUGAACAAAUUACUGUUGAGCAAUUGACAGAACUGAGCAUAGUUACGAGAAUAUCUAGGUAUGAUCAUGUAUAUAGGCAUCACGUCCGAGACAAGUAGACUGACUCCUGCCUGCAUCUACUACUAUUACUCCACACAUUGACCGCUAUCCAGCAUGCAUCUAGAGUAUUAAGUUCAUAAGAACAGAGUAACGCCUUAAGCAAGAUGACAUGAUGUAGAGGGAUAAAUUCAUGCAAUAUGAUAAAAACCCCAUCUUGUUAUCCUCGAUGGCAACAAUACAAUACGUGCCUUGCUGCCCCUACUGUCACUGGGAAAGGACACCGCAAGAUUGAACCCAAAGCUAAGCACUUCUCCCAUUGCAAGAAAGAUCAAUCUAGUAGGCCAAACCAAACUGAUAAUUCGAAGAGACUUGCAAAGAUAACCAAUCAUACAUAAAAGAAUUCAGAAGAUUCAAAUAUUGUUCAUAGAUAAACUUGAUCAUAAACCCACAAUUCAUCGGUCUCAACAAACACACCGCAAAACAAGAUUACAUCAAAUAGAUCUCCACGAGAGAGGGGGAGAACAUUGUAUUGAGAUCCAAAAAGAGAGAAGAAGCCAUCUAGCUAAUAACUAUGGACCCGAAGGUCUGAGGUAAACUACUCACACUUCAUCGGAGAGGCUAUGGUGUUGAUGUAGAAGCCCUCCGUGACCGAUGCCCCCUCCGGCGGAGCUCUGGAACAGGCCCCAAGAUGGGAUCUCGUGGGUACAGAAGGUUGCGGCGGUGGAAUUAGGUUUUUGGCUCGGUAUCUAAUCGUUUGGGGGUACGUAGGUAUAUAUAGGAGGAAGGAGUACGUCGGUGGAGCAACGUGGGGCCCACGAGGGUGGAGGGCGCGCCCAGGGGGGUAGGCGCGCCCCCUACCUCGUGGCUUCCUGGAAGCUUCCUUGACGUAGGGUCCAAGUCUCCUGGAUCAUGUUUGUUCCGGAAAUCACGUUCCCGAAGGUUUCAUUCCGUUUGGACUCCGUUUGAUAUUCUUUUUCUGUGAAACUCUGAAAAGGCAAAAAACAUCAAUUCUGGGCUGGGCCUCCGGUUAAUAGGUUAGUCCCAAAAAUAAUAUAAAAGUGAAUAAUAAAGCCCAAUAAUGUCCAAAACAGAAGAUAAUAUAGCAUGGAGCAAUCAAAAAUUAUAGAUACGUUGGAGACGUAUCAUGACGCCGCGUGGACCGGGCAUCUUGAGCUUGAGAUAAGCAUAGUGUGGUACUGCGUUGAAUCUGGCAAACACGGUUCGUCCGAGCAGUGCAUGAUAGCCGCUGCAGAAGGGGACGAUAUCGAAGAUUAGCUCUUCGCUUCGGAAGUUGUCCGGAGAACCGAAGACCACCUCCAGCGUGAUUGAGCCCGUACAGCGGGCCUCUACGCCUGGUAUGACUCCUUUAAAGGUAGUCUUUGUCGGUUUUAUUCGCGAGGGGUUAAUGCCCAUCUUCCGCACUGUGUCCUGAUAAAGCAGGUUGAGGCUGCUAUCACCGUCCAUCAGGACUCGUGUUAGGUGAAACCCGUCAAUAAUUGGGUCAAGGACUAGUGCGGCUGAACCGCCAUGGCGGAUACUAGUUGGGUGAUCCCGACGAUCGAAGGUGAUCGGGAAUGAUAACCACUGAUCGAAUUUUGGGGCGACUGGCUCUACCGCGUAGACGUCCCUAAGUGCUCGCUUACGCUCCCUUUUGGGGAUGUGCGUAGCGUAUAUCAUGUUCACCGUUUUGACUUGAGGGGGAAAUUUCUUCUGCCCCCCAGUGUUCUGCUGCCGGGGCUCUUCGUCCUUGUCCUCACUCUGUGAUUCGCCUUCUUUGCUUCUGCUGUUUAUCUUGCUAGCUUGUUUAAAGACUCGGCAAUCUCUGUUAGUAUGGUUGGCCGGUUUGCAUGGGGUGCCGUGUAUCUGGCAAGGACGAUCGAGUAUGCGGUCCAAGCUGGAUGGUCCUCCGCUGCUCCUUUUAUAGGGCUUCUUUCACUGGCCGGACUUGGAGCCACUAAAUCCGGCGUGAACUGUGGUGUCAUCGGUGUUAUCGCCAUUGCUUCGGCNNNNNNNNNNNNNNNNNNNNNNNNNNNNNNNNNNNNNNNNNNNNNNNNNNNNNNNNNNNNNNNNNNNNNNNNNNNNNNNNNNNNNNNNNNNNNNNNNNNNNNNNNNNNNNNNNNNNNNNNNNNNNNNNNNNNNNNNNNNNNNNNNNNNNNNNNNNNNNNNNNNNNNNNNNNNNNNNNNNNNNNNNNNNNNNNNNNNNNNNNNNNNNNNNNNNNNNNNNNNNNNNNNNNNNNNNNNNNNNNNNNNNNNNNNNNNNNNNNNNNNNNNGCUGUGUUUGUACUGCGAGCCAGCCAACUAUCCUCUCCCGCGCAGAAGCGGGUCAUAAGUGCCGUAAGGGCUGCCAUGGACCUCGGUUUUUCCUGGCCGAGGUGGCGGGCGAGCCAUUCGUCCCGGAUGCUAUGCUUAAAGGCUGCUAGGGCUUCGGCAUCCGGACAGUCAACGAUCUGGUUCUUUUUGGUUAGGAACCUAGUCCAGAAUUUUCUGGCUGAUUCUCCAGGUUGUUGAACUAUGUGGCUUAAGUCAUCGGCGUCUGGUGGCCGGACAUAAGUUCCUUGGAAAUUAUCAAGGAAAGCCUCUUCCAAGUCCUCCCAGUGCCGAUGGAGUUCUCGGGCAGGUUAUUUAACCAGUGUCGAGCUGGUCCUUUGAGCUUUAAUGGGAGGUAUUUGAUGGCGUGGAGGUCAUCUCCUCGAUCCAUAUGGAUAUGAAGAAUGAAAUCCUCGAUCCAUACUGCGGGAUCGGUUGUGCCGUCGUAUGAUUCAAUGUUGACAGGCUUGAACCCCUCGGGGAAUUCAUGAUCUAGUACUUCAUCUGUGAAGCAGAGAGGGUGUGCGGCGCCUCUAUAUCGGGCCGCGUCAUGGCGUAGCUCUGAUGGAGUCGGUCUGCGGUAUUCGGCCCGGGCGUGGUUAGGUUUAUCACGUCCGAAUAAGUGGCAGCCGUCAUGCCUCGAGGCACGCCCUCACGAUCCGUAGAUCGAUCUUGUAUGUCCUACUCUAUCGUCCAGGAUCUCCCGGAGGUCGUAUGUUUGACCCCGAACUCUUCCGUCUCUAUUUUUGCAAGGCGGUGGGGCAGGCUGCUAUUCGACCUGAGUUGCCGCUUUAUCCUGGCCGCGGGGUGGCCGGUCGGCCGCCCUAUCUCGACCACGUGGUGGUCGUUCCGCAUUACGCGAGGGAGAUGUGUGCUCCGGUGCUUCCUCAUCGAAUUGAGGUAACAGUCUGCGUUUCGGGUAGCUCUUGGCUGGGCGCCUGAGGCCGUAUUCUUCAUCAGUCCAUCUGUCGACGAGCCGAUCUUGUUCGGCUUGAAGCUGCUGCUGUUUCUUUUUCAGGCUCCUUGCAGUGGCUAUGAGCUGGAGCUUAAAGCGUUCCUGCUCCAGGGGAUCCUCCAGCACGAUGAAGUCUUCGUUGCCGAGGCUUGUCUCCUCCUCGGAGGGUGGACGGUAACUAUCGUCCUUCGAGUCAUCUUCUAUGGCCUGUUAAUCAGGGUUGUCUUGCCUGUUGUCAUGUUCCUCCUAUUCGGAUGUAGCUCCGACGGGGUCUUCGCUGUUUUCGGCGUCUCCCGGAGUAUUAUUUUCUCCGGUGCCAGUAUUGCUAUCUUUUGAGCGGUGAGGUUUAGAACGGCGCUUGGGGCGUCGGCGCUUGGACUGCGUCUCAGAGGUUUUAUUCACAUCUGGCUCUUCGUUGUCGUCGCCAGAUCCUUUGGGUGUAUCAACCAUGUACACGUCGUACGAAGAAGUAGCCGUCCAACGUCCGGUGAAUGGCGGGUCUUGGCCUUGCUCCAUAUCGGCAUCGUCGUCUAUACCGUCGAUGUCUUCGGAGCCAUAGUCAAGCACGUCGGUUAAGUCAUCGACGGUGGCUAUGAAGUGGGUGGCGGGUGGGAAGCAAAAUUCCUCAUCGUCCGCCUCCAGCUCGAACCGAACAUAGUUCGGCUCUGAGUCCUCCUUCAAGGAUAAGUUCUUUAAAGAAUUUAGCACGUCACCGAAAGGUGAGUGCUGGAAGAAGUCUGCGGCGCCAAAUUCGAAAAUCGAUAACCGAUCCAGUUCAGUGUUCGUAGGCGCACCUGAUCCGGAACGUGUAGUCGGAAACGAGUCCGGAGUUCCGUUGACGCGAGUAUUGCAGGAUGUCAAGUCCGUGUGCGGCUCAAACGCCGUGGGCCUUGUGGCCUCGGAGGGCACGAUCUGCUUUGGUUCUGAAGCCGUUGCAGCAACAGGAUCCAUCUCCUGGAUGUGAUCCGAUGACAGGUUUAAGUCACAUUCAUCGGGGUGAGGGGGAGCGAUCGCCGCGGGCUCAAAUCCCUUGAAGAUCAAGUCUCCACGGAUAUCCGCGACGUAGUUCAAGCUUCCGAACCUGACCUGAUGUUCAGGGGCGUAGCUGUCGAUCUGCUCGAGAUGGCCAAGCGAGUUGGCCCGCAGUACGAAGUCGCCGAACACAAAGGUUUGUCCGGGGAGGAAGGUUUCUCCCUGAACGGCGCCAUUACUGAUGAUCGAAGGGGCCAUCGAGCCCUUUGCCGACGGCACAGUGGAACUCUCAAUGGAAGCACCAAUGUCGGUGUCAAAACCGGCGAAUCUCGGGUAGGGGGCCCCGAACUGUGCGUCUAGGAUCGAUGGUAACAGACACGAUGUUUACCCAGGUUCGGGCCCUCUCUAUGGAGGUAAUACCCUACUUCCUGCUUGAUUGAUCUUGAUGAAUAUGAGUAUUACAAGAGUUGAUCUACCACGAGAUCGUAAUGGCUAAACCCUAGAAGUCUAGCCUAUGUGUAUAUGGUAAUGAAUGUGUCCUAUCCGGACUAUGCUCUCCGGUUAUAUAGACACCAGAGAGAUCUAGGGUUACAUGGGGUCGGCUACAUCAGAGGGAAUCUACAUAGUUGGUCGCCUAGCUUACCUUCCACGCCAAGGAAAGUCCAAAUCCAGACAUGGGUAUAGUCUUCGGUCUUCAUGUCUUCACAGCCCAUCAGUCCGGCCCAAUGAAUAACAGGCCGGACGCCCGAGGACCCCUUAGUCCAGGACUCCCUCAGUCGUGCUUCCCCUUGCGGCCGUAGUUCCAAAGCCCCAUGGCUGCGGCCGGCCAGCGAGGUUGACGAUGGGGAGCGGCUAGGGUUUCGAGGGUGUCGGGUUUCGAGGGGGCAGAGAGGGGCCGGAGUGGGAAGUGUGGACAACGACCGGUCCACGGCUUCCCAUUUAAGAAGGACGGCGACCCUUCGCUGGGCGGAUGACAGGUGGGGACACCCGCCCGUGCGCAUUGAUGUUAUCCGGUGGGAGGUAGGUGGGCGCCUGCCACGCGGCCCCGACGCGGACGUUCGAAGCGUCCGUUCGUUGUCCGCCGCGACCCAAACCCGGCGCAAGUUUGCGCUCGAAAUGGGUCGGCCCGGACACAAAACGGACCAGAUGGGUCCGGGCCGUCGCGCGCUGGGCCGCCUCGUUUGUCCGUUUUACCCCAAACGGACGGGGCCGGAUAAAAUGGGGUCNNNNNNNNNNNNNNNNNNNNNNNNNNNNNNNNNNNNNNNNNNNNNNNNNNNNNNNNNNNNNNNNNNNNNNNNNNNNNNNNNNNNNNNNNNNNNNNNNNNNNNNNNNNNNNNNNNNNNNNNNNNNNNNNNNNNNNNNNNNNNNNNNNNNNNNNNNNNNNNNNNNNNNNNNNNNNNNNNNNNNNNNNNNNNNNNNNNNNNNNNNNNNNNNNNNNNNNNNNNNNNNNNNNNNNNNNNNNNNNNNNNNNNNNNNNNNNNNNNNNNNNNNNNNNNNNNNNNNNNNNGCCUGUCGGGGACACUAGCAGUCCCUCCGCUCCCAACGCUUCCACCCUCUCUCUCCCACCCCGCCCCGCCGCCGGCGCCGCCGCUAUUCUCCGGCCGCCUCCUCACCGCGCAACCCCCGGCCGUCCCUACCAAACCACGUCUUGACAUGGCCGCCACCACGCCCGCGCUUUCGCCGUAGUUUUGGCCGUCAAUCGGAGGAGGUUUGGCCGUCGCCGUCUUUGCCAGUGGCGGGGGGACACGACCGCCGGCGACGUACCACGGCGGCCUCGGCAGCUUCCGACGAGAGCUCCAGAGCGGCCAGUAGCCGGCCGACAACCACCCCUGCUGGGUCGACGUGAUCAUCGUGGCCUCUUCGCAACCACGACCGCAAGGUGUUUGACAUUUUGCCCACAAAGGUAUGGAUAGUGGAGACGAGUUUUUCUUCCAUCACUUCCUUUGUUCAUCGGAUGAUUCGUCGUCAGAUGAUGAAGAUCUUGUGGUAGCUGCACUGGUCGUUCACGACCACAUUCAACGGCAGCUUCCUCGGUACAGGGGGUCAGUCCCUGGCCGUGCUCCCAACCUGAACCGCAACAGGGAGAGAGGCCACACCCUGCUCUAUGCCGAUUACUUUUCGAACACCCCGCUUUUCAAGCCGGAUAAAUUUCAUCGCUGUUUUCGUAUGGCAAGGCAUGUGUUCAAUCGUAUCCGAGAGGGAGUGGUUGCUCAUGACCCAUACUUCGAGUGCAAGACGGAUGCCCUUGGCAAGCUUGGAUUCUCCUCUUACCAGAAAUGCACCGCGGCCAUCCGCAUGCUUGCAUAUGGUAUUCCAGGCGAUCUGGUGGAUGAGUAUGUGCGUAUGAGUGAGACAACAUGUCUAAUGUCAAUGUACAAAUUUUGCCAGGCUGUGAUCGAGGUGUUUGGCCCAAAGUACUUGAGGCAGCCAACUGCCGCUGAUACAAAGAGAUUGUUGGCGACCAACGCAGCUAGAGGCUUUCCAGGCAUGCUUGGCAGCAUAGAUUGUAUGCACUGGGAGUGGAAGAACUGUCCAUUUGCUUGGCAGGGCCAGUACAAGGGGCAUGUCAACGGGUGCACUGUCAUAUUAGAAGCGGUGGCAUCACAGGAUCUUUGGAUAUGGCAUUCUUUCUUCGGCAUGGCAGGUUCUCACAAUGAUAUCAACGUGCUGCAGCGUUCUCCAGUCUUCGCGAGGCUUGCAGAAGGCCACUCCCCACCUGUCAACUUUGAGAUCAACGGCCACCAGUACAACAAGGGAUACUAUCUAGCUGAUGGUAUAUAUCCUCAGUGGUCAACUUUUGUGAAGACAAUCUUGAAACCCAAGGUGAGAAGAGAGAGAGAUUUUCCCAAAUGCAAGAGAGUGCUAGAAAGGAUGUGGAACGUGCUUUUGGUGUGCUUCAAUCCCGGUGGGGUAUCGUUCGAAACCCUGCACUGUCAUGCGAUGAAAGGAAGCUUUGGGAGGUGAUGACUGCUUGUGUGAUCAUGCACAACAUGAUCGUCGAGGACGAGCGUGAUGAGAGUAUCUUCGACCAAGGAUUUGAUUAUCAAGGUGAAAAUAUUGAGCCCCUGCACCAAGACCCGGCCACAUUUGAACAGUUUGUCCAAUUCCACCGUGAGAUGCGUGAUUGGCACACUCAUUUGAAUCUUCAAAAUGACUUGGUUGAGCACGUGUGGGAUCACAUUGGCAACCAAUAGAUGCAUUAGUUCAUUUUAUGUUCAGUCAAGGCAAUUUCAAUUUGGUUGUAAAACUAUUUUAUUAAAGACAAUUUCAAUUGGGCUGUAAAACUAUUUUAAUUUUCGGACAAAUAUUUGGGUUGUAAACUAGUUUUGAUUAAAUAUGGGCAUUUUUUGCCCUGACGGACAGGAUGGGGCAAACGGAUGCGGCCGCGCGCUGGGCGCACGGCCACCGCAUCCCAGGACACGCCCGGACACGACCCCAUUUCCAUACCCAAACAGACAGAAUCCGGACAAAACGGACGUUCGUUUGGGGUCGCGCGGUGGAGUUGGCCUAAACUUUUGUAUCUGCUCCCCAAGUCUGCUUCAGGCUCAGUUCGACUGGGAUUCUACAUUUCUACAGUAUCAAGUAAUUUGUUUUUUUACUAAAUGAAUUGCCCAAACUCUUUUUCCGAAAUGAAUUGCCAUUAUUUGUUUUUUACUUUAUGCUUUACAAUGCACAAUUUCAUGAAUCUUAAAUAAAUUAACUUUUUUUAUAAAACUAAUUGAUUUUGAAUGAGAUGAACUAUAAGAAUUAAAUGAACAUCUACAUCGUGCAUAUAUGACUCAAAGCUUACAUGCUAUAGUGUGAUAUUUAUUCAAAAUUUGGUUGCCAAAUCUUAUGCGUGCACUGCACGUGUACCUUACUAGUACUACUAGUGCAUGCUUACAAGUUUGAACCAUCGCAUUCAGUCGAUCGCUAUUAUAGUGUUUGCGUUUCAAGAGCAGUGUCAUUUUUGUUAGCUGCACCUGCACAUGUGUCUGUGUCAUUACACUGUUAGGUUGAUCUCCUCCGUGUGGGCCCAACGACCCACCGGGCCCUUAGAUCCGCGCCCUGAUCAGGGGCGCCCAACCCUCAUAUGGUUGAUGGGCCCCUGUGACCCGCGCUAUAUAUAAACAGAGGUGGGGGCCGCGGCACGAGUCACGAGGUUAAUCGCUGCCACAAUCCCCACCGAAAUCCUCUAUUGAUCUAGAGUUAGCGCGGUGCUCACGGGAAGCACACCACCGCCGCCACACUCUCUGCCAUCACCGGCCACUACUUCACCAUGGCGGCACCAGCUCGAGCUCUUCAGCCCAAGGAGAAGGUAGGUUUACCGGAUCUAAUCUAGCCUAGUGAUCCAAGAGUCUAUCAUACACUGCUUGCACAAAAUUCCUGUUUCCAAAGAGACGUCUACUAAAAAGAUAGCUCAUGUGCAUGUGCCAACAUGAUUGUACUGCUUGGAUGAACCCUACCAUUCCCUUGUCAGUAAUGCUACACCGACGGACAGUUACAGGUUUUACAGGGUGAGUUACAGCUGGCGAAUCGUGAUUGGAUUAAGGGGAGUGAGGGGCCCCAUCCACUUGAAAAUCAAAGGGGGCAAUGUUUAGUUGGUUAGGAAGGAGCGUGUAGAAGCAUGUAGGGACCCGUACGUCUAGCAUUUUUGUUUCCUUGUAGUAUCUGCAUUACAGCUCGGCAUGUGGUUGCGUACAUGAAUUGGGUGACUUGGACAAUGCGAUGUUGCUCAACGUAAUAUGCAAAUAUCAACGUGCCUUGUUUCGCCAUUUAUGUCUCUAAACACAGAGGGAAAUCAGUGUAGAGUAGAACUGCCACUCUAGGAAAAUGUUGGGACCCCGUGACCAUGAGGCUCCUCUCCGUUUCGUCCUCGCCGAUCGGGCAUGCAGCCAGCCUUGUGCCAGCACCAGUCCUUUUCUAAGUUUGUUUCUUUGUGCAUGUAUGAUUGUAUCUAUCUUAAUGUAAAUGGUGAUCAUGAAUUCAUGCUGAUACGCAUAUCUCCCGCGUGUUGUCCGGGAUGGACCCAGAGCACAUGGCAACCCUAAACGUUUUCGAUCGCAAGUUUAGUUACGUGAGGAUGACAACUUUUAAGUUUCAGUUUAUUUUUGACAGCAACUUACUGUGUGUCACCCCUCUCGUUUCCCCCGCGUUGCCUCCCCGAGCGAGGCGACCGGGGGGCUCCUCUCGCCGCCCCCAGUGCCCCCCUCCCCUAGCACUCCUCCCGCCGCCGCCGGCCUGCGCCACCGGGCCCUGCCCGUGUGGUGUCGGCGACGGCGGUGGCCUCGUCCUUCCCCGCGUGCAGUGCCCUCGCUCGGGUGGGGGUGACCCGCGGCAGUGCUCCUUGGUCUCCAGAGGUUCCGGCGGCGGCGGCUGCUCUGGCGGCAUGGCUCAUGGUGGCCAUGGGGCGGCGACGCGGCCUCUUGGCGGCGGGCUGGCGCGGUGGAUGGUGGCGACACCCUCCCGGCCCUGAUCUGGCCCCCUUUUUGGGCCCCAUCUGGGUCUGGGCGGGCCUGGCUCGAUCUCAUCUGCGGCGGCUCCGGCGGGGGCAUAGGAGGUGCGGCUUGUGCGGGGGGUUGUGGAGAUGGCGGUGCGCCUACUACAGCGCGGCGACGGGCGCUUCACUAGCCCCUUUUAGGCUCGUUCGGGCCUCAAGGGCCCGGUGUCGGUGUCAAAACCGGCGGAUCUCAGGUAGGGGGUCCCGAACUGUGCGUCUAAGGCGGAUGGUAACAGGAGGCGGGGGACACGAUGUUUACCUAGGUCCGGGCCUUCUCGAUGGAGGUAAUACCCUACUUCCUGCUUGAUUGAUCUUGAUGAUGUGAGUAUUACAAGAGUUGAUCUACCACGAGAUCGUAGAGGCUAAACCCUAGAAGCUAGCCUAUGGUAUGAUUGUUGUUGUUCUACGGACUAAACCCUCCGGUUUAUAUAGACACCGGAGGGGGCUAGGGUUACACAGAGUCGGUUACAAGGGAGGAGAUCUACAUAUCCGUAUUGCCAAGCUUGCCUUCCACGCCAAGGAGAGUCCCAUCCGAACACGGGACGAAGUCUUCAAUCUUAUAUCUUCAUAGUCCAACAGUCCGGCCAAAGGAUAUAGUCCGGCUGUCCGAGGACCCCCUAAUCCAGGACUCCCUCAGUAGCCCCUGAACCAGGCUUCAAUGACGAUGAGUCCGGCGCGCAGAUUGUCUUCGGCAUUGCAAGGCGGGUUCCUCCUCCGAAUACUCCAUGGAAGAUUUUGAACACAAGGAUAGUGUCCGGCUCUGCAAAAUAAAUUCCACAUACCACCGUAGAGAGAAUAAUAUUUCCACAACUCUAAUCUGCUGACACAUUCUGCAGCAUGACAUCAUGCUACGGCCCGGUCAUUAUUCGAACCGUUUUUCUCAACCAGCCACUGCACAUAUUGCGAGGCGGUUUUCUUGGCACGUCUUGUCGAAGCAGAGAUCGUGUCCCCUUAUCACGGGAUUCUCAUCAAUACGGGUGUGGGUAAUCCAACCGCGCCAUCAAUUAAGGCGCCUGGGGAAUAAGCGGUUUUACCAGGCAAGUGGGGAGGCGCAGAAUACCUGCUCCCUUUAUAAGGGGACAAGGAUUCACCCUUUUCACCCACGCCAUCUUCCUCCUUGCUCAUCCAUUCUUGCGCACUCGAGCUCCAGCACCCAAGUUCGCGUUUUUCUCCUCAAACCACUCCAAGCAUGUCCGGAGCGGGAGGCAAGUGGAUGGUCUCCUCCGUUACAGAGGAGAACAUCACAAAGCUGCGGGGAGCCGGAUAUCUGGCCGCGGAUAUCGCACACCGGCUGCCAGAUGCGGGGCAGAUCAUCCCUACUCCAGAACCCCAUGAGAGGGUGGUUUUUCUUACCCACUUCGUCCGCGGACUGGGAUUUCCCCUCCACCCGUUUGUCCGCGGGCUCAUGUUCUACUACGGGCUGGACUUUCACGAUCUGGCCCCCAAUUUCAUCCUCAACAUCUCGGCGUUUAUCGUCGUGUGCGAGGCCUUCCUCCGCAUCAAGCCCCACUUCGGCCUGUGGCUGAAGACCUUCAAUGUUAAACCGAAGGUGGUGGUCGGCCAGCAAGCGGAGUGCGGAAGCGCCAUGGUGGGCAAGAUGCCCAACGGCACCUGGCUCGAAGGCUCCUAUGUGGAGACCAUAAAGGGGUGGCAAUCGGGGUGGUCCUACAUCACCGAGCCGCGCGACACCAACUGGGUGGCGGCCCCCGAAUUUCGAUCCGGAAUCCCCAUGCGGCUCACCUCCUGGAAAGAGAAGGGCCUGUCCUGGGGUUCCCCGGUAGAGCUGACCGGACUCCAGACAUGCAUCAAAAACAUGAUGAGCAAGAAAAUCAAGCUCGUCAACGUGGUCCAAGUCAUGCUCUUCCGCCGGAUCCUCCCGUGUCAAAGACGGGCAUUCAAUUUAUGGGAGUUCGACCCGGCCGAGCACCAGACGCUACGAGAGCUCUUCGACACGACGCACAAGGACGUCUGGAAGGUGCUGUUCAAGUGCGCUGAGGUACCUCCUCCCCUCACCGAGGACCGCGGACUCAGCGCAAAGCGCCCUGCCAAUCCGGUAAGUCUUUUACAUCUCAUAAGAUGUUCUUUUCCCCAGUGCAACGACGCGCGGGAUCUAAGCCUCCACGCCAUUUAACAGGACUGGGUAGUGACAGCGGAGCAGAUCGAUUGUCCGGCUCCCCUGCCCGAAGAUCCAGCAGAUGCUCUCCUAACGGAGAUGCUGGUUCCGGCACCUUAUGAGGUGCCGGAGAAGAAGGCCAAGAAGAAGGCCACGGGGACCAGGAAGGGUAUCCGGCGCAAGGUUAUAUCAGACUCAUCGUCCGAAAACACCGAGGCGCACUCCUCCCACGAAAACGAGGAGGAAGAAGAGGAAAGUUCUCCCCCCCCCCAGCCGGGGGAGACAAGAAACGGAAGGCCGCCCCAUCUGGGGAGGCUGAAGGGUCCAAGAAGGGAAGGACCCUCCUUCCGGACAGCUCCACAACCGCCGCCUAUAGCGACGACGAGUGGCUGCCUAGGGAUAAGCCCCUGGCGAAGUCGUAAGUAUUCAGAUACCAUAAUAAUUUUGGUAUGUUUCGUUUUGUUGUUUCUCAUCAUGCCGAACAUGAUCAUGCAGUCCAUCCCGAGCCCGCAUCGACGUAUCCUCUUCGAAGGAGUCUUUGGGCCAAUCAGAGAUGAACAGUGAUUUGCCCUCGCCCGCCUCCUCCCCCCGCCCUACGGACGACGUCGAGGUGUUGUCUCAAAGGGCACCGAACCAAGGGGAGGUAGUCCUAGAGGCGCCUCAAGGCGACAUUCCGGACGCUGGGCGCAAGGGGAGCAAAACUCCCAAGGGCUCCAAUGGCGGGGGCAGCAAGUUUGGCCCCCAGCCGAAUACUGUAUCGGAACCUCCAGUGGUUCUGGACUCUGUCAGGCGACCCCUCACUAAGGGGGGUGAGCCAUCUGUGCCGAUGACCUCUGUCCAACCAGAGGCAUCGGACAACUUGCUGGAAGCGCUUCGCGGCGCUUCCAUUGACGAAGAGCACCGCACUAUCAUGAGUACGGUGGUCAAGAAGGUUCAGUCUGCCAAGAGCGGACUGACUGAAGCCUGUGCGAGCCUCCUAACAGGCUUUGAGGUAAGUAAUCAAAUUAUAAGAAAAUGUUACAUCAUAGACAAUAGCCCCCGAUGCUCCGUUUGGCGUUUCGCGAAGAAAGGCCGAAUAGAGGAUCAAAUAAUAAUCGCAGGAGUCUAAUAAGAAUAUGUCUAUGUGCAUACGCAGGCUUCACUGCUGGCCGCUGCCGCACGUACUGCGGAGGUCUCCGUACUGAAGCGGGACCUUGAGCGGUCCAAGGAAGAGCUCGACCUUACCAAGUGGCAGCUCGAAGAGAACAAAGGUAAGUGAUACCCCGCCUGUAUAUUGAUAAAGGAAAAUGUGGAUUUUGAAUAACAAGAACGUCAUGAAUUUUGCUUUAGGGGCCACGACCGAAGUGGCGGCCCUAAAGAAGGCGCUAUCCGAGGCCGAAGACAAAGCGGCCAAGGAGCGCAUCGAGCGAGAGAAGCAAGAGGCCCGAGUCGGCGAGGUGCAGCAAGAGCUCCAGGCUCUCGUCAAGAAACACGAGUCCUUGGUGUUGGAAAUAUGCCCUAGAGGCAAUAAUAAAUGGUUAUUAUUAUAUUUCUUUAUUCAUGAUAAUUGUCUAUUGUUCAUGCUAUAAUUGUGUUAUCCGGAAAUCGUAAUACAUGUGUGAAUACAUAGACCACAACGUGUCCCUAGUAAGCCUCUAGUUGACUAGCUCGUUGAUCAACAGAUAGUCAUGGUUUCCUGACUAUGGACAUUGGAUGUCAUUGAUAACGGGAUCACAUCAUUAGGAGAAUGAUGUGAUGGACAAGACCCAAUCCUAAGCAUAGCUCAAAGAUCGUGUAGUUCGUUUGCUAGAGCUUUUCCAAUGUCAAGUAUCUUUUCCUUAGACCAUGAGAUCGUGUAACUCCCGGAUGCCGUAGGAGUGCUUUGGGCGUGCCAAACAUCACAACAUAACUGGGUGACUAUAAAGGUACACUACAGGUAUCUCUGAAAGUGUCUGUUGGGUUGACACGGAUCGAGACUGGGAUUUGUCACUCCGUGUGACGGAGAGGUAUCUCUGGGCCCACUCGGUAAUGCAUCAUCAUAAUGAGCUGAAUGUGACUAAGGAGUUAGCCACGGGAUCAUGCAUUACGGUACGAGUAAAGAGACUUGCCGGUAACGAGAUUGAACAAGGUAUUGGGAUACCGACGAUUGAAUCUCGGGCAAGUAACAUACCGAUUGACAAAGGGAAUUGUAUACGGGAUUGAUUGAAUCCUCGACAUCGUGGUUCAUCCGAUGAGAUCAUCGUGGAACAUGUGGGAGCCAACAUGGGUAUCCAGAUCCCGCUGUUGGUUAUUGACCGGAGAGGCGUCUCGGUCAUGUCUGCAUGUCUCCCGAACCCGUAGGGUCUACACAUUAAGGUUCGGUGACGCUAGGGUUGUAGAGAUAUUAGUAUGCGGAAACCCGAAAGUUGUUCGGAGUCCCGGAUGAGAUCCCGGACGUCAUGAGGAGUUCCGGAAUGGUCCGGAGGUGAAGAAUUAUAUAUAGGAAGUCCAGUUUUGGCCACCGGGAAAGUUUCGGGGGUUAUCGGUAUUGUACCGGGACCACCGGAAGGGUCCCGGGGGUCCACCGGGUGGGGCCACCUAUCCCGGAGGGCCCCAUGGGCUGAAGUGGGAAGGGAACCAGCCCUUAGUGGGCUGGGGCGCCCCCCGUUGGGCCUCCCCCUGCGCCUAGGGUUGGAAACCCUGGGGGUGGGGGGCGCCCCACUUGGCUUGGGGGGGAAGCCACCCCCCUUUCCCCUUGGCCGCCGCCCCCCCUUGUAGAUGGGAUCCAGGGGCGGCGCCCCCCCUCCCAGGGGGCCUAUAUAUAGUGGGGGGAGGGAGGGCAGAAGCACCACAGCCCCUGGCGCCUCCCUCUCCCCCUGCAACACCUCUCCCUCCCGCUUGUGCUUGGCGAAGCCCUGCCGGGAUCCCGCUACUUCCACCACCACGCCGUCGUGCUGCUGGAUCUCCAUCAACCUCUCCUUCCCCCUUGCUGGAUCAAGAAGGAGGAGACGUCGCUGCUCCGUACGUGUGUUGAACGCGGCGGUGCCGUCCGUUCGGCACUCGGUCAUCGGUGAUUUGGAUCACGGCGAGUACGACUCCAUCAACCCCGUUCACUUGAACGCUUCCGCUCGCGAUCUACAAGGGUAUGUAGAUGCACUCCUUUCCCCUCGUUGCUAGUAUAAUCCAUAGAUGGAUCUUGGUGAUGCGUAGGAAAUUUUAAAAUUCUGCUACAAUCCCCAACAGUGGCAUCAUGAGCCAGGCCUAUGCGUAGUUACUAUGCACGAGUAGAACACAAAGCAGUUGUGGGCAUAGAUGUUGUCAAUUUUUCUUGCCACUACUAGUAUUAUCUUGUUUCGGCGGUAUUGUGGGAUGAAGCGGCCCGGACCGACCUUACACGUACGCUUACGUGAGACAGGUUCCACCGACUGACAUGCACAAGUUGCAUAAGGUGGCUAGCGGGUGUCUGUCUCUCCCACUUUAGUCAGAACGGAUUCGAUGAAAAGGGUCCUUAUGAAGGGUAAAUAGAAAUUGGCAUAUCACGUUGUGGUUUUACGUAGGUAAGAAACGUUCUUGCUAGAAACCUAUAGAAGCCACAUAAAAACAUGCAACAACAAUUAGAGGACGUCUAACUUGUUUUUGCAGCAUGUGCCUUGUGAUGUGAUAUGGCCAAGAAGAUGUGAUGAAUGAGAUAUAUGUGAUGUAUGAGAUUGAUCAUAUUCUUGUAAUAGGAAUCACGACUUGCAUGUCGAUGAGUAUGACAACCGGCAGGAGCCAUAGGAGUUGUCUUUAUUUUUUGUAUGACCUGCGUGUCAUUGAAUAACGCCAUGUAAAUUACUUUACUUUAUUGCUAAACACGUUAGCCAUGUAAGUAGAAGUAAUCGUUGGCGUGACAACUUCAUGAAGACACGAUGAUGGAGAUCAUGGUGUCAUGCCGGUGACGAAGAUGAUCAUGGCGCCCCGAAGAUGGAGAUCAAAGGAGCAAAAUGAUAUUGGCCAUAUCAUGUCACUAUUUGAUUACAUGUGAUGUUUAUCAUGUUUUGCAUCUUAUUUGCUUAGAACGAUGGUAGUAAGUAAGAUGAUCCCUUAUAAUAAUUUCAAGAAAGUGUUCCCCCUAACUGUGCACCGUUGCGAAGGUUCGUUGUUUCGAAGCACCACGUGAUGAUCGGGUGUGAUAGAUUCUAACGUUCGCAUACAAUGGGUGUUGACGAGCCUAGCAUGUACAGACAUGGCCUCGGAACACACGCAAUACACUUAGGUUGACUUGACGAGCCUAGCAUGUACAGACAUGGCCUCGGAACACGGAAGACCGAAAGGUCGAGCAUGAGUCGUAUAGAAGAUACGAUCAACAUGGAGAUGUUCACCGAUCUUGACUAGUCCGUCUCACGUGAUGAUCGGACACGGCCUAGUUAACUUGGAUCAUGUUUCACUUAGAUGACUAGAGGGAUGUCUAUCUGAGUGGGAGUUCAUUGAAUAAUUUGAUUAGAUGAACUUAAUUAUCAUGAACUUAGUCUAAAAUCUUUACAAUAUGUCUUGUAGAUCAAAUGGCCCACGUUGUCCUAAACUUCAACGCGUUCCUAGAGAAAACCAAGCUGAAAGAUGAUGGCAGCAACUAUACGGACUGGGUCCGGAACCUGAGGAUCAUCCUCAUAGCUGCCAAGAAAUAUUAUGUCCUAGAAGCACCGCUAGGUGAAGCACCCAUCCCAGAGAACCAAGACGUUAUGAACGCUUGGCAAUCACAUGCUGAUUAUUACUCCCUAGUUCAGUGCGGCAUGCUUUACAGCUUAGAACCGGGGCUCCAAAAGCGUUUUGAGAAACACGGAGCAUAUGAGAUGUUCGAAGAGCUGAAAAUGGUUUUCCAAGCUCAUGCCCGGGUCGAGAGAUAUGAAGUCUCCGACAAGUUCUUCAGUUGUAAAAUGGAGGAAAAUAGUUCUGUUAGUGAGCACAUACUCAGAAUGUCUGGGUUACACAACCGCUUGUCUCAGCUGGGAGUUAAUCUCCCGGAUGACGCGGUCAUUGACAGAAUCCUUCAGUCGCUUCCACCAAGCUACAAGAGCUUUGUGAUGAACUUCAAUAUGCAGUGGAUGGAAAAGACCAUUCCUGAGGUAUAUUCAAUGCUGAAAUCAGCGGAGGUGGAGAUCAGAAAGGAACAUCAAGUGUUGAUGGUGAAUAAAACCACUAAGUUCAAGAAAGGCAAGGGUAAGAAGAACUUCAAGAAGGACGGCAAGGGAGUUGCCGCGCCCGGUAAGCCAGUUGCCGGGAAGAAGCCAAGGAAUGGACCCAAGCCUGAGACUGAGUGCUUUUAUUGCAAGGGAAGUGGUCACUGGAAGCGGAACUGCCCCAAAUACUUAGCGGACAAGAAGGCCGGCAACACCAAAGGUAUAUGUGAUAUACAUGUAAUUGAUGUGUACCUUACCAGUACUCGUAGUAGCUCCUGGGUAUUUGAUACCAGUGCGGUUACUCAUAUUUGUAACUCAAAACUGGAGCUGCCGAAUAAACGGAGACUGGCGAAGGACGAGGUGACGAUGCGCGUCGGGAAUGGUUCCAAGGUCGAUGUGAUCGCCGUCGGCACGCUACCUCUCCAUUUACCUACGGGAUUAGUUUUAAACCUCAAUAAUUGUUAUUUGGUACCAGCUUUGAGCAUGAACAUUGUAUCUGGAUCUCGUUUGAUGCGAGAUGGCUACUCAUUUAAAUCCGAGAAUAAUGGUUGUUCUAUUUAUAUGAGAGAUAUGUUUUAUGGUCAUGCCCCGCUGGUCAAUGGUUUAUUCUUAAUGAAUCUCGAACGUGAUGUUACACAUAUUCAUAGUAUGAAUACCAAAAGAUGUAAAGUUGAUAACGAUAGUCCCACAUACUUGUGGCACUGCCGCCUUGGUCACAUUGGUGUCAAGCGUAUGAAGAAGCUCCAUGCAGAUGGACUUUUGGAGUCUCUUGAUUACGAAUCAUUUGACACGUGCGAACCAUGCCUCAUGGGUAAGAUGACCAAGACUCCGUUCUCCGGAACAAUGGAGCGAGCAACCAACUUAUUGGAAAUCAUACAUACCGAUGUGUGCGGUCCAAUGAGUGUUGAGGCUCGCGGAGGAUAUCGUUAUGUUCUCACUCUCACUGAUGACUUAAGUAGAUAUGGGUAUGUCUACCUAAUGAAACACAAGUCUGAAACCUUUGAAAAGUUCAAGGAAUUUCAGAGUGAGGUUGAGAAUCAACGUGACAGGAAAAUAAAGUUCUUACGAUCAGAUCGUGGUGGAGAAUAUUUAAGUCACGAAUUUGGUACGCACUUAAAGUAAUCGUUUCACAACUCACGCCGCCUAGAACACCUCAGCGAAAUGGUGUGUCCGAACGUCGUAAUCGCACUCUAUUGGAUAUGGUGCGAUCUAUGAUGUCUCUUACCGAUCUACCGAUCUCAUUUUGGGGCUAUGCUUUAGAGACUGCCGCAUUCACUUUAAAUAGGGCUCCGUCGAAAUCCGUUGAGAUGACACCGUAUGAAUUAUGGUUUGGGAAGAAACCUAAGCUGUCGUUUCUAAAAGUUUGGGGAUGCGAUGCUUAUGUCAAGAAACUUCAACCUGAAAAGCUCGAACCCAAGUCGAAAAAAUGCGUCUUCAUAGGAUACCCUAAGGAAACCAUUGGGUAUACCUUCUACCUCAGAUCCGAAGGCAAGAUCUUUGUUGCUAAGAACGGGUCCUUUCUGGAGAAAGAGUUUCUCUCGAAAGAAUUGAGUGGGAGGAAAGUGGAACUUGAUGAGGUGAUAGUCACCCCUUCCGAACUGGAAAGUAGCGCAGCGCGGGAAGAUGUUCCUGUGGUGCCUACACCGACUGGGGAGGAAGUUAAUGAUGAUGAUCAUGAAGCUUCGGAUCAAGUUACUGCUGAACUUCGUAGGUCCACAAGGACACGUUCCGCACCAGAGUGGUACGGCAACCCUGUCCUGGAAAUCAUGUUGUUAGACAACGGUGAACCUUCGAACUAUGAAGAAGCGAUGGCGGGCCCGGAUUCCAACAAAUGGCUUGAAGCCAUGCAAUCCGAGAUAGGAUCCAUGUAUGAAAACGAAGUAUGGACUUUGACUGACUUGCCCGAUGAUCGGCGAGCCAUAGAAAAUAAAUGGAUCUUUAAGAAGAAGACAACGCGGAUGGUAAUGUGACCAUCUAUAAGGCUCGACUUGUCGCUAAGGGUUAUUGACAAGUUCAAGGGGUUGACUACGAUGAGACUUUCUCACCCGUAGCGAAGCUCAAGUCCGUCUGAAUCAUGUUAGCAAUUGCCGCAUUCUAUGAUUAUGAGAUAUGGCAAAUGGACGUCAAAACGGCAUUCCUUAACGGCUUCCUUAAGGAAGAAUUGUAUAUGAUGCAGCCGGAAGGUUUUGUCGAUCCAAAGAAUGCUAACAAAGUAUGCAAGCUCCAGCGCUCAAUCUAUGGGCUGGUGCAAGCAUCUCGGAGUUGGAACAUUCGCUUUGAUGAGAUGAUCAAAGCCUUUGGGUUUACACAGACUUAUGGAGAAGCCUGUGUUUACAAGAAAGUGAGUGGGAUCUCUGUAGCAUUUCUCAUAUUAUAUGUGGAUGACAUACUAUUGAUGGGAAAUGAUAUAGAAUUCUUGGAAAGUAUAAAGGCCUAUUUGAAUAAGUGUUUUUCAAUGAAGGACCUUGGAGAAGCUGCUUAUAUAUUAGGCAUCAAGAUUUAUAGAAAUAGAUCAAGACGCCUCAUUGGUCUUUCACAGAGUACAUACAUUGACAAGAUAUUGAAGAAGUUCAAUAUGGAUCAGUCCAAGAAGGGGUUCUUGCCUGUAUUGCAAGGUGUGCAAUUGAGCACGGCUCAAUGCCCGACCAUGGCAGAAGAUAGAGAAAAGAUGAGUGUCAUCCCCUAUGCCUCGGCCAUAGGGUCUAUAAUGUAUGCCAUGCUGUGUACCAGACCUGAUGUAAACCUUGUCGUAAGUUUGGUAGGAAGGUACCAAAGUAAUCCCGGCAUGGAACACUGGACAACGGUCAAGAAUAUCCUGAAGUACCUGAAAAGGACUAAGGAUAUGUUUCUCGUUUAUGGAGGUGACGAAGAGCUCGUCGUAAAGGGUUACGUCGACGCUAGCUUCGACACAGAUCUGGAUGACUCGAAGUCACAAACCGAUUACGUGUAUAUUUUGAAUGGAGGGGCAGUAAGCUGGUGCAGUUGCAAGCAAAGCGUCGUGGCGGGAUCUACAUGUGAAGCGGAGUACAUGGCAGCCUCAGAGGCAGCGCAAGAAGCAAUCUGGAUGAAGGAGUUCAUUACCGACCUAGGGGUGAUUCCCAAUGCGUCGGGCCCGAUGACUCUCUUCUGUGACAACACUGGAGCUAUUGCCCUUGCCAAGGAGCCCAGGUUUCACAGGAAGACCAGGCAUAUCAAGCGUCGCUUCAACUCCAUUCGUGAAAGUGUUCAAAAUGGAGACAUAGAUAUUUGUAAAGUACAUACGGACCUGAAUGUAGCAGAUCCGUUGACUAAACCUCUCCCUAGAGCAAAACAUGAUCAACACCAGAACGCUAUGGGUGUUCGAUUCAUCACAAUGUAACUAGAUUAUUGACUCUAGUGCAAGUGGGAGACUGUUGGAAAUAUGCCCUAGAGGCAAUAAUAAAUGGUUAUUAUUAUAUUUCUUUAUUCAUGAUAAUUGUCUACUGUUCAUGCUAUAAUUGUGUUAUCCGGAAAUCGUAAUACAUGUGUGAAUACAUAGACCACAACGUGUCCCUAGUAAGCCUCUAGUUGACUAGCUCGUUGAUCAACAGAUAGUCAUGGUUUCCUGACUAUGGACAUUGGAUGUCAUUGAUAACGGGAUCACAUCUUAGGAGAAUGAUGUGAUGGACAAGACCCAAUCCUAAGCAUAGCUCAAAGAUCGUGUAGUUCGUUUGCUAGAGCUUUUCCAAUGUCAAGUAUCUUUUCCUUAGACCAUGAGAUCGUGUAACUCCCGGAUGCCGUAGGAGUGCUUUCGGUGUGCCAAACGUCACAACGUAACUGGGUGACUAUAAAGGUACACUAGAGGUAUCUCUGAAAGUGUCUGUUGGGUUGACACGGAUCGAGACUGGGAUUUGUCACUCCGUGUGACGGAGAGGUAUCUCAUGGCCCACUCGGUAAUGCAUCAUCAUAAUGAGCUCAAUGUGACUAAGGAGUUAGCCACGGGAUCAUGCAUUACGGUACGAGUAAAGAGACUUGCCGGUAACGAGAUUGAACAAGGUAUUGGGAUACCGACGAUCGAAUCUCGGGCAAGUAACAUACCAUUGACAAAGGGAAUUGUAUACGGGAUUGAUUGAAUCCUCGACAUCGUGGUUCAUCCGAUGAGAUCAUCGUGGAACAUGUGGGAGCCAACAUGGGUAUCCAGAUCCAACUGUUGGUUAUUGACCGGAGAGGCGUCUCGGUCAUGUCUGCAUGUCUCCCGAACCCGUAGGAUCUACACACUUAAGGUUCGGUGACGCUAGGGUUGUAGAGAUAUUAGUAUGCGGAAACCCGAAAGUUGUUCGGAGUCCCGGAUGAGAUCCCGGACGUCACGAGGAGUUCCGGAAUGGUCCGGAGGUGAAGAAUUAUAUAUAGGAAGUCCAGUUUUGGCCACCGGGAAAGUUUCGGGGGUUAUCGGUAUUGUACCGGAACCACCGGAAGGGUCCCGGGGGUCCACCGGGUGGGGCCACCUAUCCCGGAGGGCCCCAUGGGCUGAAGUGGGAAGGGAACCAGCCCUUAGUGGGCUGGGGCGCCCCCCCUUGGGCCUCCCCCUGCGCCUAGGGUUGGAAACCCUGGGGAUGGGGGGCGCCCCACUUGGCUUGGGGGGGAAGCCACCCCCCUUUCCCCUUGGCCGCCGCGCCCCUUGUAGAUGGGAUCCAGGGCCGGCGCCCCCCUCCCAGGUGGCCUAUAUAUAGUGGGGGGAGGAAGGGCAGCAGCACCACAGCCCCUGGCGCCUCCCUCUCCCCCUGCAACACCUCUCCCUCCCGCUUGUGCUUGGCGAAGCCCUGCCGAGAUCCCGCUACUUCCACCACCACGCCGUCGUGCUGCUGGAUCUCCAUCAACCUCUCCUUCCCCCUUGCUGGAUCAAGAAGGAGGAGACGUCGCUGCUCCAUACGUGUGUUGAACGCGGAGGUGCCGUCCGUUUGGCACUCGGUCAUCGGUGAUUUGGAUCACGGCGAGUACGACUCCAUCAACCCCGUUCACUUGAACGCUUUCGCUCGCGAUCUACAAGGCUAUGUAGAUGCACUCCUUUCCCCUCGUUGCUAGUAUACUCCAUAGAUGGAUCUUGGUGAUGCGUAGGAAAUUUUAAAAUUCUGCUACGAUCCCCAACAGUCUUGGAGCGUGACUCGAAGACACAGCGGUCCGAGCUUGCGAAGGCCCUCGAAAACGCACAACAUGCCAAGGCCGAAGCCCAAAAGGCUCUCCAGGAAAUUGAGGCGGUUAAGAAGAUAGCGGCGGGUAAGGCAUUCAUUAUGCAAAGCAAGCAUGUGAAGGAAACUUUCUUUUUACUUACCCGAGUUCGGAGCUCUCCAGGAUCGUUCGCAGAUCUACCCUGCAGUGUGUCGGAUGCCGCAGAGUUCUACCGGGCUGAGGAGGGGAGCUCGAUGGAGAAGUUGUUCUAGUCUCAGUAUACUGGGACCGAACACCCAAUGCCCUUGAGCGACCAGCUGAAGCAGCUGGUCGAGCUCCACAAGGCGGCCGAACAGGCCAUGAUGGGUCUUAUAGUCCGGAUGUGGCCUGGCGAGCCCCUGCCUGAUAGCUACUUCGGCCUGGUGAGGCGGCUUGUGAAUGCCUGCCCACGGCUUGAAGUCAUAAAGCGAUCCGUCUGCAUCGAGGGUGCGCGCAGGGCUUUUGCCCGGGCGAAGGUGCACUGGGCGAAGCUGGACGCUGAAAAGCUGGUGAAGGAGGGGCCGCCGGAAGGCAAGGAGCAUCGCCACCCCGAAAAGUAUUAUGACAGUGUCCUGAAGGGUGCUCACCUUGUGGCAGAGGAAUGUGCUAAGGAUGUAAUAUUUGAAUAAAUGUACUCAUGUGAUCCUGUAAUGUGAAACGAGUUCAUUUGCGCUAUGCAACGCUUGUGAAUUUAAAACAUUACCUUCUGUGCGGCCGUUUAUAAAAUCUGAGAGUUGGCCAGUCGUCGGCUUCUGCCCCCAUGUAACUAGUACUGAGGUGUUCGGGCUAAAUCUGAGCACUCUUUAUCCCAAUUUUGGGUCCUUCGAGGGAGGUGUUCAGCACAACGAACCAGGCAAUUGGACUAUAAGGCUUUAUCACUCUCACUUAGCCAUAGAAGUCUACAAUUUUAAAUUUUGGCGAAGCCCCUAGUAUUCGGAAGGCCGAAUUUGGGGCGCUAUAUACGCCUAAGUCGGGCAAGGCCGAUUUCUCGCCCGAAGCGGAAAAAGUCUUUAAGGACUUGAGACCUCUCGAACAGCGACCAGCUCUCGUCGCAUCAUGACAGUCAGUUUUCGGCUUUCUCUACUGAGGUGCUCGUCCGGAAGAACCGGGACACAAUCACAGUAGUUCUCCCAGCGCUACCUUAGCCGAUAUAGCGGAACGUAAGGUACCAAAACAUGGGAGCCGGGCAAACCCAACUAUUGACCCAAGACAUGAUUCGGAGCUGAUGCAUAUAGUGUUAUAAGUUCGGGGUGCCGCAUCGUCGAAAGUGUUCGGAUUUCUCACGCCGUAUUGAUGGGGUGUAGUGAAGCCCUUGGCGUACUGGUCGUACCAGAAUGUACGGGUGCAAUUUGUCGUAAAUAGACAGACAAGAAAAAAGGAAGGGUAAUGCAAUAAUAGACUAAUGCUAUGCAUUGUUAUUUAAAUAAUACGUCGAAGCGUACUGAUACAAGUAGUGCAAUAAGCAAAAAAUAAGACUAUUUGACAUGUUCUAUCCAAGGGCAAGCUGCGUAUGGGUAUUUAAAACAGUUAUUUCGAUCGUUAUCAGAGACCACCUGGGGAUUCCCUUGUACGUCCUAGCUUCUUGCCUCCUUGGUAUUUCCUUCCCGUAAUGCGUCCAGCAAUCGGACUGCCGAAAAGGGCUUCCAGAGAGUAAAGUCCUGAAAGAGAGAAAAUGAUAAAGGUAUACAGCCCCUGGGGCGGUUGAGCCGCAUUGUGGGACGUGUCCUGGCCGUGCCCCCGCCUGUGUCCAUGGUAUUUUUAGUGCGUAAUUAUGUACGCGCGACACAGGUUUCAACGCUUGACCGGGACUAGGACAGAGGCCGAAUUGCUGGGCGAGCUCUGAACGUGCCAGGCGAUCCUGUUGCAGGUUACUCCAGACUCGCUUGAAGGUGUCUGGGGGCUUUAUCGCUGAAUUGGCGGUUUGCCUUGCUGCUUUGUGCCUCUGCUGCGAGGGCCGCAGUGUGCUCCUCCGUGCGGAGCGAGCGUUCUGUGUUUCCAUUGACUGUUAUAACCCCACGAGGUCCUGACAUUUUGAGCUUGAGGUAUGCAUAAUGCGGUACCGCAUUGAAUCUGGCAAAUGCGGUUCGUCCGAGCAGUGCGUGAUAGCCACUGCGGAAUGGGACGAUAUCGAAGAUUAACUCCUCGCUUCGGAAGUUGUCCGGAGAUUCGAAGACCACUUCCAGUGUGAUUGAGCCCGUGCAGCGGGCCUCUACACCUGGGAUGACACCUUUAAAGGUGGUUUUAGUGGGUUUGAUCCUCGAGGGGUCUAUACCCAUUUUGCGCACUGUAUCCUGAUAAAGCAGGUUCAGGCUGCUGCCGCCAUCCAUAAGGACUCGGGUGAGGUGAAAUCCGUCAAUGAUGGGAUCAAGGACCAAUGCGGCAGAACCGCCAUGACGGAUACUAGUGGGUGGUCCCUACGAUCGAAAGUGAUCGGACAAGAAGACCAUGGGUUAAACUUUGGGGCGACUGGCUCCAUCGCGUAGACGUCCCUUAGUGCACGCUUCCGUUCCCUCUUGGGAAUAUGGGUUGCGUAUAUCAUGUUCACCGUUUUCACUUGGGGAGGAAAUUUCUUCUGUCCUCCUGUGUUCGGCGGCCGGGACUCCUCCUCAUCGUCGCUAUGCAGCCCCUUUUCCUUGUUUUCGAUAUUCAACUUGCCGGCCUGCUUGAACACCCAACAUUCUCUGUUGGUGUGAUUGGCUGGCUUAUCGGGGGUGCCGUGAAUUUGACACGAGCGAUCGAGUAUGCGGUCCAAACAGGACGGGCCCGGGUUGCUUCUUUUGAACGGCUUCUUCCGCUGACCGGAUUUAGAGCCACUGAAUCCGGCAUUGACUGCCGUGUCUUCGGCGUUGUCACCGUUGUUGCGGCGCUUGUGUCUGUUGCGACGUGGUCUGCCGUUACUAUCUUUGGCAUCUGAAUUGCCAUGACCUCUUGAUGUGUUGUUGCUGCGAGCCAGCCAGCUAUCCUCGCCCGCGCAAAAGCGGGUCAUGAGUGUCGUGAGGGCUGCCAUAGACUUUGGCUUCUCCUGGCCGAGGUGCCGGGCGAGCCACUCAUCACGGAUGUUAUGCUUAAAUGCCGCUAAGGCCUCUGCAUCCAGACAGUCGACAAUUUGUUUUUUCUUAGUUAGGAACCGGGUCCAGAAUUUCCUGGCCGAUUCCCCUGGCUGCUGAGUUAUAUGGCUCAAGUCAUCAGCAUCCGGUGGUCGCACAUAAGUGCCCUGGAAGUUGUCAAGGAAUGCAUCUUCCAAAUCCUCCCAACUGCCAAUGGAGUCUGCUGGCAAGCUAUUCAGCCAAUGCCGAGCUGGUCCUUUGAGUUUUAGUGGGAGGUACUUGAUGGCAUGUAGAUCAUCACUGCGAGCCAUGUGGAUGUGGAGGAGGAAAUCCUCAAUCCAUACCGCGGGAUCUGUUGUACCAUCAUAUAUUCAAUGUUUACGAGUUUAAAACCCUCUGGGAAUUCAUGAUCCAUUACUUCAUCAGUGAAGCAUAGGGGGGGUGCGGCGCCUCUGUGCCGGGCUAUAUCCCGAGCAGUUCAUACGAGUCUUGUCUGUUGUAUUCGGCCUGGCUGGAUUUGCUUUUAGUGUAUCCGGCAUGACGGUCGUCGUCCCGCGUUGGGGCGCGCCCCCGUGAUUCGUAGAUCGAUCUUGCAUGUUUUGCUUUGUUUUCCAAUACGUCUCGCAGGUCCCGCGUGUUGCCCCGGGCCUUGGUGUUUUUGUUUGAAUGGCGGCGGGGUGCGGGCUGGACUUCGGGCUGAUAUGCCUCUCUGUCUCGGCCACGAGGUGGCCGAUCAGCCGCAUCAUACGCUGGUGAUGUAGGUUUCAAUGCUUCCUCCUCGAGUUGGGGUAGCAACCUGCGCUUUGGGUAACUCUUGGUUAGGCGCUCGAGUUCGUAUUCCUCGGCUGCCAGGACUUCAGUCCAUCUAUCCGCUAGCAGAUCUUGAUCAGCUCGAAGCUGUUGUUGCUUUUUCUUCAGGCUGUUUGUUGUGGCUAUAAGCCGGCGCUUGAAGUGCUCCUGCUCGACGGGAUCCUCAGGCAUGAUAAAUUCUUCGUCGCCGAGGCUCACUUCGUCUUCGGAGAGUGGCAUGUAAUUGUCAUCCUCCGAUUCUCCGUCUGCUGCCUGUUCCGGAGGGCUAGCUUGUUCAUCCUCCCGCUCGAGGUCUGGCUGGAGGGGAUUAUUGUCGUCUUCGGCACUAUCCAGAGCGUUAUUGUCUCUUGUGCCGGUAUCGCUACUUUUGCUAUGGCGGGACUUAGAGCGGCGCCGCUGACGUCGGUGCUUGGAUUGCUUCUUGAAGGGAUUAUCCUCCGUUGUCUUAUCGCCAUCGCCUUCUUUGGGGGUGUCCACCAUGUAUAUAUCAUAUGAUGAGGUGGCAGUCCAGCGCCCUGUGGGCGGUGGUUCUUGUUCGUCUCCUGCAUCGGCGUCCAUACCGUCGAUGUCUUCGGAGCCGAAGUCGAGCAUGUCGGUUAAAUCGUCAAUAGUGGCUACUAAGUGGGUGGUGGGUGGGGAGCGAAUUUCUUCGUCGUCCGCAUCCCAUUCUAGCCGGACAUAGUUCGGCCAAGGGUCUCCUGACAGGGAGAGAGACCUCAACGAGUUUAGCACGUCGCCAAAGGGCGAGUGCUGAAAGAUAUCCGCGGAGGUAAACUCCAUGAUCGGUGCCCAAUCGGAUUCGAUAGGCACAAACGCGGGCGGCUCGGAUCCCAUGGCCGGGGACGAAUCCAACGGUUCGGCAACACGAGUCUCGUAGGAGGUGAAGUCAGUAUUCGGCUCUAUCGCCACUGAGUGUGCGGCCUCCGUGGCGGGGUCCAUCCACCCGUCCUCAGAUGGCGCAAUUUGUUCCGGAUUGAGGGCCGGAGUAGCUGCAGGUGUGAUCUCCCGAACACUGUCCGACGGCAGAGCUAAGUCAUGCUCGUCGUGAUUGUGCGGCGCACCUGACAUGGGCUCGAAUCCGUCAAAGAUCAAGUCUCCGCGGAUGUCGGCAGUAUAGUUCGAGUUUCCAAACCUGACCUGAUGGCCAGGGGCGUAGCUCUCGAUCUGCUCCAGAUGGCCAAGCGAGUUGGCCCGCAGUACAAAGCCGCCGAAUACGAAGAUCUGUCCGGGGAGGAAAACCUCACCCUGGAACGCAUCGUUGCCGAUGAUCGAAGGAGCCAUCAAGCCUUAUGGUGACGACACAGUGGAACUCUCAGUGAAAGCACCAAUGUCGGUGUCAAAACCGGCGGAACUCGGGUAGGGGGUCCCGAUCUGUGUGUCUAAGGCGGAUGGUAACAGGAGGCGGGGGACACGAUGUUUACCCAGGUUCGGGCCCUCUCGAUGGAGGUAAUACCCUACUUCCUGCUUGAUUGAUCUUGAUGAUAUGAGUAUUACAAGAGUUGAUCUACCACGAGAUCGUAGAGGCUAAACCCUAGAAGCUAGCCUAUGGUAUGAUUGUUGUUGUUCUACGGACUAAACCCUCCGGUUUAUAUAGACACCGGAGGGGGCUAGGUUACACAGAGUCGGUUACAAGGGAGGAGAUCUACAUAUCCGUAUUGCCAAGCUUGCCUUCCACGCCAAGGAGAGUCCAUCCGGACACGGGACGAAGUCUUCAAUCUUGUAUCUUCAUAGUCCAACAGUCCGGCCAAAGGAUAUAGUCUGGCUGUCCGAGGACCCCCUAAUCCAGGACUCCCUCACCCGGUAUGCUCCUCUUGCCGCGUCCGGUCGGUGACCGCCGAUGGCGGUGGAGGUUGUCUCCUCCCGCGUGGUUGCUGUCGCUGCCGCUCCUCGUUCCCGUCCGCUCCCUUUCGACCUCGUCGGUCUCGCUUCGUUGACCAUGGUGAGGCGGCGGUGAUGAUGGCAAGACCGUGGUGGCGCAUGUUGGUGGGCGGCAUGAGUGGUGGAGCGCAUCGGACCAUUCGGGGAUGUGGGUGAUUGGUGGAGGGGAGAAAUCCCUGCCGGCUUGUCGGCACCGAGCGGUGACGCCUGAGGCGCCACCGUUCCUUCCUGAAGGGCGUCGGGUAUUCCCUUCCCCACUCCCCUCCGUGUACCAGGGGAAACCCUAGGACUUGUCCGGGCAGCAGCGUCGUCGUCGUCGUGUUUCUUUCUGAAGGUGUUGCUUGGUAUGCGGAGGCUCGAGGUUCUAGGUGCGAGGAGGUAAAUCUCUGGUGGGCGUAGCGGUUGCGGGUCAUCAUCGUUUUCGUCGAUCCGACGUUGUCGACAUUUUUUUCUCUCUUCUUUCUCUUUUGUUUCUUUUGGGCGUGCUUGUGUUGUUUGCCCCAGCCUUGGACUCUUUGUUGUAUCAGGUGGUUGCUAUAUCUAUAUAGCGGGGCGAAAGCCUAUUUCGUAAUACUUACCGUGUGUCACUGAAAUUUGUCAUCCUUACAUGCCUAGAAUUGCCAUCAAAAAACGUCAGGGCCGGAGUGCCGCACACCUAACGUGUGACACUCAUCAUUUGGGUAUAUAUAAGCACGCGGGUAGCGUUCAGGCUUGUUAUUCACCUUGUGUGCAGAUCACGCUCUUUGCUCCUGGAGGAGAAGAAAGCACGAUAUACGUGGGAGCGCAGCCCAAAGUAUGUAUUUCGCUCUUGCUUCUUCUAGUAUCGCAUAACCUCCUUCUCUUAUCACUCGCUCGCCGUUUUGUUUGUGUGUGUUGAUGGCCGUGGUGUUCGUCGUACAUAUCAGCUGGUCGUCGAGGUGGUGAUCGCUCGCCCUGCCGCAGGUUUCGCACGCAUGGCGACGGCGGAGGCCGAUGUUGGCGCCGCCGCGAGCGUGACGGCGCCGAUGAUGCUGCACGGGCGCGUGGCGAUCGUCACGGGCGGCGCUGGAGGGAUCGGCUCGGCCGUGUCGAGGCACCUGGCGUCCCUCGGCGCGCGCGUGGCCGUCGCCUACGUCGGGGACCCGGCGCCCGCGCGGGAGCUCGUGGCCGCCAUCAACAACGCCGCGCACGCCGGCGACCAUGGCCCGCGCGCCGUGGCGGUGGAGGCGGACGUGUCGGACGCGGCGCAGGUGCAGGCGCUGUUCGACGCGGCGGCGGCGGCGUUCGGCGGGGAGCUGCACGUGCUGGUCACGGCGGCGGCGGUGAUGGACACCUCCUACCCGCCGCUGGCCGACACCAGCGAGGCGACCUACGACGCCGCCUUCGGCACCAACGCGCGGGGCACCUUCCUGUGCCUCCGCGAGGCGGCGCGCAGGCUGGCCCGCGACGGGCGCGGCCGGAUCGUCACCUUCUCGUCGUCCGGGGUCGGGUCGCUGCGCCCGGGCUACGCGGCGUACGCGGCCAGCAAGGCGGCCGUGGAGACCAUGACGAGGAUCCUGGCGCGCGAGCUGCGGGGCACCGGGAUCACCGCCAACGCCGUGGCCCCCGGGUCCACGGCCACGCCCAUGUUCUACGGCGGCAAGACGGACGAGGAGGCCGAGCGGUACAUCGCGGAGGCGCCGCUGGGGAGGCUGGGGAUGCCCGAGGACAUCGCGCCGCUCGUGGGCUUCCUCGCCAGCGACGCCGGCGGGUGGGUCAACGCCCAGGUCCUGCGCUGCAACGGCGGCACCAUCUGACAUGAUCAGUGUUCGAGUGUUUCGUUGGCUUCGUAGCAGUGAUCUUUUCUCUCUCGUUGUUUGGUGCGUUAUCCGCGCUGUUGCGGUGGACUUUGUUGUGGAACUCUGGUUGCUGUCACGACUCACGAGUUAGGCAUUCCUCUCUUCUAGUAGUAGUACUACGUAUUGAGUGUGUGUGUGUUGGUCUCUGCGUCCUUUAUUCACAAACACCGUUGGAAAUAGGGGUGUGAAUUUUGGUGGACUAGAGAUAUGAUAACAAUCCUCGUGUCCUUAAACGAGAAAUUGGGAUUUGAAUUUUGAUGGACUAGAAAUGUACUAAAACUGAAACUGGUAUAGGGGAGUCGUCCUCCCAUUCCAUACCACAUGGGGGACACAUAUUAGUAGGUUCAAGAUUGUAGGGAAUUUAUUUGACCAUGUAGCGAGGGAGUUUGGCACCAGCCAUCAUGGGAAGACGCAUACUUUAGGGGGAGGAGGGGACCUCAUAUGGUCUUUCGGAUGGCGCGACUCGAGGCGCUUGCUAAAGAACACUCACGCUCGUCCAUGACAAAGCGAUAAGCCAAUUUACAUAGUGAAGAUGCCAGUCUUCUUUUAUUAUGAUGCAUGUUUAGUAUACUGUCAUAUGAAAAGAUUGUAAUCUUGGUGAAAAUCAUAAAAAUGACUUGGACUCCGGAUGAUGAUUUGUGGCUCUCGGCUGCCACACACCCCUAUAUAAACAAUAGCAGCAGAAAACAUAUUAGGAAAAUUAAAAAAACUAAAAUGUUGGGAUAUGAAACUUGGAUGCCCGUUGUACACGCGUGUUCAGUUUCGUGGGGAAUCAGUGCCCGUGGUAAUGGCAAUAAAAAAGAUAAAAAAUUCAUAUGUGUAGAAAAAAACUUAAUGCAAGGUAUGUUGGACGGUACUUUGUACGCCGCGGAUACCAUGGGCACCCAUUUUCCACGAAAAUGUACACGGGUGUACAACGGACACUCAGGUUUCAUAUUCCAGAAUUUCAGAAUUUGUAAAAAAAAAAUCGUUGUUUUUUAAUGCUAUUUCAUAUAGGGGCGUGUGACACCCGAGUGCUGCAUGCACUAUCCCUUGGACUCCUUGCUUAGUAAAUAAUUUCCUGGUGGUAGAACCCUUGUUGGAUCUUCGCAACCACACACUAUGUAAAUAAUGAAUUAAUAAUGCACCAAGAGCUAUUGAAUGAGUGUCCUUGUAAACAUUACUACUAGUAUGUCGAUUGCUACACCUUUUUCUCUCUUUGGUGCAUGCACAAACAAUUUCUUUGUGUUAAUACCACUUUUGUUGUUUUAAUACAUACUCCCUCCGUCCGGUGAAGAGUGUACAUCUACCUUCAAAAUUUAUCCAUAAAAAAGUGUACUACUAUCUUCCCAAUGCAUUUUAAAGUAGGAAACAAUAUUUCUCUCUCAUCACACGAUAAUCAAGACCAAUAGCAAUUUACACAUGGUCUUCUUAAUUUCUACAUGCACUUAGCUCAUUGGGGUUGGCUAAUUAAAGAGGAGAAAGAUGGUGGCUUGCACUUUUCCAAUGCAUUUUUUUACUUAACUCCAUAAUUUAUCCUAAAAUUUCUAGAUAUACACUCUUCACCGGACGGAGGAAGUAUGUCAUCAAUGUUGACCCUACAUGGAGGCAUAUACUUGACAAUUUCUAUUGGGAGGGUAAUGGAAGGCCAAGGUCUACACGGAAGGGUGCUUUUUAAUUAAGUUUCCGUCUCUCAAAAACUAAAUGAAUGAGCCAUUAUAAUUAUAAUCACUAUAUUCAGGCAAACUACAACCUCUAUUGCCAAGUAGAAAUUGUAGGCUCGUCAACACCUCGCUCGCAUUAAUUGCGGUGUCGGAGGAUAUGUGGAGGUGUGUCUCUGUCGGAUCUCAUGAGAUUCGAUCGGUGCUGGUCUUUGAUGGAUCUAUUUGGAUCCAGUUUUUGUUUGUCUUCGUUUGUGUGGUUUCAGGUUUGAUCUUUCCGAUCUAUAACUCUCUUCAUCAGCGAUGGUUGCUGCUUUGGUGUGGUCGUUUGAGGCCUUAGCACGACGACUUCCCGACUGUCUACUACAAUAAGGUUUGCCCGGUUCCGGUGAUGGAGGGGCGAUGAUGGCGGCGCGCCUUCGGCUUGCUCCAGUGCUUGUAGUCGUCGCUAGGUGGUCCAUAGACCUGGUUGUAAUUUUUAUUACCUCUUGUGUUCUCUGUACUGCCAUGAUUGAUGAAUAGAUUGGAAAUUUCUCUCACAAAAAAACCUCCCUCGCAUUUGUCAAUGCAGAGAAUAAGUACAUCAUUACAAGUAUAAUGAGUUCAUCCCCCCCCCAACCCCAAUAUUGAUGCAACCAAUGUGACUUCUCUUAGCAUUUUCGCCAUGAGCCCUCGACGCAAAAAGACCGGUCGACUUGAAUUCGAGAGCAAUGGAGCCUUGGCGAAAUAGUGAUCCAGAACCCUCGGCCAAUGCAUGAACAAAUUGCCGGCUUGCUCUGUGCCUCUUCUUCACCCUGGCAAAUAAUGUUCUCUUUGAUCCAGCGUUUGGUGGAUUGACGCAUAAUAGUCGGUGCAGGUGGGCGAACAAACCUUAACUGCUCUCCAUUGUGUGUGGAUCUUCUGGGAGAAUUCAAUGUAAAGUUUGCUGAUUUUUAAGUCAACAUGUUUCGCUAGAGGGUGGUUUACAUGGGCCUAGUGCAAACAACUGAGUGCGAAGACGAACCACAGUUGUAAAGAUGAUAUGCAAUUCGAGGCUUCAUUGAGGCCAGGGGGCAUUNNNNNNNNNNNNNNNNNNNNNNNNNNNNNNNNNNNNNNNNNNNNNNNNNNNNNNNNNNNNNNNNNNNNNNNNNNNNNNNNNNNNNNNNNNNNNNNNNNNNNNNNNNNNNNNNNNNNNNNNNNNNNNNNNNNNNNNNNNNNNNNNNNNNNNNNNNNNNNNNNNNNNNNNNNNNNNNNNNNNNNNNNNNNNNNNNNNNNNNNNNNNNNNNNNNNNNNNNNNNNNNNNNNNNNNNNNNNNNNNNNNNNNNNNNNNNNNNNNNNNNNNNNNNNNNNNNNNNNNNNNNNNNNNNNNNNNNNNNNNNNNNNNNNNNNNNNNNNNNNNNNNNNNNNNNNNNNNNNNNNNNNNNNNNNNNNNNAUUUUGAAUGAUAAAUGCUUGAUCAGGUAGCCGUGCGCAAGAGGUUUUAUUGAUUUGACCGAUGCUAAAUGUAUCAUUCUUUUUCUAGACACCAAAUAGGUGUGCUUACACUAAAAAGAAUUAAUGUUUAUAUAUGUACAUAUUGCAUUGUACAUGUCUUUAGUGCUCCUCGUGUUGCUUCACUCUCCCGUGUUUUGCGGGAAGAUACCAUCCAUGUUUGGGUCACAACUAAUAUGUGUCGUAUGGAAAGAUAGGAGUUUGCCUUUCGCGUGAGGCUUGAAAUUUUCCUAAGACAAUAUAAAUACAUGUCGUUUACUUUGAAACUAAGCAUCCAAAUCAUGGAUAAGUUUCACCAUUGUAUUUCACGUGGCAGUGUCUUAUGAACUUGACCCCUUUUGAUAUUUUUGGUGAAAAAUUAACGUUAUUUUGUGCUCCCUUAGUUUCUAAAUAUAAGUCUUUUUAGAGAUUUCAAUACGGACUACAUACGAAUGUAUAUAGACAUACUUUAGAGUGUAGAUUUAUUCAUUUUGCUUCAUAUGUAGUCCAUAUUAAAAUCCCUACAAACACUUAUGUUUAGAAACGGGGGGUAUUAGUUGUGGUGUGUUGAUGAUGCUAUAACUCGACAUAGCCGGUAGCAUUCGCUAAUUUGUGCGCUUCUACCUAUGAUCUCCCUCUCAUUAUUUAUAGGAAAACAGACGUGUUGAAUGUAGCACAAUUUGUCAUAGUCGGGAGUGGGCAUUACGCCAAAUGUUGCUUUUACACAUCGGUUUAAAAAUUUAUAAACUAAGUUGGUGGAGUCGAUUUUGUUAGAAAAAACUACUCCCUCAACAAGUAAUAUGGAUUGGAGAGACUACAAAAAUCGCAACAAAAUCAGGAUUUAUCCCAGGAUUUUCGGGGAUGCGCGUUCAGUGGGAGGAGACGUUCCCGUCGACUACGAUAACUUCUAAAAUCUCAAAAUAAUAUGUUGGCUCAGUCCCUCAGAGAUGCCCAUAAAAUUAAAAUAUGCAUGUAUGCGUUCAUAGGGUGAGUGUAUGUGCGUUUAUAUGAGCGCUUACGUCUGUACUGUGUUAAAAAAAACAACAAAAUCAGCGAAAACACCCGUUAAAAGUCCGGAGGCCCCAAGUUUAAAUAGAGUGAGCCCAUGGAUGGGGAUUAGGGCAUAGAGGGCUUCCAUCGUACGGCCCAGCGGCUCAGUGGCCGGCGCAAAUCGUCUCCUAACCAGAUUAAUGGCGUAAUAAUCAUCACAGGGAAAAACUCUUCGUAGCGAGAUUUCCCCACCCGUCUUCUUCCUCCGAAACCCUAAUCCCCAAAUCGGAGAAUCGGACCCAGCCCGGCGCCGCGGAGAGCAUCCGCCCAUCGACCGGCAUGGCGAUUGCUCGCACUGGCGUGUACGUGGACGACUACCUGGAGUGUGAGAUUGCCGGCUCCGACUUGUUUCCCUUUUCCUUUCCAUUGGAGGUGCUUUUGGACCUUUUGCCCUUACUGGCUUCGUAUCGUUCCGCAGAUUCGAGCACCCUGGCCGGCGACCUGCAGAGGAUCCUCUCCACCAUGCACGAGCUCGACGAGAGGGCCCAUGGUGAUGAUUUUGCCAACUCUCUUUUUUGGAAAAAAAAAAACCCAUUUUGAGAAUCUGAUAAAAAAGUCAAUGUGGGGAGUGAAUUUUGCUUUCCAUCCUGACUCCGUAUUAAUCUGGCCAUGCUUUAAUUGUCGACCCUGAGAUAUAAUCCCGCGAGUGAUAGAGGACUGGCUGUUGUAUAUGAUGGUGGAUGGCGUUUCUCAAGCUUUGUUUUGUGGUUUUCUGUCUUAUAUAUCUUUGUGGUGCAGGCAUUUUGGGUCAGACUAAAGGGCAGAUAAAAUUUCUCCUGGGGGUGCCAUCCCAUGGGUUCGACAGGCCAAACGUGGUGCAUGAUGAAAAUGCCUCGGAGAAGAUGACGAGGGAUAUUGAAAAUAGCCAGGACAACGCGCUUAGUCUCUGCACGGAGAAAGUGUUGCUCGCGCGCCAAGCUUAUGACCUGGUUCUGCUUCCUUCCUCUUUUUCUUCAAGUUGUCCUGUAGCUUAAAGAAUUACGGAUGCAAAACUUUUAACUAGUGCAUCUACGCAUGUUAUGUCAUGUUUGGUAGUUAUAUUAGUUACUCCAGGGUUGCUACCCCCUGAUUCUGCUUCCUUCCUUCAACUUGUAGUCCUGCACCUGCAACAUAAUGGACCUAUGGAUAUCAGUUAGUUCUCCUCCGUGAUGGAAAUGUCGCUAGUGCCUACUGCCUUUAUACAUUUAAUUUAAUUUCUGGUGGUUAUCUUAGUUAACUCUUUGGUUGCCACUCCCAGGUCAACUUGAUCAUUUUGUACCAAACUUUAGACUUUGUACAGUAAUAUGCAAUUCUAGAAAUCAAAUUGGACUCCAGAAUAACAUAUUAAAUGCCAGACAAAACAGAUAAAGAUGUGAACCUCUGUAGUUAACAUAUUCUUAGUUGAGUUCUUAAAAUUACAAGUUUUUUUUGGAAAGAGCACCGAGUGAUUAAUACAAAUUAUUCAGCACCAUGAAAUUAAAUUUGAUAUUUGUAUUCAGAUUAGAAUAUGAAAAGCCUGGUAUUACUUGUGUGAUAUACCACCCAGCUGUUAAAUUGUUAUAUUGAGGCAAGAAGCCUAACACAGGAUGCAAACCUAAAUCUGUUCUUAACAAUGCACCUCAUUAUACCAACAUAGAAAUACAGAAGGGUAGUCGAGGAUCCAAACCAAUCUACAAAUGGAUGCACUUUUUUUGGCAGUUAUCUCUUCAGUGUUAAACUUUUAUGGAUAUCUAACUAUUAAUUAUCUUUGGCAUUAUUAUACAGAUAGAGAGUCAUAUCAAACGUCUUGAUGAAGACCUAGGCCAGUUUGCAGAAGAUUUAAAGCAAGGUAUAAGCAGUGAUGUCAUUUUUUUACUUGUUCAUUAGGAAUCCAUUAUUGAAUCUUCACCAAACAGAAUAUCAGAUUCCGUCUUCAGUUUUUCCUCAAAAAGAACAUUGAUUGUUCUCUCUUGCUUGCAGAAGGAAAAAUACCUCCAGAUGAACCGCAUAUCCUUCCUCCAAUGCCGGUGGGUGGCAGGGAUGAAAGACGGAGGUCCAGUUUUAGUACACCCCAAGCAGCAAGGAAGUUUGUCAGAGAGAAGGAAUGGGAGAGGGAUAGGGAGAGAGGUAUGGACUUCGACUUAAUGCCCCCUCCAGGUAGCAGCAACAAGAAGGCCGUUGCAUCUAUGGAUGUGGAUCAAAUGAUUGAUCCAAAUGAACCGACAUAUUGUAUAUGCCACCAGGUAAGCUUGAAAUUGAUAUAUGUUCAUAUUCCCGGUACUUGCAUUUGCAUCAAUAUCUACAUUGAGCAUUUUUCUCAUAUGUUUGCUGAAAAUAUGUUCCUAUUUUUAAUUGAUUUUCAGGUUUCAUAUGGUGAUAUGAUUGCUUGUGACAAUGAGAAUGUAAGUUUUAUGAUGCUAAGUAGUGAUGCCUUAUCUUCUGAGUUGUUUGUGGGAGUUUAGCUUGUCUGUUGUAAAUUACUAAUAUUUACCCUUAUCAGGCCUAAGUAGUGCUUUAGAGCUUUCCAAACUUAUUGUAUUGCUUUUUGAACAAUGAUGUUGUGCUGGACUGGUGGUUGGUCAUCUCAUGCUUGUAGUUUUUUCUCUUGUCGUCCAGAAAGAGGAUUAUGUGCUCACUGUUUUACUCUUGUUACUAGGAUGUAACAUCGGGCCCGUCAAUGUAUAUGCUUGCUUGCAUUCUCUAGAUAUUGUAUAACAUGAGCAAUUAGAAGUUGGUACUUGCAUUUUACAAACUAUUAGUGGAAUAGAAUUAGUGGUCAAUGCGUUGGAAUUUUUCACUGUAAUUCCUCCGGUACAGUUUAAAGGAAUUCCUUCAUAGAAUUAAGUCAUAGCGUAGCCUUCAAGCCUAGUGGUAUGAUUUCCAGAUUUUUACCCUGUUCUAUUAGGUUUAUUCAUUAUCACCAAUACCCCCGCUCACGGAAAAUAACAAUUAAUUUCAUUUUACAAAUCCCCGCCUUGUUCUAUUAGUUUUAUUCAUCAUCACAAAUAUCUCCCCUAGCAACAAAAUAGAUUUAUAAGUAUUCAUUGCAAUACAGACCCCCUGUGGCCUCUCAAAUUGAGUACGACUCUUUACAUGUAAUGUUAGCUUGGGACUCUGAAUUUUUAUGAUGCACUGGAUACUAUUCGUAAAACAGAUAAAGAAACCUUCACAAUCAUCCAAGAUUGAACAGAAACAUUUGUUAACAAUUCAUGGUCGUAUAUCAUAUUGGUGCAUCAAUCCUCAUGAUCAUGUGCAAUGCUCUAUGGUCUAUGCUAGAAACUACAAUCACCGAAGGAAAAACAUUAGAUAAAAGGCACGAUGGAGCCCUACAAAGUAGUGUCUUGCACUAUCACUUUCGUAGUGCCGAUGCUUGUUAUCGUAUGAUUUACAUUUUGGGUUUUGUUAUAUGAACGUCAUCCAUCUCUACCGAUUGCUAACUUUUUAUAUGCUUGCCUACAGUGUGAAGGAGGCGAAUGGUUCCACUACUCGUGCGUUGGUCUGACACCAGAAACAAGAUUCAAAGGGAAAUGGUUUUGCCCAACUUGCAGGAAUCUUCAAUGAGAGGUUCUCCUAAAUUGGUAAGAGGCAAUAUUACCAACUGCUUUAAAUCUGUAGAAAUCUUAGCUUACCUUAUCACGUAAAUCACCAAAUAAAGCCCAUCUUCCUGUAUAAAAUGUGAAUUUGUAUAACCGUGUUAUAAGAAAGUAGUAAUUUCACAAAUUAAUAGAUUCAUAUUAUUAGUGCAAACUUUUCCUUUUCAGAAAACCAUCUAACUCAGUCCUUCAAAACCUCGAAAUAACCCUACAAAUAUGCCCCCCCCCCCUCCCCAACACACACUCACUUCAAAUUUUGCAGUUUUGUAUAUACCUUACAUGUAGAACGUGGGGGAAGGACAGAGCUGGCGUAGUGGUGAAGUACUCCCUACUUUUGCCAAGAGGGCCUGGGUUUGACGCAGCCUCUCUGCAUUGCACUGCGCAGGGGUAAAGCACUAAGAUUCGCCUCAUUUAAUCCUUCCCUAGAACCCACCUGGUGUGGGAGCUUCUAGCACUGGGUCCUUUUUUUUUUUACAUGUAGACGUGGGGAGUGCAGGUGCACCAAAAAGGGGACGACGCCAAAUAAGCAAAGGCAGAAGUUUGUAGAACAGACCCAAGGCACCGAUAGUGUACAGCUAGAGUUAAGCUUAUCCAGAGACAUAUCAAUGAAUCAUGAUUGUUAACUAACAUACAUGGUAUAUGGAACACCCACUGCAAUUUCACAUAAAGGCCCUAUAAUUAAUUACCGGACAUAAGCUAUUGAGAAAAACACCCACAUGACAUCCUUCUUUACCACUCUCUUCAAAAUCUAAUAGCCCGCGACUGGAAUUCAAUACUCCCUCCGUAUCAAAACAUAAGACAUUUUUUGACACAGUCAUAGUGUCAAAAAACGUCUUAUAUUUUGAUACAGAGGGAGUACCUUGGUAGUCAAUCGCCGCAUGCUUUAAUCAUUUCCUCACAUGUACCUGCAGUCGCAUUCAAGUAACGUCCCUUGAAGUCAGCCUCUUGUCAUCGGGAUAAUUCUUGGGUCAUUUUAAGAAAGCUUCUUUCUCCCUUAAUAACUAUUUAUCGUUUGCUCACCAGUGUUGAUGAGGGGAGCGGUUCCAGUCGGCCCAGACUUUCCGCAACAUGCAGGACUCUUCAACAUGAGGCUCUCAGAAGCUUUUCUUGGACAGGAGGAUACCAAAUGGUACAUGUUUCAAUUUGUAAGGAGGCGAUUACUUACAGCGUGCUCUUAUUUUGGUAAUAAUGUAUAUGCUGGAGAGGACGCAACUGUUCUAGAGAAGGAUAAAAACGCUUGGCGUGUUCUGUUGUUGUAUCUUGUCGCCGCAAACAAUCUAUCAUAGUUCCAGGUGUUGGUAACCUGGUAACCAUUUUACUUUGAUCGUGAUGUCUAUUAAGCGUCAUCGCAACCUUUGCUCGCAUGAUUCUGCUCCUGAGCACCAUUGUCUGCUGCAUCUCCUCUGCUGAGCUGAAGGUGCGGCAGCAUAUGCACUUCUCCGGCACACAUUGUAUUAAAUUAUUGUGUAACUACAACUACAAAGCCUGCUGAUCCCCUGUUUCACAUGUGCAUUUUCUUGCUCAUGAGCAAUAGUAUUGGUUUGUUGCUGCAGUAUAUCUACAAAUGAUGUGGUACAUCCAGACAAGCUAUGCCUACAGGUUUGGGUUGCGGAUGCACUGCGCCCCUUGCCACGUAGCUCCCGGCGGCAGCACCACGGGCUCCAGCAUGGCAGGCCCGAUGCACACGUAGGCGAACUUGCCGUACCACUCGUACUUGGACCCCGGGCUGAAGACGUACAGCUCCUCGAACCCUCGCCUGCUCAGGCAAACCGAGUUCCUCCGGCCCUGCACCCAAACAUCAAUGAAUUCCACAAGAAUUCAUCAGUUUUUCAGUUUUGUGAUCCUUCUGCGGUUUUGCAUUUGUCACGUACCCUGUCGAUGACGGUGAACUCCCUGGGCGCGUGCCGGUACACCCGGCACAGCUCCGCCGUCAGGUGCUUGUAGUUGUCGUCCUCCUCGCCGUCCGGCUCCGGCGCCGCUCGCGGCGCGCUCUGCCCGCCCCCGCCGCCGGAGAGGAGCAUGUCGAGGCCCUUGCUGACCCAGCGCGGCUGAGGUGACGACGGCGCCGUCGCGUAGUAGUCCGGCGGCAGGAUGCUGAACUCGGACAGCAGGGGCUCCCUGCCGCGGUAGUCCGAGCCCUGGAGCCCCACGGCGUAGGUGGCGUCGGGCGUGCUCACGCGCAGGUGGUUGCACACGGCGCCCGACAGCGCCACGGCCGACGGCGACGACGCGGCGUUCGUCACCGCGUACUCCGACGCCAGCGCCUCCGGCUGCAGCGUCACCACGCACCUCGCCUCCGCCCCGUCCCCGCUCCCCGGCGGCUCCACGGACACCAGCUCCACGGAGAUGGACCCCGUGGGGCCUCCCCUCACGGCGCGGAGCGACCACGCCCCGCCCGGCGACCACGGCGACGGACCGUCCCGCGCGCACCGGAAGUCCAUGGACACGCCGCCGCGGAUGACGGGGCGCCCGCCGGGGCCCUCGCCGACGGUGGUGUGGAGCACCUCCGUGGCGGCGCCGUGCCACAUGGCCGGCUUGUAGGACGUGACCAGCCCGCUGGGCAGCAGCAGGUGCGCUGCGCUGCCGUUGCGCACCGCCAUCUUCACGGCGCAGCUGUCGCCCACGGCCUCGAAGGUGACGCCGUGGCCGGAGAACUCGGCGGCCAGGUACUCGGCGUUCGGAGGAGGGAAGGGCGCCGCCGCAGUCGCCGAUGAUAGCGCAUGCGCUGCAGUGGCGAGCCGUGCCCUCUGGCCGCCGCCGCCGCCGCUGAUUAGCCUCGAUGAGCUGAGGAAGGUGAUGGUACUGUGCUUCCAUGAGCUCGGUAGAGGAGCCGGAGUGGCAUGGCCAUGGGCAGUGGCGGCAGUUGGAGCGCGGAAAGCCAUGGCCGAUUCUGGCGAGUGGCACCGCGGUAGCCUUAUCUGCACUGCAACUUCUUUUUUCCUUCGGCUUGAGAUUUUCUUUUGUGUGGCCUCUUCGAUAUUUUGGAUCGUCUUUCCUUUCAUUUCUUGAUAUAAAACAAUGGUAGUGUUAACUAGCUGACGUUCGCUGGGGGUGAGAUCCCACCGAACGCCUCCAGAGCCACACGAUUCAGAUCCGAUGGAUGACAGUAAUUGACGAAAAUUGCAUUGAAACUAAAGAUUUUUUUUGUUUUGAAAACUGCCACCCCCUAACACUAAAAUUGCCACCAAAAUGUCAUGCAUGGAAGUGAACGUUCGCUGGGGAUUAGCGUCCCAAAACAAAAUAGCAGGAGGUAAGCAUCUUUUAAUCGUUCACUAGAUACAGAGACAAUUGAAAAUCCUCUUGUGAUUGUGGGAUAUGCAUAUACUCGUUUGUGCGAGCAUCAUCGAACAUUACUCGAGUUCAUUUGGCUAGUGGAUACUACACAACUGAAAAUUAAUAACUUCAUCAAAAUCACAGCAAUGGCAUUUUCAACUACUUCAAUGCACAUCAAAUCCAGUAUUAUACAAUAUAAUGGCUCAUGAACUAGAUCAGGAUACCAGGUAUGCUAGCUAACACACAAACAGUUGACUUGGCAAUAAUUUUUCUAUCCAUGCUAGAAACCGUGCUACUGUAAAGAGCAAUACACACGUGAAUCAACUAUGUCCCUCAAAUGUGUAGUACCAAUGGACGAUAUAUAUCUCCAUGUUUGUCUAUGGCAUGCGGUGAUUUUCAGAUGGGACAAAUGGCUUAGGGGGCAUUUGCAGAUUCUGUAAGCUUCCAGUUAACAUAUUUACCACCUUUGUCAUUGAUGGCCGGUUUCUUGGGUUCCACUGAAUACACCAAAGUGCCACGAUAGCAAGCUGUCUCGUCUUUUCUUUCCCUUCUGGUGUCACUUCCAGAGUAAGCACCAGUUCCUCUCCAGUGAUUACUUUCUCGUAGAUCCACUCCGGGAGGUAUUCUUGGUUCUGGCUCUCCAUACUUGGGUCUGAGUUCCUCCGUCCACUCACCAUUUCUAACACUAGCAUGCCGAAACUAUAAACAUCCGACUUGUAGGAUAUCCCACCAAAGUUCCUAGAGUAAAUCUCUGGGGCGAUGUAGCCCAUAGUGCCUCUUGCUGCGGUCAAGGUGAUGAUGCUUUGAUCCCUUGUACACAACUUUGCAAGGCCGAAGUCUGAGAUCUUCGGGUUGAAAUUGUAGUCCAGUAAGAUAUUGCGAGGCUUGAUGUCGAAGUGGAGGAUGCGCUGGUUGCAUCCUUGAUGUAAGUACUCCAUUCCUCUAGCAAUGCCUAAAGCAACAUCUAGCAUUUUGUUCGGUACCAGGAGUUCUCGAGAAAUAACAGAAUUACCUGAGAAUAUAUAUUCCUCCAAUGAAUCUUUAGGCAUGAAUUCGUAAAUAAGAGCCCUUCUUGUCCCUUCAGAGCAAAAACCAAGGAGGCGGACAAUGUUUGUAUGGUGGAUUCUUCCAAUAGUUGCAACUUCAUUGGUGAAUUCCUGCCCUUCUCCAUUAGAGUGCUCAAGCAUCUUGACGGCCACAGGAACCCCAUUUGGUAGCUCACCUUUGUACACACUUCCAAAUCCACCAUGUCCUAAUUUAUCCUUGAACCGUCUCGUUAUCUUCUUAAUUUCGGAGAAAGUGUACCUUGUUGGUUUUGAUGUGCCAUAUGUCUUGAGAAACAUUUCGACUUUCAAGUGUAUCUCUUCAUUGUAUCUUGUUUUCAGUGAAAGAUAAAGAGCAGUGGCCACCAUCAAUACAAGAACAACGAAUGCGGCCGCCGAUGAUGUAGCUGAAUACAUGGAUCAGCAUAUUCAUUAGGGUUGGGAGCCAUCACUUAGUGAUUGUAAUGGAGAUGGUACAAGUUAAGAGCGAGAGUAACUAGUAACUACUUCAUGCUUAGCACAUAAAUAGUGUAUUUUCUUCCUUUGUUUUUGAAUAAAACUAUAAAAGCAAAGUGUGGAUUGGAGCGGUACCUGCAAUGACUUUGACACGUGAACCUGCAAAUAGCAAAGAAGAGAAUACAAUUUGGUUAUUUGUUUAUACAAAAAAGGGAAAUUAACUAUUAACUUGGGAAAUAAAAGGUAAGAUGUUUUAUAUGGCCAGUGGGUUAGGAUAUACCCUUUUAGUUUUGCAUUACAGGAAGAAGCGAAGAAUCCUAUUUUUGACUCCGACCCCCCGACAAUCCUAUUUGUUUUUGUUUUUUCUGUAUGCUUUAGCCUAAAUCUAGGCAAGUAAAACACUUUAAGGAAUGCAGUUGGCACAGGGAAAAAAGAGAGGGAAAAUAGAAACAAAAACGUCUGUAACUUGUUGGCUCACGUCCAGUAGUAACAGUAUAAACUUGAAGUUCUAGGAAUAUGGUGCAAGAAAUUCUGAAGCAAAUAUUUUACAAUGGAGAGAUUGCUUGUGUUUACCCCAAAUGUUUUUUUUUGUCUAUCUGCAUUAUCAUGAAAAUGCUAAACGCUAAUUGAUCAAAUAAACCCAUGUCAUUGCAAUAAUUAUCAUGAUAUACUAAACGGUAUAGUUGCUUAGUUUUUUUUUUCUUUCAAAUUUUACCUUUUGACAACUGCAGUUUUUCUCCAGCUUCAAAAUAUAUGUGACCCCAUUUUUGUUUCUUAAUUUUCUGAGAUUCAGAUGAGAAUUUGCAUGGGCUUAUAAUAUGUUUGCUCAAGCUAGCUACCCAAAUGUUUUGUCGUGCUGUUAUGCAAAAUAAUUUAACAACAAAACUCCUGGAAAGGCCGCACAGUUAUGAGUACAUUCUAAAUAGUAGGAAAUUCUCAGUGAUUUUAACUACCAAGACUAGGAAUUAACACAAUAAUAUAGGAUGGCCUCGGUUUUGUCAAGUUGGUAGUAAUUGAUAAUACCUUUAUGAGGUUGAGACAAGCAGAAAGUUUCAUUCCUUCGUGAGCUGAAGGCACAGCGUUGCCCAUUCAACUCGCAUUUUUGGCACUGAGAGGCAACGGAUGACGGUUCCUGUUCACUCCAGUCAGCUGCUAUGUCGUAAUAACGGAGGGUUCCUUCUUCCAGACCAUGCUUGGAUGCUGAGCCGUAAUAUCCUAUGCCAAAUAUUGGGAUGUUGGUAUCUGAGAUGACCUUGCAGUCCAAUGGAAGAUCAUACAUGAAAGCAUCAGUUGCCACCAAAUACGGGAAGCGAGUUUCGUUGCCAAGGCAGGAGAUUGGGCCAGCGAUGGCAGCGGCGGCCGAGGCAGAAGCAUAGAAAGCACCUCUGUCAUCAUAGACAGGAUACUGAGUGAUCCCGCUUGGCGUGAACUCCCUUGAGCAGCCUACGAGCUUUCCAGCUCCGCUGUAGUGCAGAGCACAGCUGUGGUCGGUGUCAGCUGUGAUCGAAUGUUGUGGGAUUGUAUGGAUGGCCGGUGGUGAACUUGUCGAGACGAGCUUCUGAAUCAUCGUGCAGGCGGAGGUAAGCGGGGUGAUGCUGAGGGAGGCACCGGUGUAAUUUACGGCGGUGACACGGCAUGGGCCAAGAAGUGGGUGAAGCAUGAUGGUGUCUUGGCCUGAGCAUGCUAGCUUCACGCAUGUGGCUGCGCCGCAGGAUGACGAUGACGAUGAUGAUGUGUUACUGGAAUCAAGGAGCUGGAGAGGGAACCGGAUCUCGGGUCCUUCUUUGGUGCAUCGAGACGGCGGACAAUUUCUGAAGAAAUCUUGAUCCUCCCAAGCUGCCGAAGCCGUGGCCGUGCCGGUUCCAUGGCUGACCAGGCAGGCCACCAGGGCUGCGACAAGAAAUAUACUCAUCUUUCUCCCGCUACGCUGCAGAGGUGGAUGAAGGUAAGCCUGGUAUUGUGAUUGCAAAGACAUUAGAAGAAGAAGAAGAAAAUCAGUAGCCUAAGCUGUGCUUGCCUGAGCAAGAACUUCCCCUGUCCAUGAGUCAAUACCAAACUCCUAUACAUAUCGUUUUCUAGUACUUGGCUUUGGCUGUGCGUCGCUGUAGAUCAAGCUUCGGUAGACUACAUCACUACAUUAGAAUCCCAGACCUGACAGUGACAUGUAUCAACUACCUUGGCAAAUCGCAGCGGCAUAUGCCAGCAUCUCUGCCAGAUGAUACGAACUAGAACGAGUCAACAAGGAUCAUAUAUAUAUGUGGCACAUCUUCUUUGUGAUGACAUAUGGCAGCAGUGAUGUUUUCAUGUAUAUCUAUCUGGCACGUAUUUCAUUGUGAUGACAUAUAUAUGGACGCAGUGAUGUGGACGUUCACCGUCUCCUACCAGGUCUUUCUACAGGCUCUUUUUAAAUUUUCUCCAGCGUCCCUUUGUGUCUGUUUUCACCCUUCUUCUACAACGAAGCCAAAGCAAAAGCUAAACAAUCAAUCGACUAUCGUCGAUGCCUUCAUGGUGGUUGCUGCUGCAUUGCCUGGCCGCUGUUCUUACCAUGGAUGUUGAGGGGCGACAUGAUAGGUACGCCUGCCCUCAUUUUUCUUGCGGCCAUCUCCAGGACGUCCACUACCCUUUCCGCCUGCGAGGCGAUCCAACUGAGUGCGGUUCUCCGUCAUACGAGCUGGUUUGCGCCGGCGACCGGGCUACAAUUCAGAUCAACACAGGGACAUACUUGGUCACCGAGAUCGACUACGAACUUUCAUACUUCCGGGUCGUGGAUGCCAACCUGGACAUGAGCAGCAGCUGCCCUCUUCCUCGCUGGGACCAGCGCCCUUACCUAAAUGGUCUCCAGAGGCCCAACGGCUUCAUCGAUUUGCUCCCCCCCGCGGUUACAUGGGCAAACUUUGUGAAUUGUUCACGGGCGAUCACGAACAGCAGUGACUACAAACCGGUGGCUUGCCUGAGCACCAGCACUUCUUUCGUCUAUGUGUUGGUCAACUCUUAUUAUGUCGAGAAGCUUAAGCCUUCUUGCGGGUACUUGGCCAUGGCUGCUUUGGGUGAUCGGAGCAUGCGGUAUGAUAACGCAAGCCACGGAACUUUGGUACGAUCCCUCAGAGGAGGGUUUCGUGUUUUGUUUCCUUUAUACGACACGACGCCUGGGAGCUUCACGGGCUGCCUAAAGGAUCUGAGUGUGUGAGUUUGUGAUCUAUACAUACGCACACCGUGCUUCUGUUUUGGAACAUACACAUAUGCCUGACUUCUCUACAUUUUCUCCAUUGUAUGCAGCUCAUACCCUGGAGACUCGGUGGCUUCUCUUCUCGUGCGAUGGCUUGUGUUCAUUCUUACGGUUGAUUCUCAAAUCCUGUAUUGUGCAUUUGGAGCAGAUAAUUUGCGUUCCACUCAGCACCUUCACUCACUACGCUCUGCGAUAGUAUUCUCCCCGUUAAUAUUGAAGUUCGUUGCUGGUAUGCUGAUAGAAUUACAUAAACUAGCUACGCUAGUACUCCCUCUGUUUGCAAAUAUAAUAUGUUCUAACUUUUCUGCGAAUUGGAUGUAUAUAUGCACACUUUAGUGUGUUUGUUCAUCCAUUUCAGUCCGUAUGUGGUCCAUAUUGAAAUAUUAAAAACAUCUUAUAUUUGUGAAUGUAGGGAGUAGUUUCUUGGCAAUCCCACAUAAAUAAAAUUGUUCUAUAUGUGCAGGAGUAUGCAGGUUAGUGGUUGCUCCCCUAGUGGUACUGUUCUUCCUGGCACACAAGUAUUGGAAAACAAGGAUCACAAUCGAUGCAGUCGAGAAGUUCCUACAAAUGCAGCAAAUGAUCGGCCCGACAAGGUAUGCCUACACAGAUAUUGUCGCGGUCACAGGCCAUUUCAGAGACAAGCUGGGUCAGGGAGGCUAUGGCUCCGUCUACAAGGGCAUUCUGCUCCCAGGCGAUGUCCAUGUGGCCAUCAAGAUGUUGGACGGCAAAUCCUGCUGCGAUGGAGAAGAUUUCAUCAGUGAGGUCUCCACCAUCGGCAGGAUCCACAAUGUCAAUGUGGUCCGUCUGGUCGGGUUCUGCUCGGAGGAAAUGAGGAGGGCGCUAGUCUACGAGUAUAUGCCCCAUGGUUCUCUUGAUAAGUACAUCUUCUCUGCGGAGAAGAGUUUCUCCUGGGACAAGCUCAGUGAGAUUGCCUUGGGCAUUGCUAGGGGGAUCAACUACCUGCAUCAAGGAUGCGACAUGCAGAUUCUACACUUUGACAUCAAGCCGCACAACAUCCUUCUUGACACCAAUUUUGUCCCAAAAGUUGCCGAUUUUGGCCUUGCCAAGCUAUACCCAAGGGACAACAGUUUUGUGCCCAUGAGCGCCCUACGGGGAACAAUCGGAUACAUAGCUCCUGAGAUGAUAUCCCGGAGCUUUGGCGUCAUAUCCAGCAAGUCCGAUGUUUACAGCUUUGGGAUGCUGCUGCUGGAGAUGGCUGGAGGACGCAGGAACGCAGACCCGAACGCGGCAAACUCAAGCCAGGCAUUCUACCCAUCGUGGGUGUAUGACCGGCUAACUAAACAUGAACCGGGUGAGAUAUCUGCUGAGAUGCAUGAAUUGGAGAGGAAGCUGUGCCUUGUUGGUCUGUGUUGCAUCCAGAUGAAGUCUCACGAUCGGCCAGAGAUGAGCGAAGUCAUAGAGAUGCUCGAGGGGAGCGUUGACAGCGUGCCGGUGCCUUCAAGGCCAUUCUUCUGUGAUGAUGAGCACAGCUCUGUAGUGGAGCCUUACCAUUUCCUCUCUGAGCUGACUACCAUUUCGGAGGAGGGUGAGUGAAAUUUUCUUUAUGUUCGAUGAAGUAAAUUGUUACGAGGUGAAAAACUUAUCUUGUGAAAAUUUGCAGUAAUGGUUGUUAUGAACUAUGGAAUGUGGAUGUUUUAGACUGUAUAUUAUAAGCCAUGCUUCUUGUGAAUGUUCAUCCGAAAUACAAGCAUAUUAUGUGUAUCGAGUGUGAAAUUUCGUUUGUCCCAUUGCCCAAAAGGGUGUGAGCAGUUAUGAAUGUUUUUUGAAGAAAAAUGAACACCAGAGACGUACAUGACAUACUCUGAACUGAUGGCGAGAACCUGAUGAAAGAUGCCUCGUGCUGUAGUUUUCUCUUCUGGCGCUGUUUGUUGGUUUCCAAGCCCUGUAGUUCCUGAUGGCACAUCCUUGCAUUGCAGCCCAACUGAAGAAGCAUCAAACCAUGAGAAUGUUCACACGUUAUGACAAAAAUGGCAGAAAAAUUCGGAACCUGCAACCUACUAGGAGUAGUUGUUUUUCAGCUUGCAAUUACUUUCAACAGAUCAGUUAUGCACUUGUUUUUCAGUGAGGUUUGCUUCCCUGUUAUCAGCGCAGCCGGGCAAAAUAACUUACUUAUAAAGGAAGAUGCGUGCUUCGCUGUGCGGCAUGAUUUUUGGAUUUGACAUGAAUUACACUUUAUCACGUACAGAUCCCAUAGAUUAAAGGGCGCUUGCAUGUAGUAAUAAAUUUGGAGGAAACUUGCAUUUUUAGGGGUGAGGCAGCUUGCCUCUAAUUGCUACUACAUGUGGGGCGCCGCCGAGAGGAGGAGUAGACAUGCCCCUCGCCGCCGCAUCCAGGUCAUCAUCGCCGUCUGCCGUCGCCUCAGUCUCCCUGCCAACCGCCGCCGCAUCCAGGUCAUCGUCGCAGACUUGCCGUCUCCUUAACCUCCCCUUUCGCCGCCGCCGCCAUUGGCGUGGCGCUGGCCGGCCUGCACCGGAGUCCCGACGGCAGAUUACCUCGAGCAGCGCCGGAGCUGCUCGAGCGGCGGCGGAUCUCAGGGCCGGCUCUAUGUUUUUGGAGGGCACUGGCCACUGGGGCGAAGUCGUUAACAUGGGCCUUUUCAAGGAGUAGGGCGUUUUGUAUCUCGGCCUCCACGGAGGCUGAAUUUUUGAAAAAAAAAAAAUUCAAAAUUUCCGGUUUCAGAAAAAUCUGGAAAAAUUUGUACAAGUAAACAAGGAUGUGAGGCAUAUGUGUGUAAAAUUUCAGGAUGAAAUACGUUGAAAUGUGGCCUGUACAAAAAAAAACAAAUUCAUGGUUCGGGAGGAUGAAUAGUAUCACGUGUUAAAAAGCUCCACAUUUUUUUUUGCACAGACCUCGUUUGAACGCAUUUCGUCCUGAAAAUCACACACUUGUGCAUUAUGCCUUCAUUCGGCAAAAGAUAAUGCGAAGAGAUGAAUCUUUACUAUGCACGAGCACUUGAGCCAGGAGGAUUUCACACUGUUUGUGGUCACAUUAUGGGCAAUAUGGAGUGCACGCAGCACGCAGGAAGGCCAUGUAUGAGGAUAUUUUCCAGACUCCUUGGUCCAUCAACGGUUUCAUACAAUCUUAUAUAGGCGAACUCAAGGCCAUGCAGAAGCCGGCUACAGCUAGUAGGACUGCGACUAGAAGCCGACCGACCCACUGGAUUGCACCGCCGGUGGGUUUAGCAAAGCUCAAUGCUGAUGCUGCUGUUGGGAGAGGAGGAGCGUAUGGGACUGUUGGAGUGAUCUGUAGAAAUCAUCAGGGCUUAUUCUUGGGAGCUUCGGCUGUUGUUUUCCUCAACUUGUCAGACCCAACUACACUGGAGGCAAUGGCCAUAAGAGAGGCGCUAUCUCUAGCUGAUGAUCUUUACGAACUGAAGAUUCAGGUUGCCAGCGAUUGCAAAGUUGCAGUAGACGACAUUCAGCAGAAGAGCAAGGGAAGAUAUGGUGCAAUUGUGCAUGAAAUAGUGCAGCACAAGUCUACUUUUCAUACAUGUAAUAUCAGGCAUGAAUUUCGUAGCUCGAACUUCGAGGCUCACAAGCUCGCAAAGCACGCUUUAUCAUUAGGAGCUGGCCGCCAUGUUUGGUUAGGCCAGCCCAAUGGACUCGGUUUCGUCCCUGUAAACAUUGUGACGGAGUAAUAAAGCUUUGCAGUUUGUCUAAAAAAAUAUAUGUAUUUAUUUAUUUAUUUUUUUGAAAUGUAAAUAUAUGAAUUUUCUUAAAUUUUUAAUUUUGCAUUUGGAGGCCUCCAUGGAGCUCAGCCUCCAAAAGCAAUUUCUGCUUUUCAAGGCUGACUAUUAGGGCAAAGUAUACAAUUAAUUUUGUUGAAUUAAUUAGGAUCAAUUCAAGCACCUGCAUUAAAGUAAAAAUAAAUGGCCACAAAAAAGUAAAAACAAAGAGGACAAUGCUAAUGAUGUAAAGAAAUGUAGUACAUGGAGUAUACAUCAGUUGCAGACAGUCCAAAAAAAAAUCAAAAACAAUUUUGAUGUUUAUGUUAAGAAGGCCCUAGGUUAUAAUUUUGUAUCAGGCCCCCAAAAUCUCAGGACCGGCCCAGAGCAACGACGUCCGACAAGGGGGAUGUGGUGGAUGCAGAGAAGGAGGGAGCAGGGAGGAAAGUGGAAGAAAAGUGAUCUACGAAGGAGGAUUUGAGUGGGCCACGGUAUCGAACGCGUACAUGGCGGUGGUCCGAACACCAGUUUACGUUCAGUUUGCAGGAACUCGAACAAACGAACACAUCCACGGACAAAUACGGGUCCAUGUUGAAGAGACAAACUAUGUCCAAAUAGUUCUGUUCGAAUGUAAUGCAGACGUUUUGAGGGGAGAUGCCCUUACACUACAUGCGCACUGUUUUUUAUUUUGCUUUCCUUUUCUCGCUGACAAUGCAUUCGAUGGUUCAUAAAUUGCAAGUGGAGCCGGUGCACCACACCUCAUCAUCACGACACUUAUUUCAGCGCACACAGCUGCUACCUUCGCGACAGUGCCAGUGGCCCAGCUUGCCUCGCCUUCCUGCCAUGGCACACAUGUCGCGGAUCGGAUACGGUCAAUUGGACAGCGAUAUUUCCACUUUUACUACCGGAGUACUGAUGUUUUUUAACCGAACAUAGGUUGGCAAGAAUACAAUGUUGCCGCCCUCAAAAAUAGAAUACAAUGUUGCCGGAUAAGUACAACUUAAUUGGUUCGCUAUUUGUUCCAUUAUGACGGAAUUUAAAUACGUCUGAAAAUGAAACUCGCUGAAUGGAAGACAAAAAUCAUGUCACUGUUAUGUGUUAAUUUGGAUACAUGAAUAAUAAGUUUUUUUUUUGAACACGCAAAAGUUUUGUGCGCCGAUGCAUUAGAAGAAGAAGAAAAGAGAACGUACAAAGAAUGCGCCGCCGCGAGACCGCGGUUACUGACAAAACCCACACGAUUCAGGCCUUGAAUCAUCAAAUAGUCUUCAUCUAAGCAAACGUAAAACUCCAAUUUGUGUGGUGCCUUAUCUUCAGAUUUGUUUAUAGAGAAAGCUCCCUCGUGGUGUCCGCCAAGGACUGGGAGAGUAAAGCUGCUGACGGGUCCUUCGCCUCGGAUGGAAAAGCAGGAGCUGACAUGGUGUGUGAUAGCCUGGCUUAUUAGGGAUGAUAAACUACUCAUAUCAAUAAGGUAUUCCUUCUUUUCCGGGAGUCCAUUCGGAAAGAACUCCAAAGUUAAGCGUGCUCAGCUGGGAGUACUUUCAGGAUGGAUGACCGACCGGGAAGUUGCUCCCGGGUGCGCACGAGUGAGGACAAAGUGCGCAGAAAAGACUAGUAUUGAUCUGUGGGGCCAGUCUGGACCCUGCCAGGAGUAACGACCAUCGGCGGGUGUGUCCGGGACGUUACAAGUUGGUAUCUGAGCCGACCCUUGCGGUUACACGGAUAUUUGCGGACAGGUGCACGAUAUGUCCACUUUUAUUACCAGAGUACUGAUUUUUUAACCGAACAUAGGUUGGCAAGAAUACAAUGUUGCCGCCCUCAAAAAUAGAAUACAAUGUUGCCGGAUAAGUACAACUUAAUCGGUUCGCUAUUUGUUCCAUUAUGACGGAGUUUAAAUACGUCCGAAAAUGAAACUCGCUGAAUGGAAGACAAAAAUCAUGUCACUGUUAUGUGUUAAUUUGGAUACAUGAAUAAUAAGUUUUUUUUAACACGCAAAAGUUUUGUGCGCCGAUGCAUUAGAAGAAGAAGAAAAGAGAACGUACAAAGAAUGCGCCGCCGCGAGACCGCGGUUACUGACAAAACCCACACGAUUCAGGCCUUGAAUCAUCAAAUAGUCUUCAUCUAAAGGUAAAACUCCAAUUCUUGUGGUGCCUUAUCUUCAGAUUUGUUUAUAGAGAAAGCUCCCUCGUGGUGUCCGCCAAGGGCUGGGAGAGUAAAGCUGCUGACGGGUCCUUCGCCUCGGAUGGAAAAGCAGGAGCUGGCAUGGUGUGCGAUAGCCUGACUUAUUAGGGAUGAUAAACUACUCAUAUCAAUAAGGUAUUCCUUCUUUUCCGGGAGUCCAUUCGGAAAGAACUCUAAAGUUAAGCGUGCUCAGCUGGGAGUACUUUCAGGAUGGAUGACCGGCCGGGAAGUUGCUCCCGGGUGCGCACGAGUGAGGACAAAGUGCGCAUAAAAGACUAGUAUUAAUCUGUGGGGCCAGUCUAGACCCUGCCAGGAGUAACGACCACCGGCGGGUGUGCCCGGGGCGUUACAAGUUGGUAUCAGAGCCGACCCUUGCGGUUACACGGAUAUUUGCGGACAGGUGCAUGAUAUUUCCACUUUUAUUACCGGAGUACUAAUUUUUUAACCGAACAUAGGUUGACAAGAAUACAAUGUUGCCACCCUCAAAAAUAGAAUACAAUGUUGCCGGAUAAGUACAACUUAAUCGGUUCGCUAUUUGUUCCAUUAUGAUGGAAUUUAAAUACGUCCGAAAAUGAAACUCGCUGAAUGGAAGACAAAAAUCAUGUCACUGUUAUGUGUUAAUUUGGAUACAUGAAUAAUAAGUUUUUUUUUCAAACACGCAAAAGCUUUCUGUGCCGACGCAUUAGAAGGAGAAGAAAAGAGAACCGUACAAAGAAUGCGCCAUCGCGAGGCCGCCAUGAAACCGCACAAAUAUACUAACUCCGUCCUGAUUUAUUGGUCUUUUUUGUAUUUUGUGUCAAACUUUUGACUUUAGAUUUAACUAACAAAAUGUUAAUGCAUGUAAAAAAAUAUAAUUAGAAGUAUGUUCAAAUAAAAAUCCAACGAUGUAAUUUUUUAUGACACGCACUAACAUUUUUUUAGUUAAAUUUAUGGUUAAAAUUUCGCACAAAAUACGAAGGUGACCAAUAAACCAGGACAGAGGCAGUACAAAGACAACGCCGGCACAGCUGGCGGCGACCUAAGGGAUCCUAGUUAGGGUCCAGAGCUCAGCCUCCAUUGAGAACGUUGCUAGUUGUCUGGAUAGACAAUCACCAUAUGGCGAACAAUCCUUUUGCACCGGAGAGCGCGGCCACAGCUCAAUCUUCACCGAGAUCUAUCGCCAUAGCUUGCGGGUGACCACAGUCGACCUUUGAAAAAUGCGCCUAUUCCACUCCUUACAAAGCAUCCAUACCGUAAGAAGCACGACGAAAUCGAAUCCCCUGUGUUGCGACUUUGGGAUCCGCGCACGAGACUCCGGCCACCAUUUGACGGUGUGGAGUCCAGCAAUGGAACCAUGUGUCCCAAGCCGCGGGGAGAGAAUGCCAUGCCAUACCUUACGCGAGAAAACACACCCAACAGUAAGGUGGUCCGCGGUCUCAUCGUCCUGAUCGCACAACCCUAUUAUGCACGGGCUAGGAGAGGGGGAAGGUGGGCAAGUCACAGGGCAGAAUGAUAACUUAUGAAAAUAUAAUAAUACCCACGUGCUCUAUUAAAGAAUAUUAUGUAAUUAUAUUUAUAUGUUUCGAUCCUUUCUGUUGUUUCCUAUAAUACUUUGUUCGAAAAACAACUUCAUGUACAUAAGCUAACAUUUUGAUUUCUGUAUUUUUUUCUAAAAGUACCCACAAAAACUACCUAUUUGAAAUGACAAAUGCAGGCAAUCUUUGAAAAUCUUGCCAAAUGGAUUCCACUAAAGUAUGGAUGGAUCAUGGAGGGAACUGAAUAUUGAUGGUUCAUUCUCAACAAAUGGACAAGCAGCGCGCGAGUACGGUUCUAAGGGAUCCCAAUGGAGUUAUUGAUUUCUCGUCUUGCAGACAACUUUUCUCAUGUCGGGAUGCUCUAGAGGCAGAGCUAUGUGUUCUCAUGGAGGGAAUUUCUUUGGCAUUCUGGAGAAAUGGUGCUCCCAUAAAGGUUGAGAUGGACUCGCUUGUUGCAGUGCAAAUGAUCCAAGCAUGAGAAUUGGAUAGAUCAAUUUAUUCCUCUCUUGUCAAGGGAAUUAAAUAUAUGUUGCCUCUUCGUGAAAAUUGUAUUACUCAUUUUAGGCGCACUCAAAAUGAUAUUAGUGAUUGUUUAGCAAACUUUGCAAGAAUUGAGGGUAGAACCACACAACCUGGUUAGGUUCUGUCCCUCCGAGUGCUUUAUGAAAGUUUCUAACGUUUGUGAGGACAUUAUCAUUGAGUAUUACUCAUACAAUUCUUUACCCACAAAAUGAAAAAAAUGACAAGUGCAAAAACUCAUGAAGUGGACUUUAGCCUCAUGCAUACAAUGCAACAUUACACCAAUGUUCAAACAAUGGUAUCCACGAGGUACAAUAUAACUUUUGCACGGAGCAUGAGAGUGAACUUGCGAUGUGUAUCUAUCUUUUCAGCCAGAUCACAUCAUCUUGAUCACGGAAUCUUAUUAGUGAAUGAGAAACUAUGAUGACCUGUAGAUCUCCAAAUGUUGGUGAGCGGGGCCAGAAUGCGAGGAUUGCAUUCUUCAAAAAGUAUCGUAUCCUCUUUUCCUAGGAAGAAAGCAAAAAUCAAAAAUAAGUGAAGGUUCGAUCUCUCACCUAAAGCAAUUGAAGGCUUAGGAGGGCGGUUAUACCCCUAGUCCUCCUAGUCCAUCAGAGAUCACAUUCAAAUUUGACACAUGCGUAUCUCAUAAAGGUGAAAUAUUCCGUCAGUCGGCUGUCGAUGGCAAGAUGCCUGUGGUGUCUCUAUCGGAGGUACUAUUUAUCAGCUCAGUUUCACAAAUGUACUCCAUGUAUGUGUUUCUCAGAAAAAAAAUCCCCGGGGCCACAGAUUAGUUAGUCUGUCCUCUCAAAAUAUAUAAUUAAACAAUAAGUCAAGGAUUAAUUAGUGAUAUUUUUUAGGUAGAUUAUAAUUAGUGGGUUAAUCGGGUCGUCCCCGCACCCGCAGAAAAAUAAAUAAAACGGCGGUCCAGUCGCGGGGGAGAGAGGCAGCCCAGCAGCGGAGAGCGAGACGGACGAGCGCCACCGCCUCCCCACCAGAAAGCGGCGCGGCACAAGGGACUGAAACCCUAAUCCCCGCGCGCCACCGCCUCUCUCUCUCUCCCGGCGCCCAGAUCCGGCCCUCGCCCGCGAUGGCCGAGGCUCCGGCGGCGAGCCGCAGGGCGGAGGAGGCGGGGAGCCGGCGCCGCGCGGAGGAGGAGGCGGAGGCGGCGGCCGCCGCCGACGGGGACGGGGACAGCAGCGUCUACACCUCCGAGGACGAGGGCACGGAGGACUACCGCCGCGGCGGCUACCACGCCGUCCGCCCCGGCGACACCUUCAAGCAGGGCGCCUACGUCGUGCAGUCCAAGCUCGGCUGGGGCCACUUCUCCACCGUCUGGCUCGCCUGGGACACCGCCCACUCCGUACGUGCUGACCACCCCCUUCGCCUCGAUAUCCCCUGUUGAAUCACUCCGUUGCCUAUAGGAUUCGCGAGGAAGAUAUGUAGGAAAAAAAAAAUCGAUCUGGAUGCAGCGGUUUGCCUGCCCACCAACUGUUCGCUCUUUUGCCUCAGAGCAUAUGCAGAAAUGCUAAGUCCGUUUAUCAUUAUUACUGUUCUAUCCCUCAAUCCUAUCACCCUGCACGAGUUCACUCCUCUUGGUUCAGGCUGCUGCUGUCCAGUGUUUCUGAAUCUGUUGGUUAUGUGUGCAGAGGUAUGUGGCCCUCAAGGUGCAGAAGAGCGCACAGCACUACACGGAGGCUGCCAUGGAUGAGAUCAAGAUCUUGAGGCAGAUUGCCGAUGGCGACCCUGAAGACUCCCGCUGUGUUGUGAAGCUUCUUGACCACUUCAAGCACUCAGGCCCCAACGGGAGCCAUGUCUGCAUGGUGUUUGAGUUUCUUGGUGAUAACUUGCUCACCCUGAUCAAGUACACGGACUAUCGCGGGAUUCCGCUUCCGAUGGUUAAGGAGAUAUGCCGGCAUGUGCUCAUUGGCCUUGACUACCUCCACCGCGAGCUUUCUAUUAUCCACACUGAUCUGAAGCCUGAGAAUAUAUUGCUCGUGUCCACUAUUGACCCCUCGAAGGAUCCCCGGAAGUCAGGUGUGCCACUGGUGCCCCCUGCUGCAAGGGCCAUCGAGCCACCUCCAAGGGCACCUGCUGCACCAUCAGUAAGUACUGGCCUCACCAGGAACCAAAAGAAGAAGAUCCGGAAGAAAGCCAAACGUGUAGCUGCUUCAACUUCAGAAGGCAAUGGGGCAGUGGCAUCUGUUGACACGGAUGAAUCGGAUGAUAAGGGAGAUCUGAGUACAGCAAAUGAGGGCAGUCCUAGCGAGGAUGGGGACAGGAAGAGAGGAGGGGGACAUAGGCGGGGCAGCAAAGGGACUAGGAAGAGGAUGGCGAUGGAAGCUGAACUAAGCUGCAAGCUGGUGGACUUUGGAAAUGCAUGUUGGACGUACAAGCAGUUCACAAGUGAUAUCCAAACAAGGCAAUACAGAUGUCCUGAGGUCCUUCUGGGCUCCAAGUACUCUACAUCUGCUGACUUGUGGUCCUUUGCAUGCAUAUGCUUUGAACUUGCCUCAGGAGAUGUGCUCUUUGAUCCGCAUAGUGGAGAUAACUUUGACAGGGAUGAGGUAUUUCUGUUCAUUUCCUCACUUUGAUUUCGACUAAGAACAUACUUUCAACAUUAUGGAUUUGUGCCCUGUGUAUCACCUGGUAAAUGAUAUCCCCCAUUUUAACUUAAGAAAGGUAGUCAUCGCAAUCAACAGCUGACUCUCUGAUACCUACAUUCCAGCACUCUAGUUUUUCUUCCAUACCCUUCAUUUACUUCUCCAAGCUAUACUUGAAAAGCCAAGCCUCUUGUAGCAUGUUCUUUUUGCUGCAAAAAUUUAAUAAUUACAGUUAAACUUGCAUUGUUAUUGUCAUGCUAUUAUAUAUCUCUUCUGGUUUUAGUUAAGUGUAACAUCACCAACCUUUAGUGAUAGCUGGGCUUGGGAUUGAAAGAUGUAUAUGCAGUUUGGUUGCUACUGGGAGUGCGCAAGUCAUGGCCCAGUUUUUUUACUUAGUAAUUUUGGUUUCUUAGUUUUUUUAAGACACCCAUUUAUCCCAGCUGCACUUUAUGGAAGUGUAAUAAACUAAAUAGCAGACAAUGCUAUGGUGUCAAUAGCCAUCUGGUUAUGAAGCUGUUAUUUUAAUCAUGAAAUAGUCACCGUUCGCUCCUUCUUGCAAUUUCUGGAAACAAUUAUGUGAAAUACUACUGCCUCUUGAAUUUGUGCUAACUUUACACACCGUGGGCUGAACUGGGAUCUUGGUAUUUAACCAUGAUAAGCUAAAGGUAUUUUCAACAUGUUUAAUAAAGUUACUUUGGCUUCUUUGUGCUGUGGUAUAUUGUACUAUUAUAUGGACAGUUAGAAGAUGAAAACUAUAUUUGUUUGAGUUGAGCUUAAACUAAAUCCUUUAUGCUGUUUGUUUUAGUUGAUUGACUGCUGCACAUUUCUGCACUCAACUGCUGAGUUCCACUACAUAUAUAUUAUUCAAAUUAUUUGGAAUCUCAUUUAUGAAGUUCUCUUUGAAAAGUAUGCUGAGUAAUCUCUUUAUGAUUGCCAACCAUGAAACAUAGUUGGAAACACGAUAUGCAAAUUAUAACUUUAAAAGUAGGCGUAGACUAAACAUGCUAAUUUUUUUAUUGUGAAAUUGCCUAUUUUUACUCUCAUUUUGGAGUUCAUUCUGAGCAAUUCCCACUUGAAGCAGGAUCACCUUGCGCUGAUGAUGGAGCUACUUGGAAUGAUGCCUCGAAAGGUAAGGGUGUUUGCAUUUUCCUUUUUAAUCAAAUGCUAUAAUUAUUCGUAGUUUUGUGAUAGAUCCUAAAUUGAAUUUCCAUUUUGUAGAUUGCCUUGGGUGGCCGAUAUUCACGUGAUUACUUCAAUCGUUAUGGGGACUUGAGGCACAUCCGUCGCUUGCGGUUCUGGCCUCUCAGCAAGGUGCUUGUUGAGAAGUACGAGUUCAGCGAUAUAGAUGCCAUUGCCAUGUCAGACUUUCUCGUCCCGAUACUUGAUUUUGUUCCCGAGAAGCGUCCUACAGCUGCACAGUUGCUUCAGCACCCAUGGUUUGAUGCUGGACCCCUUCGACGGCAGCCCAGAGCGCUGGCGGACACGGCUGAGAAUCCAGUUGAUGGUGCUCCAGAGAACAAAGGCAAGGAGAAAGACGAUGAAAGAGAUGCAAUGGCAGCGGAGCUGGGGAACAUCGCCAUAGAUGGCGCUUCUUCAUCCAAGACAGUGAAGGAUCCCCAAGCAAGCUCCAAGCAAAAGAUUGCAAAUGGUACGCCUUCUAAGAAGUGAGGUGCCCUUCGGUCUACAAGGCUCGGUAUUCGGUUAAGACUGCUCCAUGAGUGGGAAAUGAGUGAGUGUUCGUUAGGUUUGUGAUGUGUUUAGGAUAUCUACCCAUGCGAAAAGAGUAGUAGGCCAGACAUAUGUUGUAUGAGGUUGGUCGAACAGGGUUAGAUUUGUUGGGGUUGAUGCGGCCCCUGACCUUUUUCACGGACAUAUUCUUUUGUACUAUCAGAAUCUGCAUUUUUUUUAAGUUGCUUAGGAUUGUACGGCGGCGGAUCAUUUGUGAGGGAGUAGCUUUGUUUUUAUGCGUGAACCCCGUGAAAGGUGCUGUGGGUUGUGAGGCUGUCUUCCGGCAGGCCUGAGGUACUUUUUACUAUCGGUUACUUCAAUUUGGCCGUAUUUUGCUUCUAGAUUGAAUAAUUUCAGGUGCCUUAUUGUGUUUUGGGUAAUUUGAGCUGUGCAUAUAAUGGCUACACCCGGUGAUGUCAAUCAAAAUGAUAUCUUCACUAAUGAAAGUUCAACACACUCCAUGCGUUUGCAGAGUAAGCUUAACUGAAUUCUGGGGCUAGGCUAAAUAGCAAUGCUGUUUGUUUAUGUACAAAACGACGCUGCCCGACGCAGCAGCGACACGGCAAAGGGUUCUUGGUAGAAUCUGCUAGUAGAUGAAUCAGGCAUCGGCGCCGUGCACCAUCCUCUUGACCAGCGUGGCCAUGUACUUGCCGUGGUGCUCGGCGAGGGCCAGCUCCAGCUCGCUGGGCGGCCUGGAGCCGUCGCCGGCGAACACCCCGGCGCCGUACGGCGAGCCCCCGCGGAGCUCCUCCAUCUCGAACAUCCCCUCUCUGAAGGUGUACCCGAUGGGCACGAACAGCAUGCCCUGGUGCGCCAGCUGCGUGAUCGCCGUCCACCUGCAGACAGACAGAGGAGACACGAAUCCACGAACAGGGUUACGGCUUGCCGGAGGCGAAACCACGCGAUCUCGCGGCGGCGAUGGGCGGCCUGAAAGAGUAAGGCUUACGCGGUGGUCUCCUGGCCGCCGCACUGGGUGCCGGUGCUGACGAAGAAGCCGGCGGGCUUGCCGGCGAGGCGCUGGCCGCGGCAGAGCGGCGCGGUGGAGUCGAAGAAGGCCUGCAUCUGCGCGGCCAUGGCGCCGUACCGCGCGGGGAAGCCGAAGAGGAAGCCGUCGGCGUCGGGGAGCCCGCCGGGGUCCGCCACGGGGAUCCCCUCCGCGUCCAUCUCCGCGGCGGCCUCCAGCGCGCCCAUCCGGGCCAGCACGGCGCGCGGCAGGGUCUCCGGCACGCGGAGCAGGAUCCCCCGCGCGCCCGGCACGGACCCCACCCCGCGCUGCACCGCCCGCGCCAGGCGCCGCACGUUGCCAUACAUGGAGUAGAACACGACGUAGAUGCGGACCUGGCGUGGCGACGGCGCUGGCGCCGGCUCCGGCGCGGCGGUGGUCGCGGUCGGCUCCGGCGCGGCGGUGGUCGGGGUCGGCUCUGGUGCGGCAGUGGCCGGGGCCGGGAUGAAGGUGCGGUCGCGGCGCUGCGGGGGUGGAGGGCGCUGGCUCUUGCUGGGCACGCAGCCGCCGCCCUUGCCCAUCGCUGCCGGCGGGGAGGGGAGCGACGCCGGUCACCGGCUUCACUCUGACACGACACGUAGGAGCAGCGCGCGCGAUCGCGGCCAACGAACACCGCUGCGGCCGCCGGCCCGUGCGGGUGGGUCGUAACCGCACCGCGAGCUGGGCCCGUGCGGCCCUAGCAGCAGGUGGGAUCCACAUGAAAGCCCAGUGGAUCGUGUGAGGCCCGGUUUUGGUCUGGGCCGCGCUCGGCCCGAUCCGAACCUAUAAACAACCUACCCACGUGAAUUUACAAGUCAACCACUACCUGCUUUCCUCUGCUCCUGCACGCCCGCGGCCAUGGCGAAUCCGGAGGCCAGCAAGCCGCCGGGACCCGACGAGGCGGCGCCGGAGCGGCGAGCUGACGGGACGGCGCGCAAGGACGGCGCCGGCAACCCCCCUCCCCCGCCGGUAAACCGCUCAGAGCACAAGCAUCCAGCUAGCUAUUAUACCUGUCCGAUUACUGUAGAAUUCUCUCUGAUCAAUUAUUGGCCUGCAGUUCUUGGAGGUGACCUGCAGGAGCUCCGGCGAGGUGCGGCGGUUCGCGGCCGGGACGACCGCCCGGUACGCGCUGCACGCGGUGAACCGCAAGCUGGCCCCCGGCGCCCCGGCGGCGUUGCACGUGGAGGCGGCCAAGGAGGGCGAGGAGCCGGUGUGCUUCGGCCCCACCGCGCCCCUCGCCGACUACGGCCGCGGCUGGCGCCUCCAGACCGUCACCGAGCAGGACGCGCCGGACGCCCAUCACCACGCGCCGCCGCCCGGAGACGGGGGGAAGGGGGCUCGCGAGAGGGAACUGCUGAGGAAGAAGGGCGCCUCCCUGUACCUCGCCAAGAUCGGGCUCGCCUUCGUCUUCCUCUUCCUGCUCGGCGGGCUCUUCACCUACCUGCUCGAGACCAUCCCCGACAUGAUCCUCGCCUCCACUCCUCCUCAGUCCAUUUAGCAGGAUUUUCGAUCCAUUCUGUCAUCUUUGGGAGAGGAAUUGUGUUCUUGUGAACCUUGUAUCAAAAACCACCAGCUGAUCAAACAAUUCCCGUUGCACGUUCGGAACAACAACAACGCCAUGACGAAGGAAUUCGUCUUCUGUACAAUUUUCUUGAGUGAUUCUUAAUCCGCAUUGCAAAGUCCAAUUUGGCGCCCUCAUCUUCAGAUAAAUGUCAACGACGGCUGUAUGAUGAUGAACCAAUCAACGAUUGGUAUUGUAGCUAAAAAAAUGCAGAGUUCUCUGUUCUUGAGAAACGAACUAUCAUAACGCAGGAGUAUUAUUAUGUCAUGUUUCCUUGAACCAACACUAGAGUGUCCAACACACCCCAAAGAACACACAAUAAAACACACCAUAGCGUGUCCGACACACCCCAGGAAAAACCAAGGAAAUGCAGCAGGGGUUUUGAGUGGAUGAAAGGAAACUGCAGCAAAGUACAGUUCUGCAUGUACCGAUGCAUUUUGUCAUCUUGGAAACAAGCUGAUCUCACAAUCCUCGUUGAACAUACGCGUCAUGGCGAGGAAGAGGAAGAGGAAUCCGUCUUGUGUAAUUCUCAAUCCACUUAAUUUUUGCAAUUGUUAAUCCGCUUUGCGAAGUGCAAUUUGGUGCCUCCAACUUCAGAUAAAUGGCAGUGACAACUGUGCCCGAGUAUGAUAAUGAACCAGCCAACCAAUGGCGUAAUCCAGCUCUGUCUCGCUGUUCCUUGAGAAGUGAAUGAUUCUUAAUCCGCUCUGCGAAGUCCGAUUUGGCGUCUUCACCCCAUCAGAUAAAUGUCAACAACAACUCUUACCCAAGCACAGCAAUGAACCAAUGAUUACCUUUCCAACUUCCAAGUAGUGCAGAUCUCAGUUAUAUGGUAGAAUAGACAAUGUGCCUAACAGAGAAAUUCACAAUACAGCACGGCAUGAAAAUCAUCAGCUGAGCAUACCAACAGCUAUUUUCUUCCGCGAAAAAAGAUCAACACCUAUUUUGUUCAUCGUCACAUGUUACACUUCAACUGCUACUGCUUAUUUCCGUGUGAGGCAGUAUGUAUGGUACACACCACCACCAAGCAAAGCAGGUGAAAAACUAUGCCCUAGCAAAUUCAUAAGCCCUCAUGAAAAAUAAUACUUAUAUCUUCUGUGUUGCCGAUAGGCAGUUAAAAAUUUGGUGUCUUAACCGCAUCAGAUAAAUGUCCAGGACUGCUUAUGAUGACGAACCAAUGAUUGGUAUUCUACCUGAAUGCAGAGUUGGCUGUUCUUCAGAAAUGAACGAUUCCACAAUAAUACUUGGAAGACGCUGAAUAUUCAGCGGCACUACACAUAGAGAAUGAAGCGCACGAGGGCCUCCUUCCGUUCGUAGGAUUUCUAAAACUGAGUAGGGGAAACACAUUUAUUUUUUGGCACACAAAUCAGCGAUAGUUAUUAUUUUUAAUAUCAUGAUAAUGACUUUCACAUAAUACCAGAAAAGCUCCCAGCAGUUAACAACAACCAUAAAGAAAGCGUGUUAAACAAGCAAAGCUCGCAAGGGAAGACAAAAUUUUACUCUUAUUCCCAGUAGUGUAACCCGAAGAGAAUUCUCACAGAAAUACUUUUUUUUCCUUCAUGCUUCCACUUCUCCAUGUUUUAAUUGUACGAGAUACGGACUUGAACGUCACCGUGCUCUGUGUGGAUUGCCCGAACACGUUGGGCCAUGUCAAGAGGGAACUCGACAUCGCCUUCGAAGGCGAUGUUAGCCCCCUCGUUGCUCGGACUAGUCACAUUCAAGCUCACCUUAAUUGUAAAAAACGGUUGCGGACUGAUGGGCACCGUAACAAUGCAUCUACUUCAGGAUCACGAUCGCCGCCAGCGGAGGGGGUGAGCUGCACCUUCUCCUCCUCCCGAUGGAGGAAGAGCAGCACGCUAUCAUCCCCGAAGAUCCGGUUAUGCACGGUGAUUUGACCGUGCACGAUGAUGGUGUGAAAUGCAUCAUCACCGCCACCAAAGAGGCGGAGGCUGACCUGAACACCGACCCCCAGGCCUUCCAUCAUUGUCACAAACGUCACGACGAGGCGGCGGCCAUUGUGUACUGUGAUAAGAUAGUCUUCAAACUUGUCGUCCGCAACCGUGUCGACAGUGUCUGGAAAGCAAGGUCCGAUUGUGUCGGGGAUGUUAAAAGGGAGAGAGAGGGAUUGUUGCGGAAUAUGAUGGAUGUAUUAUUGAGCCUCGAGGGCGAGUAUAUAUUAGAUACAAGACUUGACGCCUCCCCUAGAGAUAAGGUAGGAGACGUAUUGCAAAUCCUAGACUACCAAACAUAUAUAACCCAAAUAUAUCUUUAACAUCCCCCGCAGUCGUAGCGGCAGCGUUGCGAACAACAGGAGCGACGCGGACGGUCAGACUGGAGAGAAUAGCAGCCGACGGACUGACAUCCCCCCGCAGUCCUAGCGGGAGCGUCGUGACGGUCGAGGGCGAAUAUAUAUUGAGUACAAGACUUGAAGAGGAAGACGCCUCUACUAAAGAUAAGGUAGGAGACGGAUUAUAAAUUCUAGACUAUCAAACAUAUGUACCCAAAUAUACCAGGGAUUUCGAUUUUCAUGACAGCAGAGCCGAAUCCUGAGAUGGUCACGAAUGGCCCCGUGAGCACCAGAUUGCCGUCGGGAUCGAUGUUGUGAAGAGGCUCUCCUUCUUUCUGGUGGUAGACAUACUGGCCGCCGUUCUAGUCGUAGACGAUAAUGUCGCCGACGAGACGAAGGGGAAGUAUGGGUACACGGCCAGGAGCUCCACCGAGGGUCCAGGCCGGCAAAAACGCAGGACUUCGGGAAAGUCGACCACGUCAUCUUCACUGUAGGUUUUCUCAGGCGGCGGCGGCGGGGGCGGCGGUAGGGGUUGCUUAGUGUCGUCGUCUUCGGCGUCGCCGGCAGCCGCCGGCCACGUCGUUUGCUCUUUGCCAUCAGUAGUGGCUGUCACAUCAUCCUCAUAGCUGGGUGGCAAAGGGGAGUCUGUUGCGUCUUUUGCUCCUGCGUUAGGUCGAUGAAUAUUGCAAGCCUCGCCAAGAAUCGCCAUUGUUCUCGUGAAGAAGGAUGGCCCGUGCAGAUCGUCAAAACGAUUCCUCAUUGUUUCGAAGACCGAAGUCAUCCCGAGAGACUCGGAGAUGAGUGAGAAACAUGUCCACCAGGACUCUCUUUCCGUCGGCGGCGGUGCCCCGGCGAUCCCCGUCGACAUACUUCACGAUUGAGACGCGUCUCUUGAACGGACAGUCUAAAGACUAGAUGCGGCAGCGCAGGAUUGUUAGGAAUCGGAAAUUACAGAACAAAUCGAGAUUAUUUGGAAGAAAAGCCGACCUAGCUCAGUGGUAGAGCGCGUGGCUACGGAUCUUUCUAAAAGAUCCGCCGGCUCCCAACCCAUCAGAUUUGGCGCAUUGAGCGACCGAGCGGUUUGCUCCACUUUUGCAAUAUAGGCCUUGUUGCAGAUUUUUUUGCAACUAAGGUCUUGUUGCAGGAUUUUUUUUACAACUGAGAUUAUGUUGCAGAAGCGUCGCAGUGCCGUACCGUCAUAUUCCCGCAACAAUGAUGAUGUUGCGGUCCCGUCGUUUGUAGCCGGCGGCGACACAGGUGAGCACUGGCCGGUCUGGCAACACCAGUGCCCGCCCGCAAAAGGAGGCCACCAGCGCAUCUCCAAUUGCAGCAUCAACAUCUCCCGUCGCCAUGGCGGCAGCACCAGCAGUACAUGUGGUGCAGCCUGCUUGCAGCGCCGGUAGUAAAGAAAGAGGAAGACGAUGGCUUCCAGGAGGAUAAGAUUUGUGUGGACGGUUCGUUAGACACGUGGCAUGCUCCAGUUUCACAAUUAAAAAAAGAUGAAACGGUGAUGGACGCGGUGGACGCAACGAGUUUAUCGGUCGGUUGAUUUCAAUCAUUUCCCUAAGAAAAUACCCAAGAGUAGUCUACAUACCGUCAUUAGUAAAAACUAAUAAGUGAUUGAUUCUCAUAUAUUUGGACUAUUUAUUAUAAACAUUCCUUGAAGCACACAUCUUAUAGAAGUAUCAAUAUUGUACUGCUUUCGCCCCAUUUUAUAGUAUAAAGCAACAAUCAACAUUCAAAAAAAUACCCAAGAGUGUCUGCAUACCGUGAUUAGUAAAAACUAAUAAGUGAUUGAUUCUCAUUGAUUUGGACUAUUUAUUAUAAACAUUCCUUGGAUCACACACCUUAUAAAAGUAUCAAUAUUGUACCGCUUUCGCCCCAUUUUAUAGUAUAAAGCAACGAUCAACAAUAUCUAGUACAAACGCACGCUCCUAAAACAUAAGAAGUGAAGUCGCAUAUGACGAACCAUGUACUCCAAGGCGGCGUCUUCAGAAAAGGGACGACACCGGAGCGCCGCCGCCGCCCGAUCCGAAGAUCAAGUUUUCCCUGAAGCAACACGACGGACAAUGAGAGCCGCGACGACGUCUUCAAAAAGGGAACAAGCUUCGCCGCCAUCGGUCUGUCCGAAGAUGGAGGAGGUUUUCACCCCGGCCACCACUAACCGCCACCGAACACCACACCCCGGCUACCACGCCGCCCACACAGCCGUGGCAACUGGGCAGCACCAAGCCACGAGCUCUGCGUAUGAGCACUGCGGAACCACCACCAGGGGCGCCAGUCCGGCAUCCAAGACCUUUGACACCAUCUCACCCCGAGACCCGCUGCUACCCCAACCAAAGAUACUAGCGGAAAGGACCCGACUUGCGCACCCUUGGGCGGCCCCAGUGUCGAGACCCAAUAGGCCGGCCAAAACUGGCCUCCACCGACCUGUCCUGCGGCACCGGGUGCAAGACGAGCUCGGCCCUGCAGCUGGGCGUGAGACGAGCAUGGUCCUGCUGCCGGGCGCGAGACAAGGUUAGUCCUACUGCCGGGCGCGACGCAAGCUCAGUCCUGGAGCCGGGGUGCGAGACGAGUGAUGGACCGCAACUGGGGGAGGGCCAAUCCAUCGACGAAGAUAGCGUCGGGCGCCGAGGUCAGGUAUCGAAGGUCGAAUCGAUCGCCUACAAACGAGCCGACACCGGAAAUCCAGCCGCCGCCGCAGCCGAGCUGUAAUGAUGCCGGCGCGGCGAAAGGAAGCCCCCAAGCAGAGGACCGAGCAUCUCGCCGCCGCCGCCCACGACCGGAGCAACAACCACGCCAGGCUGAUGCCCCAACCCGCGCCACCGACCGGAAAAAAUCUGAAGUUCCGGUCGGCACGCUCGCUCCGCCACCAUGGCGCCGCUUCCCAGCAGCAAAGGUAAGAGCACGCCAUGAGCCAAGCCGCACGACAAACCGCCGGCGUCAGAUCCUGCUGGAACUGGUCAUGGCCAGCCCGCGCGCCACCACCUGGGCCUCCAGCAUGCCACCACCGGCCCAUCCCCAACGAGACCCGCCGGCGAGGCACCACACACCGUCCACGGCCGCCGGAGCGCCCAUAUCUGGAGGAGCCCAGACCAGGCCGGCACCACCUCCACGGACGCGAGCACGCCCGCACCACGAAGCCCACCACGCCACCGCCGAGCGCCCGCGACCCCGCCGCCUGCGCCCACCGUGCGCCGCCACGCCCCUCGCUAGCGCGACGCCACCACUCGAGGCCGUCGUCCGUGCCGGCCGCCCCUAAGCACGAGGAGAAAAAAGCCCCACCUCGGCGCACGCCGUUGGGCUUCGCCCAUCAGCGCAACCAGGCGGCGGCGAGGAGGAGGGAAGGAGGGGACCCAGGGGCGAAUCCACGUGCAAGGUUGGGGGGUGCACUCGUGUUUUUCAGCUUACGUGUACCAGACCCAGAAUAUAGAAAAAAAUGAGACCAACCCAAGGGCUAACCCUCAUUGGCAUUUUUCUAUAAGAGAAACUCCGCGAGCACCACGCAUCCGAGCCGGGACUCGAACUCGGGUGGGCUGGGCAGCUCCAACGGGUCGACGCCCCAUCCUCCAGACCCAGAAUAUACAGCGCUGCCCCACUCAGCCCAAGGUAUUUGCCCCCGCUUUCCUUUUUUUUUCAUGCUGUAUGUUAUUUUUUGAGACAUUCAUGCUGUAUGUUUAAAGCUCGGAUAUGAGAAUUAGAUAGGUCAUAGGCCCAGGGGCCCAUCCAGAACGAUCAGGUGAUUCUCGAUUUGCUAGAGACGUACUGGAGUAGGUCUUCGGGAGUUCCAGAUGUGAUCGUCGCCUGUGCUCGCGUGACGCCUUGCCGCGCCGCCGCCUGCGGCUCUACGCUGCACAUACACCUCGCCCCUCUAGCGAUCACCCUCGAUCUGCACUGCGCACGCCGGCCGGCCGGCCGGCCUGCCAUCCCCAAGGAAGAAGCCGUACUAAUCAAUUACUCAAUCAAGGUAAGCCCUACGUUUAGCUCUCUUUUUUUCUUUCUAAUUUCCCCAUCAUUAUUUUAUUCUGAUUUCCAUGCAUGUCAAAAAGGUGGUGAACUGUAUCAAAUAUCCAUGUGUAUAAAUUAUAAUAUACAAAUUGGUAAGUAGGUCGAUUGAAUCUUGGUUCCCCUAAUAAUUCCAUAUGAAUAAGUUUGAGCACAUGGGAGUAAAAUGAAAUCUAUAGUAAUAUCCUGCCUUCACGGUCUCAAUUUAUUUAACGUUAACUAUUUGGUGUUGACAGGAAAGCUAACGGAGAGAUGUUUAUCUGUCAAUGUUUAUAUGCUCUCUAUAUUCAAACAUGUUUCAUCUUCCUGCAGCUUGAAGGCUAGAAAAUCAGGGACGUACCACCAAAAAGGAACGGCAUAGUCAAGUUAUUGUGCCUUAGCUGGUUAGUUUACUUUUGCUUUUGCAAUGAACUUAUCAUAAUUAAUUAAUUACGUGUGUGAUGACAUUAUCUUGUAAGGAAGUGUGUGAUUUUGCUUCUAACACACUAUAUGCAUGCUUGUGUGGUUGUUUUUUUUAAUUAUUUAGCCAUUAGUUCGACAGAUGUUUCUGGAAAAAAAUACAUAUAUAUCUCUGCCCCCUCUCAUUUUUCANNNNNNNNNNNNNNNNNNNNNNNNNNNNNNNNNNNNNNNNNNNNNNNNNNNNNNNNNNNNNNNNNNNNNNNNNNNNNNNNNNNNNNNNNNNNNNNNNNNNNNNNNNNNNNNNNNNNNNNNNNNNNNNNNNNNNNNNNNNNNNNNNNNNNNNNNNNNNNNNNNNNNNNNNNNNNNNNNNNNNNNNNNNNNNNNNNNNNNNNNNNNNNNNNNNNNNNNNNNNNNNNNNNNNNNNNNNNNNNNNNNNNNNNNNNNNNNNNNNNNNNNNNNNNNNNNNNNNNNNNNNNNNNNNNNNNNNNNNNNNNNNNNNNNNNNNNNNNNNNNCCUUAUCUCUCAUCAUCUAUCCUAAGAAUCAUUUGUUUAUAAUGUUGAGAAUCUCCCCCAAAAAACCCCUGAAAAAAUGUAACAAAUAAUACAGUAACAUGAUAUACCAUUGAAAACUCCUUUUAAAACUCGGUGGAGAAAAUAUAAUGAGAAAACGAUAUGGUAUAACUAUUAUUGCCUCAUAAAAAUCCUUUCAUAAGAAACCUGAUUGGAAACCAUAAAGGAAGAGUACAAUAUUUAUUAUCUGAUGAUAACUAAAGGUAUCUCUAACACUGACCCUCAAACCCUCCUCAUCCGUUCGGACCGCGCGAUCUGGGCGUGUUUGCCAUCCAAUCCAACAUUGUCCUACAUCCGUUCGUGGACUGGUGACAAAGCAAACCGGGUGGCUUUGCGGGCGUCCGGACCGCUGCCACGCACGCAUCUGACACCCCGGACUCGCCCAAAAUCCUCUCAUGUGCUUUCUCUUCGACGGAUACGUCGUUUCCCACGCCACAUUCUUGCUGGCACAAAGCCGCAAUAGUCGGCGUUGAGCCACGCGAUGUGACCGGAUGGGAGGGCGGCGCUGACCGACGCGACCAGACGGGCGUCACCGCUAAAUGCGGACGCGUCCUCCUGAGAAACCAACUCCGGCCGUUAUUUUUCACAAACGAACGGCCAUAACUGGAAACCUUUGAAAAUUCAGGUCCACAACCAGAGCGAAUGAAGCACAAGAGGGUCGAGGGGCUCCUUUGAUUCGUAGGGUUUCUAAACCUAAGAGUGAGCAAAAUGCAUGAGUAUCCUGUCUUUGUUUUCUUGAAAUAACACUAGGAGUCUUCGUUUCUUUGCGAUUGAACACUGGAGAGUCUUUAAUGCACCGCAGGAAAAACUAAGGAAAUGCAGCAAGAGUUUUGAGUUGAUGAAAUUGCAGAAAAAUAUUAUUAAGUUUUGCAUUUACCGAUGCAUCAUUUUGUCAUCUUGGAAACCAGCUGAUCUCUCCUCGUUGAACAUUUACACGACGAGGAAGGAAUCCGUCUUCUAUACAUCUUUUGUACUAAUUCUCAAUCCACUUAAUUUUUGGAAUUCUUAAUCCACUUUGCGAAGUGCAAUUUGGUGGCUCCAACUUCAGACCAAUGAUAGUGACAACUGUGCCAAUUAUGGUUGGUGUUCUAGGCAAAUCCAAACUCUCUCUCUCUCUCUCGUUGUUCCUUCAGAAGUGAAUGAUUCUUGAUCUGCUGCGAAUCCCAGUUUGGUUGGUGUCUUCACCCCAGCAGAUAAAUGUCAGCAACAACUCUACCCCAAGUACAAUAACGAACCAAUGCUUGGCUUUCCAGGUAAUGCAGAGCUCAGUUAUUAAAAAACGAGUGGUUCCACGAUACAAUGGCCAAGACAACACAAGUAAAAUGGUACAACACACAUGACAAUGUGCCUGACAAGGAAAAAGACAUCACAAGACAGCACGGCAUGAAAAUCAUCAGCUAGGCAAUUCAGCAACUAUUUUCUUCCGCGAAGAAAAGAUCAACACCUAUUAUGUUCAUCUUUACAUGUUAUCUCUCUUGUGAGGCAAUAUUAUAUAUUUCACACCACCACCAAGAAAAGCGCGUGAAAACCUAUGGCCUAAGUAAACCCAUUUGUCAUCAUAUAGGGGUGGAUUAACGAGCUGCUCGACUCGUUAAGCUUGUGCUUGUUAAGGGUCGGCUUGUUAAGCUUGUUAAGAUUAACGAGCAGAAAACCCUACUCGGCACGGUUCAUUUGAAGCUCGUGAGCACCCGCGAGCGCUCGCUAACAUAUUUUGAUGUGUUACUAUCUACAUGAUGAGUGUGUAGAUGUGGUUUUUAAGAAGGAAGAUGGUGAGUACAAAAAAAAACUUCACUAGUUUGUUGCCUUCUAUAUAGAUUAGAUUGAAUAAAUGGGCUGAGGUGCUAUGAAAAUUUUGUCACGUAAAAUGAAAAUAUGUGUUGUGUUAUUACUAACGAGUUUAACGAGCUAAACUAUCGAGCGCUCAUCAAGCUUGCAAGCUACAAGCUUUUGAUCCAGCCCCUUUUUUUGCGAGUCAAACGAGAUUAUAUUGAUUAAAUCAUGGAGUUAUACUCGUUUUGACAGAGAUUACAUAAGUCAUCAGGACCAGAGUCCAACCAUACGGCAGUAUGGCGAGAGGUGCGGCCAUAUUGUGUCAUGUAGCUUCCACGUUUGACAUGCAUGAUUUGAUGUUCACAUCCUUCAUUAAGACUCCUCUUCGUCUCCUCUACAAGUGUUGCCACCGGUGACCGAUUAAGUCCAUCCUCGUGGAGAAAAUGCACAGCUUGGAGACUAUCAGUCUCAAUAAUUAGCGGAUUGUCAGACCAAUCCUUAGCGAGACUAACCCCCCUUCUUACACGCUGCCAUCUCCGCCUCCAGCGCAGACGAACAUGAUAGAAAGAAUCUGCUGGUCCAGCCCUAUUUGAAAGAGGUAAUAUCAUUACCAAUGUAACCUUUCGGCAACACUAUAAAACAAAACACUUUCAUAGAAAAGUGUAUUGUACGGUGCGGGCAAUACUCUGCGCCAGCGCACCAGCCCAAAUUUGGGCCGGUCGGCCCGUAGCCGUCCGAUAUGCUGCUAACGACCAUUUGAUUAGAGCCUAAUCUUCGUCUUCGUUCACCUCUCACCCGCAGAGAAACAAUAGAAAAAGUCAACCAACACCGCGGUCGUCCUUGACACAUCUCGUGUGAGGAAAAAAGGUCCACCUUGCUCACCUCCGGCGUGUCCCCGUCGACGGGUCCCAUUGGUCGUUGAGCUCCGGCGAAGAUGUCACCUGGGGCUGUCGUGGCCGGUGGCAGCAAAUUUUGUGCCCGGUUGUAGCAAACGAGGAUGCCGGUUCCAGCAAAAAUCUCGUCGCGCCAAAAAAGCUCGUGGCCGCCAGAAAGAUGUCGCGGCUGCCGGUGAGAUGUCAUGGCCGGUUGCAGCAGAAUGCCGUGCACGAAGUAGCACCGUUGAUUGCUGGUUUCAGCAACCACCAGCUCGCCACCGUCGCCAUUGUUGCCACUAAGGCGCCCCCGUCAUCGCCAUUGCAGCUCUUCAGUGUCGCCGCGUUGCCAUUGCUGCUCUCCAGCAUAUCGUACUCGCCGUGGUCACUGUUGGCAGCACCCCGCGUGCACGGUUCCAGCUAGCCGUGGUGACUAUUGUAACAAAAAUCUAGCGAGCCGUGGUCACCGUGGUGACCGUUGCAGCAUCCCGCGUGCACGGUUCCAGCUGGCUGUGGUGACCGUUGUAGCAAAAAUCCAGCAAGCCCUGGUCACCGCGAUGACCAUUGCAGCAUCCCACGUGCACGAUUCCAGCUAGCCGCAAUAACCGUUGUAGCACAAAAAUUGGCUGGUUCUAGCACAAAUCUCGCCGCGUCGUCGACCGUCGCACGCAUGUCGCAUCUCUUGUCGACACCGGUUGUAGCACCUCGGUUCGCCGGUUCCAGCAUUUUAGCCGCGUCGUCGCACGUCACACCCCUCGUAGCUUUUUUCGCCACCGGUUGCAGCAUGCUCGCCGCCGGUUCCAGCUCCUCAGUUGCCGGUUGCAGCACGCCCCCGCUGCAGUCACAACCCUCCUCCCAUAUAUUGUUCGCCAUCUAGCAUGACCCCCGUCGGAGUGCACGGCGUCCGCGACUGAGGAAGACGACAUGCUAUGUGUUGGUGCACGGUAGGCGGCAUGCCGUUCCUAUGUCCGUCGUGUGCCGUUGACGUAGCUCAUCGUCCCAGAGGCCAUCCUGUAGUCCGGGCGUCGAAGACCUUGCCUGCCGGCAACGGUGACCUUUGCAGCACAUAGGGAAACGUGGGGGUGGUGCGGCGCCAUGGCCGGUGAGCUGUUGCGUGUUGGUGGAUCGAUGGCGGAGAGGGAGGGCUACUGGCGAGAGGAGGGAGGGAAAUGAGUGGACCACACAGUCGAGAGGGAGGAUAAGGCUGGAUAAAAGCGAUGCGGGGGCCGCGUGACAGCAGAUGGCAUGCGGCCUACACUCCUCGAUCCCCGGCCCGCAUGUGACCGACUGAGUUUUCAGCCGGCGCGCCGGCCACAAACAUUUUCCUAUCACAAUAUUGAUUAUAUGAAGAAAAACUCUCAUGGAUCUCCUUGUUUACGCAUGAAUAAAAAAAUCCGAUGGGGAAAUACAACAAAAUGUCUAUUUGUUCGAUCGAUGUUCUGUAGUUUCUACUGGAGAACACGGUGCCAUAUCCAAACAUAUUUAGUAAAAUGUCAUAAAAUUAAGUUUGCUUUUUAAAAUACAAGUAAGUUUAGCAACCAAUUUUCAAAAUUGAAAAUACGUACUAGAUGAAUGUAAAUCAACUUAUUUGGCCUUAUGAUUUUGAAAAAAAAAACUAUAGAUUGAUCCUCUACGGAACACCCUCAACCAACGGGCCUAAAAUAGACCCUCAGUAGAAGUGUUACCAUUGACAUGUGAAAGAAAAACUGGUGGGCCUGGAAUUGGGCCUAUCGAGAUUUGAUAUUGUCAUCUGAUGAUGAUGGGCCUGAAAAAAUAAAAAUGGACUUUCCUUUCUUCUCCCAAGUUCCACCCCUUUCAAAACCUAGGGUUUCCCCUUUCUGACCCCUUUAUAACCCCCAAGCCUUGCAAAGUCCAUCGAGCCGCCGCCGCCGCAACCAACCAUGCGGGCCUUCAUCUAAAUUUCUUCUCUCGUCUUCUCCGUUGAGUCGAAUGCCCCUUGGAGUGGUCUGAUAUUCAGAUCUAUCAAGAUUUAAAUUGAUUCACGAGGCUUGGUAAGCCCUACGGUAUAUCCGAUCUAUGCUAGCGCAGUUAGAUCUUUGUCCCAUUGGUAUGAUUAUGUCUCGCCCUAAUAUUCUAUAAAUCCAGUAUGCAUCAUGCUUUUGUUCUUCCCAACACAAGGACGGAUGUAUCCAUGUUCAUAGUUUCUAAAUGUUUUAGUUGUGCAUAGAUCCAUGUGGGAUAUAACUAGAGGUUUUCUUGAUAAGAUUGAUGUAUCCCCGUCUUCUCACUUUGUGUGUGUGUGGGGGGGGGGGUAUAAAUUCUUGUGAAACACACAAUAAUGUUGUUGGUGUUGUCAUCCUCGCAUUGGAAAUUUGGCCAUGUUUGAAGAAUGAUCUAAUGCCCUAUAUAUAUGGAAGAAAGAACUCCACUAGGCCACUAGGAAAAAUAAAUUUUUAUAUUCAUAAUAUUAAAUUUAAUUUAUUAAAAUAUUGCAUAUUAGUAUAAUGCUACCUUUUCUCUUGUGAUAACCACUGGGUUGCUAGUUAUGCCAUACCUUUCUUGUCUUAAGACAAGGAUGCUAAUAUACACAAUAUGUGCAUGUUUCUUGGUUUACUAAAUUUUGAUAAUGGAAUCAUCGAAUUUUUAAAUCUCAUCAAGACAAAAUAAUGUUUGUUUGGCAAAUUCUCUAGAAGGAUAAGCAUGGGGAGCACAUGAAGGUCUAUUAGUGGAUAGAUUGGAUAAGGUAUCAAAACCGGAUUGCCUGGUAGAUGAAUAUAUAGAAAUGUGCAUGUGUGCCUUGCCAAAAUAUUAUGCAUGCGGCCACUCUAUAUAUAUUCGUAGCAUUCAUGUAUGAUGUGUACUUGUGUGACCAAUAUUUGUAUAUAAAUAUGGGAUAAAUAGUGUUCUAUUUUAUUCCCUGAUGAAGAGCUUAUAUGGAAAUAAUAUUUAUGUUGGCUGUUAGAUCUGUAAUAAAAGGACUCUAUAGGAGUGUUCUUGAAAAUAACUAAUGCAGUUUGGAUAAUCAUUGAAUAGUCGGAACAAAAAUCCAAACUUGGAAAGCGUUCCAUAUGUAGAUUCAUAUCUCGAGUGGAACUUGUGUGGUAUUAUAUGCUAUUAUUACCAUUGCAAAAGUAUUACGCUAAUGUAUCAUAUAUCUCCUAUUGUAUUGCAGAGAGAAGUACCUGCCAUAAGUGAAGGUGCAACCAUGGUACAUCAUAAAAAACAGUAUAACACUAUGGGCAUGGUAGAUAAUAAGCAAAAUGUUAAGGUAAAAGAAGAGGAAGAUGAAAAUCUUAGUACAAAAGAGAAAAGGAAGCAAAAUAAAGCUGAAGGUGGUAAGAAAGCAGAGGAGAAGCAAAAUUCCUCGAAGAGGAAGAUGGAUAAGAACAGGGAGGAGAAAGAGAAGAAAACGAGAGUUGUUGAUAAAAAGGAUGAUGAGGAGAAGGAGAGGGAGGAUCGGAGGAAAAGAAAGGAAAAUGAGAAGAAGGUGAAGUCACAUAGGGAAAGGAAGGAGGAGAAUGAGAAUGAGAAAGAAGAACAAGGGCAGCAAGAAAUUGAGAAAGAGAAAGUAGAGGAACAAAAGGAGAUAAAUAAGCAGAAGGGAAGGAAGGAAAAUGAUAAAGAGGAAGAGGAUUCGAAGGAAAGGGAUGAGAAGGACCAGAAUGACAAAAAAAAUUGCCCUCACUUCUUUAGGGCGCUCAUAUCCUAUUCAUUUAAGGAACACGUGGUAGGUUUUCUUGAUUCAUAUAAACAAAGAAAGGGACUAACUCAUUUUAGUUGUUCCAUUUUUACCUACCAUAUUUUUGCAUGAUUGUUGUGAAGGUUAUCUUUUCCAUUACGAUUCACUUUUAGGAAUGGUGCUCUCUAAUUUGAUAGUUAAAAUUGUACAUAUAUAAUCUAUUUCACCCAAUAGAUUCUUUGUUCAAUUUGUGAUUGAUAUGUUUGAAACAUGGAGUAUACAAUGUUUUCUGCCUUUGAGAAGGAUAAAAGAGAUAACAUAUCCAAAAUAUAAACUACUUCAUUAAAGUUGAUAUUUUUUGUAUUUACAAAAAAUGUAGAUCGUAAAUAAAAGAGACAUAUGUAAUAUUUCCACAAAAUAUAAUGCCAAUUGAGUAGUGACUGAUAGCUGGGGUUGCACUAUAGGAAGGCAAGGUUAAAUGCCAUAUAUGCAUGUUUGGGUUGUGCUCUACGUGUUCAGCCAUUACUAAUUAAUUUGUACGAUGACAUAUGUUGCAGACCAUUCCAGUAGGGUUCCACAAAUACUUGGAAGAUUGUACAAGAAUGGUUUCCCUGAGAGGUCCAAGCGGGAAUAAAUGGCCCGUAGAGCUGGCUAAAAUCUCCGGGGAGCUACGCUUUGCGCGUGGAUGGAAGGAGUUCCUCUCUGACAAUCGCAUCGGGUAUGGAUACCUGUUGGUAUUCCGUUACGACGGGCAGUCACAGUUCUCAGUGACUGUUUUCUUGCCAUCGUCCUGCGAGGCUCCCUAUGCAUUUCUCGCGCAGCCGCAGCGCAAGGACGUCGACGUGGCUGGAGAGGAAGAGAAAGGUCUCAUGAGCACCAAUGUAGAUGGUACUGUCCUUCAAGGAGAAGACGUUCACACUGGCACCAGUGCAGAUGGUACACCACAAAAUGAAGCUUUAGAAGAAGAUGCUUCAGAAGAUGAAGAGGUAGAGGAAGUUGAAGACGCAUUAUCAGAAACUCCGGAGAAUAAGGAAGACAGUGAAUGUCGCAUGUGCAGCGACGAUGCAUUGGAACCAGCGCAACAACAGCAGGGGGAUCUACGCAAGACCGACGAUGGUUUUGUGCUUGGGAAGAGGGCUAGGUUUAGGAAGGUUGAUGAUAUCAUGGCAGAAGUGGACCGAUCCAAGAAGUCCAAGCCUGUGGAGAGGAAGAACUCUGAAGGUCCAUCUGGUGAUCUAGCUUCUGAGGGAGCAGCAUCAAGCGACAGUUUGGCAGGUAAUUAAGAAAAACCCUCUGAUCGAUCGAUUGAUUUCAAAAUAAUUAGUACGUGUAGUACUUUUUACGUGUAUAUUGGGAUGAGAUGGCUUCAUUUUGUAAAAUGAUUCUUAUACUCUUGUUAUUGAGCUAACCUUUGUCUAUGUGCAUAUCAAACUGUAGAAGAAUCGGAGCAUCGUCCACCCAAGGAGUCCAAGGCUGAGGUGAUAAGGUCUCCAUCUAGUGAUUCACCUUCUAAGGCGGCAACAUCAAGUGACAAUUUUGCAGGUAAUUCAGGAUAACCAUUAGAUGGAUUGAUUUCAAAUUAACUAUAUAUCGUGAUGGCUAAAUGCUGUCACAUGAUUCAUAGGCUUAUCUAGCUAACCUGUGUGCACAUCCAUUGUAAGCAGAGUUGGACAGUCGUCCAUCCAAGGAGUCCAAGGCCGAGGGUAAAAGCUCUGUUGGUCCUUUAGUUGUUUAUACCAGGCCUUCUACUUCAGCAUCUAAAAGACUUCCCCUCAAAAAAGCUUCAGAAGAAACAAUAUCAAGUGACAAUUUGGCAGGUAAGGAAUCAAUUUCAAAAUGAGUAGUACUUGUUCACAUACACACACACGCACGCACACGCACACGCACACGCACACACACACAUUGGUUGAGAUGGCUUAGAUGUUGUGUCAUCGAGCUAUUUAUAUUCUCUGCUAGCAACAUAGCACUGGUCUUAUACUGUAAACUAAACUGGUUCCUAUCUAUAUGCUCUUGUCAUCGAGCUAAUGAACCUUACCCACAUAUAGUUCAUACAGGUGUAUUCGCACCAGAAUCCGUGUGCACGGACUUAACCAUGUGGCACAACUCUUUUGGUAAAAGGCUUAGUAAGCAGAAUCAAUUCCCGAUGUUCAACAAGAGCAAUGGUGAAAACCAACCUGGCAGAGGUAAAUCUCUUUCUUUCUUUCUUCCUUCCUUCUUGUAAGCGCGCCCUUUUAUUACACUGCUAGUACUAAUUAGAACAAAAUUGAAUUGAACUAGCCUGAUAGUCUGCAUCUUUUUAUACUAGUUCUCAUCAAGGUUAUGAGAAGGUCGGGAUUAACGUCGCAGAGGCGUCCAGUAACUCAAAGGGAGAAGGAAUAUGCCAUGGAGAGGGCGCAGAGGUUCAAAUCCGAGAGGCCCUUCACCGUCAAGGCAAUGAAGCACAACGAUGUCUAUGCCUCAUACUUCAUGGUAAUUGAUCAAUUCAAUUUCUUCUCUCGAUACACAUAUUCAAAAACUGCAUUGCUCACUGACUGAUCGUGUUUGACCUCGGCAGAUCAUCCCGGACAAGUUCGUGAAAACAUUCCUCCCCAAAGAGAGUAGGAAGAUGACGCUGUGGGACCCGCAGGCGAAGCCGUGGAAGGUGUGGUACGAGUACACCGGCGGUGAGUGUCCCCGCGCGGCGUUCAGCGCCGGGUGGGGGGCGCUCGCCAUGGAGAACAACUUGGAGAAGUGGGACGUGUGCGUGUUCGAGCUCCUGGACCAGGAAUACAACAUCAAGUUGCACGUCCAGAAGGUCGUGCUGAUGAUCACCCCUUGCAUCCUUGCCCCAAAACCUCGCACAAACGAGUGAUAAUCCGUUCAUAGGCGUUUUGAUCUAGUGUCGUUGAUGAACCUUUCCAUCAUGUCGUUGUUAAAACAUAACAUUAAGAAUUAUGUGUUUGUUGUUGCGGCUGAUUACCGGAUUAAGGAAAAGGUAAGCAUGUAUACUUUCCUUUCUUCUCCAUGUCCCAAUCCCCUUCAUAACCUAAGGUUUCCCGUUGCCGAAUUCCCUUUAUAUAUAACCCGAAAAUCCUGCAAAAUCGCUCGAGCCGCUGCCGCCACAACCAACCAUUUGAAUCGGAUGGAUUUCUUAUCUUGUCCUCUUGUUUAAAUCGAAGCCCCCUUGGCGAGGUCGUCUGAACUUUGAAGAUCCAUCCAGAUCUCAAUUGUUUCACUACGCUUGGUAAGCCUACGUUCUGUUUAUCAGAUCUAUGUUAGCGCAAUUGAAUCUUUAGCCCAUUCCCACCAUUAUGGUUCUCAAUCGGCUUAGGAUUCUAUACUUAAUCCAUGGUGCAUCUUGCUUUUUUACUGCUUCCCACCACAAGAAAUGGUGUAUCCAUGUUCCUAGUUCUUCGUGAACUUUUUAGUUCAGCAUAGAUCAACUUGUGGGAUGUAACUAGAGGUUUCAGCAAGUUGAGAAGAUUGACUUAUGCUUCUUCUGAUUUUGUGGGCCUCUUAGACGCUUAUUAUAUUCCUAAUGUUGUAUUCAGUUUUAUUAAAAUAUUGGCAAUUAUUGUAAUGCUACCUCUUCUGCAAUGAUAGUCCAUAGGUUGCUAGCUAGUUCUUAGGCCAUACAUUUCUUAUCUCAAGACAAGGUGCAAAUUUGAAUCAUCCAUUAAUAUAUGAAAGCCGUAUGUGCAUGUUUCAUGGUUUACUGAAUUUGCACAACGGAAUGAUCGAAUUUGUAAAUCUCUUCAAGAAAAAAUAAUGUAUUUUUUGGCAAAUGCUGUAAAGGAUAAAAAAGGGGAGCACAUGGAGGUCUGCUAGUGGAUACAUCAGACAGGGUGUCAAAACCGUUUUCCUAGCUAGAUGGAUGUAUACAGAUAAGCAAUGCAAGUAGCUAGCUAGCCUACAACACAAAAUAUGCAUGUAGCCACUCUCUAUUUAUAUAUUCCUUUCUACAAAAAAUGGGCAGCCCCACUCCCUCAUGUGAAAAAGGUGUGACCAUUAUCACACCUAAAAUACGUCACGUGCGCAGCGCGUGACCUCUUUAGGAAAAGAACUAGCCAGCUAGUCAGCCCAGUGUGUGACUAAAGUGCACUACGAGACAAAUUUGAUGACCGCGCUAGUGCCAUUUACUCUUUUUCUUAUAUCAGGAGCUCGUAUGGAAAUUAUAUUUAUGUUGGUUGUUAGUUUUAUAACGACGGAGUCUGUAGUAGUGUCCUUUAAAAUAAGUAAUGUAGUUAGGAAUGACCAUUGCAAACAAACUUGGAAAGUGUGUCAUAUGUAGAUUCAGCUGUUGAGUAAAACUUGAGUAGUAGUUUAUACCAUUGUUACCUUUGCAGAAGUAUUAUACUAAUAUAUGCAUAUAUCUCCUAUAUAUUGUAUUGCAGGGAGAGAAGUUCAUUACAUAUGUAAGGUCCAAUCAUGGUAGGUCAUAAAAAACAAUAUAGCACUUUGGGAAAGGUAGAUAAUAAGCAGAAUGUGAAGGUAAAAGAAGCGGAAGAUGAAAAUAUGAAUAUGAAAGAGAAAAAGAAGCAAAAUAAAAAAGAAGGUGAUAAGAAAAAAGAGGAGAGUCAUAAGACCUCUAAGAAGAUGGCUAAGUACAAGGACGAGAAAGAGAAGAAAAUGAGAGCUAAUGAGAAUAAAUAAUUUAGGAGGAGGGGGUCGGAGGGAAAGGGAGGAAAAUGAGAAGAAGGUGAAGGCACAUAAAGAAAGAGAGGAGGCGAAUGAGAAUGAGAAAGAAGAGAAGGAGCGGCGAGAAAAUAAGAAAUAUAUUGAGGAGCAACAAAAGGAGAUAGAUGAGCAGAAGGGAAGGAAGGAGAGUGAUAAAGGGGAGGAAAGAGAUGAGAAGGACCAGAAUGACAAUAUUUUCUGCCCUCAAUUCUAAAGGACGAUUUAUCCAUGGAACAAGUGGUUGGUUUUCUUGAUUCAUAAAAAAAUUAAAGUGACUAACUCAUGUUUGGUGGUCCAUUUUUAUCUACCAUAUUUGCAUGAUUGUUGUCAAGAUUCUCUUUUCCAUUGAGGUCCACUUUAGGAAUGGUGCUUACUAAUUUGACAAAGUUAAGAUUGUACAUAGUCUUUUUCAUCACAAUUUUUGUU